rnacentral:lncRNA from 1 species
GUAUACUCAGGUUUUUUUCUUAAAAAGAAAUUUAUGACCCACGAUGAAACGCGAGUCAAAUAGCUAAUAAUUAUAUAUGUAACAUCCCCAUUUUGUUUUUUAAAACACCGAAUACUUUAAACAUAGCAAAAUACAAGUUUUUUUUUUUGAAAUUUCUCAUUAAAAAAUUUCUACCGAAAUUUCAGCAAAGUUUCCCCUAUAUUUAAAAUAUUUCAAGUUAUUGACAAAAUCCUGUUUAACACUAAAUAUAUUUUCAACCUUUGAUCCAAUCAUUCCAGAUCAAAACAAUCAUCACAUCAACAAUACCUCAAGCAUAAUGUCUUAAUAACAUAAUAAGGCAAUGUAUAUCAAUUACAUUGUUGUUCAUGUAUAAUUCUCAUAAAAAUAAGAUAAGACAAAUUAUACUACUUUUUAAUUUCAUUAAUGCUUAAUUCACAACCAUAAAAUAAAACUAUUUAGAGAAUUUAAAGGAGAUAAAUGAUUAAUAUCAAUUCCAAAAUAGUUAAGUAAUAAAAAAUUAUCAUCCAAAUGUUUUUACAUAGAUUAGAUUCUAAUAUUAAGGUUUACAUGUUUUAUUUAAAAUUCAUUACAUAUCCAAAAGAAAAAAAUACAUCUAGUAUAUAACGACAUAGGUAUAACUAAAUAGAUCUACUCCAGUUAGGAAGAUGAAAGCCCUGAAAAAAAAAUCAUAAUAAAAAUUUAAAUCUAUUUAUAUUUUAUAUACCUUCUCAAAUUCAAUGUAUUAUAUUCCACCAAUACACGACUACAUUUUAUAUGUUUUCCCACAUAUCAUCCGCAUUGUUGAUUUAUUAUUAUUUUCUCUUCUUAUCUUCGGAUAACUAUGUCAUUAUCAUCUUUUAUCAUAAUUUGUAAAUGCUGAUAUCAGAUGCCCUGAUAUCAUUGGUCAUCCCUAAUCCGGAUAGACCAAUCAAUGUCAAUAUCACUUCUAACACCGAUAUCAUUAGCCAUCAACACUUAGAUGACUAAUCAGAACAUGCCGACACCUUUUCCUCUAGGUAUCAUUAGCUACCACCACCUUGAGCUACUAAUCAAUUCAAGUGUAUGUCAAUGUCAAUGUUACCUUAUUGACAUCAUUAGCCCACAUCACUCGGAACAACUAAUCAAGUAAUAGUUUUGCCGACACCAACACAACCUUGUUGGUAUCAUUAGUUAUUUUAUCAUGGUUUUGCUGAUAUUAAUGUGCCACAUGGAUAUCAUUGGCUUUUCAACUUUGGAGUAGGUAAUCGAGAUUCCAGUAAAUGCCGAUGUAGAUUUAAUUUCAUCGACAUCAUUAGCUCUCAUUAAUCGGGACAGCUAAUCAAUUCCACUUUUCUUCCAUUUCUUUCUCCUUUUACUCUUUUAAACUAAAUACAUAGUCUAUCCAUAUAAUAAGUUGACAUUUUGACACUACAAGCUAUUAUAAAUAAAAAUUAAUAAGUUGUAUACAUCUACCUGUCAAUCACGACGUGCUUGCUCUUGCUCUAUGCUCGGGGUCUAGCUGCAGUAAUAUCCCUUAUGAAUAUAAGACCUAUAUAUUACUAAUCCUUUUUAAUAACUUGGAACCUUAAUUAAAUUAUCACAAAAUCAAUACUUAACUUAAUAUGAUACUCUUAUUCUAACUACGCAAGCAUCUUCCCUUAGUUAUCCAUGAUUCCCCGUUACCUCAUGAAAUUUCCUUUUAUUUCUUGUUUGUUUAUUUUUCUUUCACAAGCAUAGUUUUGAAACCCGACCUGGUCUGACGGGUCGACCCGGGACCCGGCCGACCCGGGGCUGGAACCGGGCCGGGUUAAAGAACAAAUAGGAUAAGGAAAGACCCGGCCGGUGACCCGAUUGACCCGGCAAGACCCGGUUGCAACCCGUUGACUUUUGUUUUUUUAUACUAAAACGACGUCGUUUUGAUUUUGAAAAAAAAAGAAUUGACUCGGCCGACCUGGUGACCCGGUCAAAACUCGGAACCCGGGCCUUGGAUCGGGCCGAGUCUGAAAACUAUGUUCACAAGAAUAGAUUUAAUUUGUCUUAGUCAAGUUUAUCUACUCUAAUAUAACCCUAUCUUAUACGAAAAUAUAAACUAAUUCCAUCAUUCUUAUCAAUGUCAUAUUCCCUCCUCCUAGCCAAAACCUUCACCUAAUAUGGGUUAUGGUAUUUGUUUAAAAUUUUGAGCAAUUUAAUUCUUAUAUAUUCUUAAACACUUGUAUUAAUACUUACUAACAAGAUUUCCUAAUCAAUUGAGUUCAAAAAUCUCAUCCCUCCUUUUACUAGUGUUGGUCAAAAUCUAUAUCCAAGGGAAGGUAUAAAAUUUCUUUAAAUCUCCAACAUUUAAUACUUUACCCAUCAUUUUUCAUGUCACUAACCAUCAAUAAACAUUAAUAUCAUCAUUCAAACCAUUUAAUGCAUUAAAACUCUAAAUUCCAUAAUAUACAUUACUCUAAUUCAAGCUCAUUGCAUGGAAAAAUCACAAUCCAUCAUGUUAAGCAUAAUACUUGCUAGAAAUUUAGAGUAAAUCACAUAAAAAAAUUCAAGUUUUUCUUUACCUUUUCCUCUUAGCUUCCAAGUACUUUCUCAAACACUAAAACUUCCCAAUUCACUUAAUUUAGGUUUUUUGAUCACUCAAAAUCUCCUUUUAACACUUUAAUCUAUCCCUUCUUAAGUGUUUUUAAUGAGAUUUUUCAAGAAAAAAAUAUAUGAAAUCUUCCUCUCUAGUUUCCUUUCUAAUGGCCGGCCACCUUGGUUUUCAAAGGAAGCCAAUGGCCUUUUAUACCCGUCCCCUUUGUCUCCUCCAAAAUUACUACUAUGCUUCUUUUUAAUUAAUUUGAGUGUUUUUCAUUUAACCGGAUAUCCUAUUUCGAUUAAUAUUUAAAAUAAUUAUUCUAAAAAUUUAUUUAUUUAUUUUCUUUUUAAAACCGGAUGUUUACAAUCUACACUACUUCAAAAAUAUUAUUAUUUUAAUAUAGUGAAUCUAACUUAUUAUUAGAAGGGUCAAUUGAAAACACAUUCCUAAUUUAUCAUCAAACUCUUAAAAAAUUAUAAUUUUUUACUUCAGUUGCUAAAAAGGUUUAAUCUACCUAUUUUAAAUAUUUAAUUAUAAUUUUUAACAAAAUAAAAUAAAAUUUAUUUAUUAUUUAGGAAGAAUUUCUAUAUUUUGUGAAUUAUUUAUAAUUAGUUUCUUAAUCAAAAAAAUAUUUAGAAUAUUUCUUACCUUUUUGGAAAAUGGGUUUGCUCAUUUUAUGGCAAUUUAAUAUUAAUUUCAAGUUCAAUUCACGGGGCAGCAACUUUUUUUUUUUUAAUUGAGAGUAAACUUAUUUUUGUCUUCAUAAUUUCAUCAAUGUUACAUUUCUCCCCGUUUACAAUUUCCUAAUCUUAUCUCUAAAAUUUUGAAGAAGUUUCAUUUUUGUCUUUUACUUCAAAGCAACUAAUAAAAAACUCACUUUUUCAUAUUUAUUUAUUUAUUUUCUUAUUUUUUAUAAUUCUUUAUUUAAAAUCUCCAUAACUAUUAUAAUAUCUAAAAAAAACAAUAAACUGAAUUAAAAAAAAUUAUCUAAUAGUUAGCAAUAACAUUUUUACCAUUUGGGAUACUAGAAGGUAAUUAAAAAAAAACUAAUUGAGGUGGGGAAACACUGUUAACCUCCUCAUAAAUUAAUAUUUAUUGGAAUAAUUUUUAGUUUUUAUUUUUUUUUGAAAUUUUUGAAUUUUUUUUUCAAUUCCAUUCAUUAACAUUGGAUUUUUAGGGGUUGAAAUUUAUAAUUUUUUUUUUCUAUGAGGUUAUCGCAGUUUUAUAACAUGAAUCACUAGUUUUGCGGGUUUACUUGAUUGACUUGAGUUUUUUUUGUUCUUUUUUGUAAUUGAAUUUUUUAUUUCAAUUUUUUCAUUUACUAUUUGGGUUGAUUGAGAAUUAGUUUUUAUAAUUUAUUUUAAUUUACUUUUUAUGAGGUUAUCACAGUCUUAUGAUCCGAGACAAGAGUUUUGUGGGUUAACCUGCGUUGACUCGAGUCCAUUUUUUAAUUGAUUUUUUUUUCAAUCUCAUCUUUAAAUGUUGGAUUGAUUAGGAAUUGAGUUUCAUAAUUUAUUUUUAUUUGUUUUUUAUUGGGUUAUCAUGGUUUCAUAAUCCAUGUUUAACCCGAGUUGACUCUAGUUUUUUUUUUUGUCAUUUUAUAAUUGAUUUUUUUUAUAAUUUUAUUCUUCAAUAUUGAGUUGAUUGAUCAAUCGAUAUUUUUUUUAAUUUGUUUUCUAUAAAGUUAUCAUGGUCUCAUGAUCCGAGUUACAAAUUUUGCAUGUUAAUUUGAGUUGAUCCGGAUCGAUCAAAUAUAUUGUCGUUUUAAUUUUUUUUAAAAAAUAUUUUCUUGAAUUUUUUAUUAUCCAAACUAUAUUUUUUUUUCUUCUAAUUGUUCAAGUUGUUUUUAAAUUUGUCAAAUUGACCGGGUUAUAUCGUAUUAAUACCUAUACAAUUAUUAUUUUUUCUUUAGAACACAUUACCAAUACUUAAAUAUUAAUAUUUAACAUUUAAAAAAAAACUGAAAUAAACCAUAACUUAGCAUGGGUAAAUUAUGUAGUAGUGCAUCUAAACGUGAAAAAUAAAAAGUUUACCGGAAACAGAAAAGAAAAGACAAAGCUGUUUGCUUGUCGCUUAUCAAAAAUAAAAUAAAAGUAAUUCGGGGUGGGGAGAUCCUGAACCGGGCCGAUUCCCAUUCCAUCCACAAAUGAAAACAAACUAGGAUUUAGUCAUUCAUACAACCAAACACCAUCUUAUCUUUUAUUGACUUCCAAUGUGAGAAAUGCCUCAACCAAAGCUCCAAACACGAAGGAAAACCAGGAGUCAUGCUUUCUGUUCAUAAUGAAAGUUUGAGACAGAAAUUCGUGGAUCAAUUUAAUUUUCACAAGCCCUAAGCAUAUGACAGCAGAAACUGCUGGUCAGAUGCAAAUUGCUUUUCAGAGGCAAGUGGAAUCCAAAACAAAAAUUAUUAGAAAGAUGCUCCUUUUGCGAUGGUUUAUCAGAACAUAGCCCACUUGAAUCCCUGCCAGGAGUCAAUUUAAGAGACGAAGGCAUUUUGAGAUUGGUUGGUCCGGCAAUUCUACAUUUCAGUCUGAGCAACACAUUAACGUUCCCAGCUAAUCAAUCAUCUAUAAGCCUGAGUGGUUCUAUAUUGCUUUCCAGAAAGGAAAAUGAAUCCUCAGAGGGAGGUGCUAAAUCUUCAAUCCUGUACUGUCUCAACUUCAUGAGACAGAAAUUUAUGCUGUGGCUAGUACAGCACGGCACUUGUUGAACACAUAUGUUGUUUUGCCUGCAGGAAUGGUAGUCAUGGAUGCCUAUUUCUAGCGUGAGCAAAAAGACUGCAGCGAUGGGAAAAAGAGCAGCUUUUAACAAUUUUUAUACAUGACAUGUAAAACCUAAACAAGCUGUUUCAGUCAAAUUUACAGUUUUGUAGUAAAUCUUUUGCCGUGCCUUUUCCUAUUCCUAUUAUCCCUGGAAGGGAUAAUCACACAUUGCAAGCAAACUAGUCAGAAAUGAAGCCUAACUAGUCCUAAAGAUAUGAUUCACAAUCUUCAAGCCUCAUUACAUUCUUCAACACUCAAAACAACAACGAAAAAACUUACAGAACUGUACAAAGGAUUCAAUCAUUGCAGAUGACAAUGAGAUUGUAUGGUAAAUUUUGGUACCAAGAAGGAUGAACAGCACUGUAUUGAUUUUAGCCGGUAGAACCUCCCCGCCAGUAUCCCGAGUUGCUAAUUCCACAUUCUGAUAAAAACUUCUGAUAUUCAUGUUCAAGUUUGUCGUAUGCAUGAGAGACUUCUUCAAAUGAAUUUUGAUCUUGAUCUGCAGAAGUACCCUGCACAAGAUGGAAACCAUCAUAGCAAGUACUAUCUCUUUUUUCAUUCUUUCCUUUUUGAGGCAUUCAAAUUAAGCUUCUAUUGACAAUUCGAAGAAUAAGACUAUUUGAUGAGGAAUUUAAGACUUGUUAAAUUCCAUGUCUGUCCAAUUAAGAAAUUAUCAAGCCAUGUGAACCAUUUAUCAAGAGAAUAAUAAUAAGAUUGUAAAGAUAAGAAAAGCUUAUGCAAAGUAAAUAAAUCAAGAAAAUAAAAUAUAAAAUAAAUUAAGUAUCAUAUCAAUAAUCUUAGGUCGUAAAUAUUACUCUGGUAAAAAAUAAUUUACACAAUCACGAAUUCUUCUGUAUUCACUCCUGCAGUUUCCAUUUCACAAUUGGUAAUCAAACUUGUGCAGUAUUCAUUUGAUAGGAUAAAAGUACAUCAUUAUAAAGCAACAGAAUGUUGGCAGCCUAUGAGCAAGAGAAAAAGGACACAAGAUGGCAACAAUGCAAACAAAUCAAUGCAAACUCAGCAAAACUUAAUGAGGGCAAAGCAGCUCCAAUUAAAAAUCUUGAUAUAAGGCAUCUAAUUUGACAAGAAACAUGCAUCUUCAAAGAAAAUGAAAUCAAAGUCAUGAAUGAUCUUUAUAUAGUAUAUCAAUACUUUCUUCAUUCAAAGUCCUAAAUGCUCUCUCUCUCCCCCUCUCUCUCCAGUGCAUUUGUAGCUGGGGAGAGAAGGGAUGGUCAUUGAAUAACCAACCAUAACCAGGAUGUUAAGCUUUGUCAUAUCAAAUACUCAUGUCCAAUAAUCCUAAAUUUCGCAGCAUGACACGAGCUGCAACAUUUAAUAGAAUUGAAAAGAAAAAAAAGAAAGAAACAAGUACAAGACCAAAGUAGAAUAUUAAGAUUUAGGGUAUCCAUCAAACCUCAACCAUAAUAAUUUGCAUCAUCAUAACUCCAUCAAUAAUGUGACAUACACUUAACUGUUAAAGGAAGAUGGCACAUGAAAUUAAAACCAAAGCGAUGAGCUUACAGUGGAAUUUAGUAUUGGUUCACCAUCCAAAUUAUCUGGCUCCCUUAUGUCACUGAGAGCAUGUUUCCAACGCUUACUCUCGGGCACAUCAUGAUGCCUCCUUGAUUCAUUCGAAGCUUGGCAUCCCAAGUUUCUACGAGCUCUAGUGUGAAAGGCACCAAUUAUGCAUCUGAUGCAAAAUGCUAAUGCAGGAACCAGAACUAGAAAAUAACCAGUGGCUUUAGCCUGAUAAUAGAGUGGACAAGGCUGUUGAGGUCACUACUAUUGAUGAAUUUAUAAGACAAAAUAAGUUGGGAUAUGAAAAUGAAUGUCAUACUAUGAAAAUCAAUGAAGCAAAGUGUUUUACUACUGAGCUUACAUGUGGCAAACGGAGGGUGGUUACUGUGAUGAAGGGCUUUUGGUUUAGAACCCCAUCCAUAAUCUUCAUAAAGUUCUGAAGCCUUUCCAGUUGAUCAAAGCUAGGCGAUUCACAUUUCUUGAUCUGAUACUGAUUGAGGCACAAAUACUAAGUACCUUUAGAACCCAGAAAACAAAUCAAAACUCCACAAAACACAGCUUAUGACUUCCAAGCGUGCAAGUCAACUUGGAUUAAACUUUACUGUAUAGUUACGGCUGCAAUGGUGAAUUCAUUCCUUAACUAUUUAUAUCAUAUGUCAACAAACAAGACAACCUGUGUUACGAUCUAUCUGCAAGUCCAUGUAAAAGUUAAAAUUAUAGUUUCACUGUCUUUGAGCUCUCCUGGAGUCGUAACUGAAGAAAAAUGACUUGCAGAUUGAACUUUUUAAAUACAUUCUGUACAGUUGUGUCGCAUUGAAUAGCCUCAACUCAUAAUGAACAAUCAAUAGAUCAUAAGCUAGUUAAAAGGAAAGUGGUUUCUGAGUACGUGGUAUUUCAUAUAUAUUUCCGAGUGGCUUCUCAUUAAGUGUAGAGCGGCAACUAUUUCACAAAUGACUAAAAUUGACAAUCUCAUUGCUAAAACAAAAACGUCAAAGCAAAAUCUUGCUCUAGAAUGCAGGAGGAAUACAAUGGUACCACCAGCAUUAAGGAAAAAUAGGACAUGACUUUGAAUGAUGCAAGAAGUGCAUUCUAACAUACAUGUAUUCACGCCACAAAUAUCAUGUCUACAACAAGUUUAAUUAUUAGAUAUAUAUUGCAGAGCAUGAUUGCAAAAGAACCAGUUUCCUUUUUCUUCUUUUUUUUUGUCUGUCUAUAACAGUAAUUAAUCCAUUUGUAAAUGAUAAUGCAACUCUGCUCACCACUUGAGUGCCUGCAGGGGCAGCUGCAGGAAUGUUAAGAAGCUGUCCUUCGAAAACAAGAUCAACAUCCAAUAUAUUCUUAUUAGCUGCAGCAACAGAAUAUAUAGACACCCCAUACUGCUUGGAAAUUGAAGUUAAUGUUUCACCCCUGCCAUAAAAUUUCUUCGAGUAAAUGGGCCAGUAUUGUAGAACCACAACAACCAUCCAAGUUUUCAACACACAUUUUCAUAGUGAAUGGUCAAUCAGCAGUUAAAAUAGUUCAAGAAACAAAAAAUUGCCCUUAGCUUUGUAUGUUUUAUCCUAAUCAAAGAAAAAAGUAUACAACUCAACUUCCCAGCAAAUGAAAAGGAAAAUCUCCAUGCCUUUUGAAACCAGUUACAAACAAAAUAUAUGAAGCAUGCCAUUCACAUCUACUUAGCUAACUGUCAGCAAUGUGCAGCAAAUAGAUAAAUAAACAAAUUACUAUUUCAGUUAUUACUCUUUGACCACAUGAAGCAAGUAGGGAUUGGUGGAGCUUUGACCCUUUGAAAUAUCCUGAAUAUGAAAUCUCCAUCUCUGAAACCACAAGACUAAUUAAUGGCUCACUACAAAAAUAAGCAAAAUGCGAGACUGAAAUCAAGUAUAAGCUUCUUCUCUUAUUCUUCUUUCUUAAGUAGCAAGAACAUCAAUCCGAUAAAAAAGAGAAGACAUGGACUUGCAUAACUUUGAAACCCAUCUCUUAUAUUCCAAAAAAAUGCAAAGUUUAUCAGCAUAACCAGAAGAAAUAUGUCAUCACUUCUCUUUCUUUUGUACAAAUUUCUUUUGUACAAAUUUCUUGGCAACCAAACAAAGCAAAAUAACAGGGAAAGAAAGAUUGUACCUCUGCAAGAACGGUAAAAUGCUUCCAUUUCAAACUGCAAUUGAAACACACACACACAACAACAACAACAACAACAAAAAAAGAAAAGAAAAGGAUCAAAUCUUUAGCGAAUAAAGAGAGAAAACAAUGAAAGUGCAUUAAUGGGUCAGAAGAAAAAAGAAGAAACCUUUGAGAUGGGAAGGUAGUUUUAGGAUUUGGAAAAUGGAAUCUGGGAAGAGAAAGAUCAGAGAAUCGUCUAUGGCUAAGCUUCACUUCCAUCACUCAUACUCAAAAGUGUAAACGAAUAGAUUCCUUUUCUGUUUCAAUUGGAUUUAUUGGCGCUACAGGUUAAACCGGAUGCAUGAGCAAUCACAAUUCACAUCGUGUUCAAUUGGAUUUAUAGACAGACUAGGCACGUCCCGCGUUACAGUGCGUGUCGGUAAUGCAAAUGCAUAAAAAAAGAAGUAAAUAAGGUUAAUAAGUCGGAUUUAUUUUAAUUAAUUAUAUUAAUUAGAUAAUUUAUUUUAAAACAAUAUCACGAUAUCUUGAAAAUAAAAAAAUAGGAGCACGAAAUUUGAUAAUAAAAGGAUAAAAAAACUGGGCCAAGUCAAUAAACACUAAAAAAAUAUAACAAGAAAAAAAUUAACUACACAAAAGAAUUUAAAAUAAAAAUUGAUAAUUAAAAUAAUGAGGGAAAAAAUAAAAAAUAUAAAUUAGAGAAAAACUAUUUUUUUAUUGGAGAGUUAAAUUGAAAAGAAAAAUAAAUAAAACAAAAAAAAAUAAUGAGGAAGAAAUUGAAAAAAAAAAACAACAUAAACUUGGUUUGAAAUGUGAGAUUAGAAACCAAUAAAUUUUUUUCAUAAAAGAGUUAAGGAAAAAAAAAAUUCAAAAAAUAUGGAAGAAAUUAAAAAAAUAUGAAAAAUUAAAAUUGAAAUAGUAAAUCAAAAAGAAAUAACAUGAGGGCAAAGGAUGAAAAAAAAAAUUAAAAGAAAAAAAGGCUCAAAUUUUUGUUUGGAGGGUUAAAUUGAAGAUAAAAAUAACUCUAACAAAAGAAAAAAAAAAGUAGAGGACCAAAUUGAAAACAAUAACACAAAAUAAACUUGAAUUUAAGGGUGAAGUUGAAAAAAAAAACUUAUAUAAAAGGGUCAAGUAAAAAAAUAAGAAAUCAAAAGAAUAAGAAACAAAUUGAAAAGCAUAACAUAUAACAAAUUAGAAUUGGAUGACUAAAUUGAAAGGAAACAAAACUCCUAUUAAAAAGUCAAGGAAAAAAAAUAAGAAGUUAAAAGAAGAAGGACCGAAUCACAAAUAUAAAAAAACAAAGAAAACCAAUCAGCAAUUUGUAGGGGAGAGGAGAGAAAAGAAUAUUAAAAAAGAAAUGUUCGCUGACGACAAACCACCCACCCAUUGAUGACAUGCACCACACCAGCUGAAAGAGGACGCGACAAUGUAUCUAACUACAUGAGAGAUUGUCAGGUUUAUCUAAGGGGAGGCGCCACAUGCACCGCCCAAAAUGCGUGAGUGCCUCUCACGUGUUGGUGUGUACAAUACAUGCGCUAUCAACAUUUUGAAAUCUAAUAUUAUUUUAUUCUAGUAAAAUAUGAUAAUUCCCUUGAUAAAAUAUAAAAAUAACGACAUAACCAACGUGAAAAUACAUAAAUACCACUUGAUCGAAAGCUUUGAUUGUUUUGACUUAAAAGAUAUUUUAGUAAUCUAAACGUAAUCUAAAAUAGAAAAAAACCGAUAAUACCCCUAGAUUAAAGGCAUAUAAUUUUUUCUCUCGAAGGAAAAUUUAGUAUUUUCAUUGUUCAUAUAGAACAAAAGGACCAUAAUAUCCUUUUAAGCAAAGCCAUUUGUUAUUUGAAUGAGCGACAAAUUAAUAAUUUCAUUGUUAUAGUUCAUAGUGAAAUGUCUCUAGAGCUACAGUAAAACCACUGUUAAAACCCUCCUUCCUUUUUAGUAUAUUUUUAUAUGCUAUCCAUUUGACCCACUGUUGAAUGUAAGAUAUUUAAAAAAAAAACUUAUAUAAGCAGCUUUUUUUGAUAUGUGUUUGUACAUAAAAAAAUUAUAAGUGUAAAAAAAAACCUGAACAUACAUGUAACCAAAUAAAUUCAAAACUACGUAUGUUAAUAAAUGAAAAAUAAAAGUCAUUAAUGAUAAAUAAAAAUAAAAAUAGAAAAAUCAAGAGAUAUAUAUAGAUAAAGAUAUUUGACCUCACAACACAUGCUUUUGACUGGUUGUGUUUAAUGAAUCAAAUUUUUAUUUAAUCAAACAAAAAAUAAACACACAUGAAAUUGAUUGAAUAAAAAAAAAAACAAAAUAUAUUAUGUAAGGGUACAUAUAUUAGAAAUAUUAUCGAAAAAUAAAUAUUUUCUAUUUAUCUAAAACAUAAAAAUAAAAUGUUAUAGAUGAAUUCGAAUAAUUUGUCAAAAACAUUAAAUGCAUAUAAAAUAAUUAAAAAAACAUAAUUUAAAAGAGUCUAAAUAAACAAAAAAAGAGCGAAAGUAUUAUUUUACAUAUAAAUUAAAAAUUUAUUUUGAGAAAAGACAUCCAAAAAAGCAUAAAGUAAAACAAAAUAGAAAAAAUAAAUAAAAUGUUAGGUGUUGCUGGGAUUGGCUAGCCAGGAGAGUGCUUGGUCCAUUUAGUAAGGGCUCGCAUGCUUGGGCCUUUAUUUUUUUUAUUGGUAGAUGGGGCGUAAUUUUUUUUGACAAAAAUUCAAACGCGUGUCAUCUGAUUUUACUCAGAUUCUUAAACAUAAGAUCAUGCAUAAUUUUUGAAGAAAAAGAAAAACACACUAAAGAAUUCUUGACCAAACUUCAAUUUUAUUGAUUGAUGGGAAUAAUACAUCAGGCAUAAUAUUUCUUUAUAACAUCAAAGUUUACAGGUUUAGGUAGAUCUUCUCUGUCCAUAUUGGUUAAAAUUAAGGCUUCUCCCGAAAAAGCCUUUCUCACCACAUAUGGUCCCUUGUAGUUUGGUGUCCACUUACUCUGAUCUUCUCUUGAUGCUAGUGAGAUCUUCUUCAACAUCAGAUCUUUUUCUUUAAACACCCUUGGCCUGACCUUUUUGUUGUAUACUUUUGCCAUUUUACUUUGGUAUAUCUGUUUGUGGUAAAUGGUUGUUAGCCUUUUUUCAUUGAUCAAGUUUAACUAUUUAAAUCUUAACCCUACCCACUCUGAUUCAUUAAGCUCUAGAUCUUUCAGAAUUCAUAGUGAUGGAAUCUCUAUUUCUAAGGGUAUAACCACCUCCAUCCCAUAUACCAAAGAAUACGGGGUUGUAUUUGUGGAAGUUUUGAUAAUGGUGCGGUACGCAUGAAGUGCGUACGAGAGCAUCUCAUGCAAAUCUUUGUAGGUAACCAUUAUUUUUUGAAUGAUCUUCUUGAGAUUCUUAUUAGCUGCUUCGACCACUCCAUUCAUUUUGGUUUGUAAGGGGAAGAGUUGAGAUGUUUAAUCUUCUAUUUGGUGUAGAGUUCCGCAAUCAACUUUCCAUUGAAAUUUUGAGUGUUAUCAGUUACCAAUCUUGCUAGUAAACCAUAAGGAUCCUUUUCAAUGAAUCUCUUGACUACUUUCUAUAUUACGUGGGCGUAAGAGUUGGCUUCUACCCAUUUAGUGAAGCAGUUAAUGGCCACCAAAAUGAAUUUGUUCCCGUUGCUCGCUUUGAGAUUGAUUGACCCUAUGACAUCUAAACCCCACAUAUCAAAAGGCUCAAAGCGAGGUCAUAUUGAACAGUGGUGCUGAAGGUGCAUUAAUCUUAUCACCAUAUAUUUGACACUUAUAGCAACUUUUGACAUAAUCUGUCUCCGUGGUCAACCAGAAAUACCCUGAUUUUUGCAUUUACCUUGCCAUUAUAUGUCCAUUGGCGUGGGUGACACAAAUCCCCUUGUGGACCUCCUCCUUCAAGGCUUGCUUAAUUUUUCAUUCAAACACCUAAGCAGAGAGUCCCGUCAAAUGACCUUUUAUAUAGGAUUUUAUCGUCCAAGUAAAAGUUCAUAGCCAUUCUCCUCAAAGUCUUCUCAUCUGUCUUAGAAGCCCCUUAAAUGUAUUCUUGGUGAUAGAGAAACCUCUUGAUAUCACUGUACCAUGGUUUCCCAUCUAGUGAUUCUUUAAUUAUGCAGCAAUGAGCUUAGAGGUUUCUAACUUCGAUAUCUAUUGGUUAGAUCCUACACCCAGUAACAACUUGUGUCAUUAAAGCCAGGGUUUCCAAGGCAUCAACAAAUUGAUUUUUAUCCCUGUUCAUGUGGGUGAAUUUAAUCUCUUUAAAUCCAUUGGCUAACUUCAAGAGAUAGUUUUGAUAUGGCUUUAACUUUUUAUCCUUGGAUUGCCAUUCCUCUUUUACUUGGAAGAUGAUCAGUAAGGAAUCCCCGAAGACUUUAAGCUUUUUAGCUUUGAGUUCUAAAGCAACUUCUAGACCGAUGAUACAGGCCUCAUACUCAGCCAUGUUAUUGGUACAUUCGAAUUGUAGCUUUACUGAAACAGGGUAUUGCUUUUUUUUUUGGGAAAAUUAUUACUUUUCCAGCCCCAUUUCCUGAUAUGUUUACUACAUUAUCAAAGUAAAGGGUCCACCAAUCACUCUCCCCACUAUCAUUCUUGUUGACCAGCACAUCUUCAUUAGGGAGGUCAAAAUUUAAUGGCUCAUAGUCUUCCACAACAUGAUCUGCGAGAUGGUUGGUAAUUGCACUCCCUUUUAUAGCUUUUCUUGUCAUAUAGGUAAUGUUGUAUUCCGCUAACAACAUUUGCCACCUUGGUAUUCUAAUUGACAAGUUAAGCUUUUCAUAUAUAGAUCCUCCUUCGAGAUCAACCAAGUUGUGUAGUACAACAUAUACUUUCUGAGUCUUUUUGCUCUCCACGCCAAAGCACAACAUAAACUUUUAAUUGUUGUGCACUUGGACUCACAAUCAUUGAAUUUUUUACUCAAGUAGUAAAUGGCUUGCUCUUUCCUUCCUGACUAGUCAUGUUGACCUAACACACAACCCGUGGCCAUUUCUAUCAUUGUAAAAUACUAUAAUAAAGGCCUUCCUAGUGUUGGAGGUACUAACAAUGGUGGAUUUUGCAAGUACUUUUUUUUUAAUCUUAUCAAACAAUUCCUGACAAUUGUUAUCCCAUACUCAUGGAUUUUAUUUUCCUAUGCAAGCAGAAAAUUAGCUCACAUGUCACCGUUAGCUGAGAUAUGAACCGAUUUAUAUAGUUUAGAUGCCCAAUGAUACUUCUUACUUCCUUCUCUGUCUUAGGUGCCAACAUUUCCUGGAUGGCUUUGGAUUUAUCUGGAUCGACUUCUAUUCCUCGACCACUUACUACAAAACCUACCGGUUUUCCUAUCUUUACCUUGAACAAACAUUUUGCAAGAUUCAGUUUCAGCUGGUAUUUUCAUAGCCUUUCAAAUAGUCUCCUCAAUACUCGCUCGUGAUCUUUUUCUUUCUUUGAUUUUGCAAGUAUAUCAUCCACAUAAACCUUCACUUCUCGGUGCAUCAUAUCGUGAAAUAGAGUGAUCAUUGCUAUUUGAUAUGUAACCCUUGUAUUCUUCAGUCCGAAUGACAUCACUUUAUAGCAGAAUGUUCCCCAAGGCGUGACAAAUGUGGUCUUCUCUUUGUCUUCUUUUUCCAUUUUAAUCUAGUUGUAGCCAGGGAAUCCAUUCAUAAAUGAAUACGUGGCAUUCUUUGCACCAUUAUCAACCAGAAUGUCUAUGUGAGGUAAAGGAAAGUCGUCCUUUGGGAUUACCUUAUUCAAGUCUCUAUAGUCUACACACAUUUAGAUCUUGCCAUCCUUUUUAGGGACUAUGACCACAUUAGCUACCUAUUAAGGAUAAAUGACCACAUCUAGAAAUCCUGCAUUCCAUUGUUUAUAUAUUUCUGCCUUUACCUUAAGUAGUAAAUCUGGGUGUAUUCGUUUGUUUUUCUACUUAACUGGUUUACUUUCCUCUACCAAAGGAAUCUUGUGUACCUUUAUAUCAGUAUCUAGACCAGACAUAUCUAUAUAAGUCCAGGUAAAAAUAUUUGCAUACUUAUGUAAGAGAGAGACCAACCUUUUUCUUUCCUUGGCUGUAACAAGAGUGUCAACCUUCAACUCCUUCUUUUCAUGCUCAAUUCCUAAAUUGAUAACUUCUAGCUCCUCACUAACAGGUUUCCAAGGUUUCUCAAAGUUUUCUGCUAACCUAGUAAAAUCUUUCAUAUCCUUUUUCUUCCCAUUCUUCAUCACCCAUUACAAUAAUAUUAUCAAAGUUUAGCCAAUUAUUCUUAGUGCAGUGGUUUUGUGAAUCGUUGGGACUUUUAGGAUUUCUGAAAGUGUAAGGUGUGCUCGUGUAAGUGUGUUGUUUGCGAAGAGACAAAAGGGUGAAGGCACUUUAUGGACAUAAAAAAUGCAUGAUCUUAUUAAAACAAAAGUGCUCAUUUAACAUAAAAAAUCUUGCGGCAUCAUGAACCAAAUUAUCGAAAAGACUUGAACAAGUAAAAACAAGGUAAAACAAGUCAGAACAUUCAACAUGAUCAAAUAAGAGUAAUUACUUUUUGAACACAAUAGGAGCAGGCUCCAUCUUCCAGUUCUGGUACACCUCUUCUUUAGCCAAUCUUCGCACAAAAGCUCUUGUAAAGGGUUUGAUAAUUGCGUGGAUGGAAAGCUAUAAGAGAACUUCAUCAUUUAUUCCAACAUCUGCUUCCUCUAUCUGUCCUUUUUUUUGGCACUCCAGGUUGCUGAUGUGAAGAUUUGUUAUACCAGCUAUAAUCACCUUUGCAGACCUUGGAAAAGAUGCUGAGAGUAGUGAGAUGACAAGUUCCUCUUCCUUUGGCUCUUUCCCUUCAUUUUUAUGCACAUUCAUCCAAUAAUGAUUUAAUUUGAUCUUGUAAUCAUUUUUCCUGGGCUUAUAUCCGAGCCCAAACCUUUGAUCCAUACAUUUUAGCUUCAUCACAUUGAUCUGUCUUUUCACCCACUAUGAUUUCAACUCCUGCAUCCAAAACAAUAAUUUAUUCUACAUGUUGGAGACAAAAUUAAUUAACAUGGUUGCUGGCCCGGGUCAUCAACCAUGUGGGCUAUGGGUUGGACCCAUUUAGGCCCAGCCCAGACAGCUAUGCCGGGUCUAGCCCAUCCAAAAAAAGAAUGGUUUGUUGGGCCGUUAGUCGGCCCACCCGACUAAGUUAGGGUGGACCUGUUUUGGCCUAGCCCAUAUGGCUAGGCCGGGUCCAACCCAAUUUAUAAUUUUUAAUACUAUAAUAUUAUUAAAAUAUUAAAAAAAGGAAAAUUUCAAACUUUUCAAAGGGUAUUUUUUAAAAAAAUAUUUAUGGAUCCCUUGUAAGUAUUUAACGUGGUUGCUUGCCCAGCCCAACAACCACGUUAAUUAUUUGUGCUGCAUGUAGAAUGAAUUAUUGUUCUGCAUGCAACAACCUUGCUGCAAAGAAAGGGAUGUAGAAGAAAAAGAAGAAGGGGGAGAAAGUUACUUGGCAUAGGGGCUUCAACUACAAUGAGGAGGUCUGACUGGUGGCCGAGGAGGCAUUAGUGGAGGAAAUGGUGGCUGAUAUUAGUUGUUAGGGAAGGAAAAAGAAGAAACUUGUAGAGGAGAGAGAAGCUAGUAGUGGUUGUCUUUGUUGCUGAUGAGGUGAUAAAUUGGAGGAGGAGGUUGUAUUGUAGUCGUUCACGGUGGUUCUGAGGUUGUGGUGGCUGAGGAGGUAGUAGAGAGAGAGAGAAAGAAAAGAGAGAACUGAUUAUGGAGAGAAAAAAACUAGGAAGGGAGGCUGGUUUUUUGUCAACUGUACACCUGAUUUUCUGUCACUGUUUUGGUCAAAACACGCUGUUUCAUUUAAAUGAAGCAGUGCCAUUUUGGCUUUUAGGGUUUUAAUUUAGGGAUUUGGAUAAAAUUUAAUUUGGUCCUCCGACUUUUAAUUUCUUUCAAUUGCACCCUUAAUUGACCCUAAACUUUCAAUUUUAUGCAAUUUUGCCCCUAUCGAACUUCAAUUCCAACCCCAUAUUUUAGUGCCUUUUUCACAUUAGUCCUUGGUCUUGAUUUUAUGUAUUUUGACCCUUAAUUAACCAUUAAAAUUUCAAUUUGUUUUAAUUUCACUCCUGAUUUCAAUCAAUUGAGUCCCUAUAGUUCGAUGUCUUUUGUAAAAUAGUUAUUAGUUGCAAAUUUCUUCAAUUCAACUCCUAAUUGACCCUAAAACUUUGAUUUUCUUGCAAUUUUACCCCUAAUUUGAACUUGUUGACUUUGUAAAAAUUAAGUUUGGUCUUCUAAAUUCCAAUCUUCUCAAUUAAGCCCAAAUUAGGCUCUCAAACUUAAUGUUUCACUAAUUAAGCCCCUCAAAAAAAUAAUUUGACUCAUUUAAAGUACAAUUAAGUCCUUGCACCUAAUUAAAUCCUUUAAUUGGACUCAAAUUAAUUCUUAAACAUAAUUAAAUGUUAAUUUGGCCCAUAAUUAAAUCAAAUUGACCUAUUAAAAAUCUAAUUAUGUUCUUAGACUUAAUUUUUAUGCACAUUCAUCCAAUAAUGAUUUAAUUUGAUCUUGAAUCUGUAUUAUCUCUUCAGUUUUAAGUAUAAUAGGGGUGCAAUUAUGCUCCCCUUAUCUCUUCUUCUCCUUCUUUUUUUUCACCCACUAUGAUUUCAACUCCUGCAUCCAAAACAAUAAUUUAUUCUACAUGUUGGAGACAAAAUUAAUUAACAUGGUUGCUGGCCCGGGCCAUCAACCAUGUGGGCUGUGGGUUGGACCCAUUUAGGCCCAGCCCAGACAGCUAUGCCGAGUCUAGCCCAUCCAAAAAAAGAAUGGUUUGUUGGGUCGCUAGUCGGCCCACCCGACUAAGUUAGGGUGGAACUGUUUUGGCCUAGCCCAUAUGGCUAGGCCGGGUCCAACCCAAUUUAUAAUUUUUAAUACUAUAAUAAUAUUAAAAAAAAGGAAAAUUUCAAACUUUUCAAAGGGUAUUUUUUUAAAAAAUAUUUAUGGGCCCCUUGUAAGUUUUUCCAAUAAUUUUGCAUAAUAUCUGGUUGUAGACUUACACUGUAAGAUACAGACUCGAUAUUAAAAAUGCCUAAUUUCCUCCAAAACUUAAAAAAAAUAAAAAAUUUUCAUUUAAUUUUUUUUUGUUUUUGUGCAUACGGCCAAAUCCUAAAAGUUUUCCAAUCAUAUUUUCAUAAAAAACAAAAAAUCACAUUUUUACCAUGUUUUAAAAAUACAAAAAUAAAUAUCGUAACCAAUUUAUAAUUAUCCAUUAGGAUUUGACCUAAAUACAAAAAAUACAAAUUAUUCUGUUCAAAAUGUUAUGAAUUAGUUAUAUUUAAGAAAUAAAUGCAAUUUUAAAAUUUGAGCGUUAGAACAGCUAGGCUUUUACCCAAUAAGGUAGAGACUUCCUUACGAAGAGAGAUUUACCUUGAACCUUAGACAAGACCAAUGGAUAGAAAUGCGACUUAGAAUAACAAUCAAAUAACAGUGCAACUUAUCUUAGGUAGGGUGCACUGGGGUGAUGCGUCUUCUCCUUGCAGAACCAAUCCCUUACCCCGACUCUCGCAGACCAUAGGUUUUCUAGUUACUAAAAUACUAGGUGGUGACUCUUGAACUCAUAAUCAUAAUUUUAUAAUUACCCUCAAGCCUUUUUCCCAACACACUUCUCAGAAGACAGACCCGCCGUCGCACAUGCCCCGUGACAACAUGCAAACUCAUCAAUAAAUACAUAAAGUCCAUUAUUUAUAGCCUCCUCAAAUGAAACAUUUCAACCUCAAUUUAAAUAACCAACCCAUCCUAUGACAACUUGUUUAAAAUAUGGCAUUCAUAAGCCUAAAGUCUUGAUAGCUACAAAACAUCUAAUUGUAGAAUGUCACUCCUCUUUAUUAACUACUACAACAAAUCAUAUUUGUUACUCCUAAUUAGUUAAAUAUCUUCAUUGGUAAACAAAAAUGUUGGAAAGUUUAAUGCUUUGAUUUGAAAUGGCAUGUUGUCCAUGGUUCCACCUAUAUCAUAUCUUAAUGUUAUUGGUUGCAAAUAGAUAUUUAAGACCAAACAUCAUUCAGAUGGGACUAUUAAUAGGCAUAAAGCUCACCUUGUUAUAAAGGAAUUUCAUCAGCAACAAGGCAUUCAUUUUGGAGAAACCUCCGAUCCUAUUGUCAAUCUCUAACUAUUUUUUUGAUAUAUACAGAGUAAAUGUAUAUUUUUAAUUCUCCAUAGUGAUGAUAUUUUCAUUUUUGGUAGUGAUACAAAGGGUAUUGAGAGUCUUAUUUAGUACUUAUCAUCUCAUUUUGAUAUAACGGAUCUUGGUUCCUUAAUUUUUUCAUGGGAAUGGAUUUUUAUUAUGACUCUCAAUCCAUCACUAUCACUCAAACAAAGUAUGAUAUGGAGAUUUCAGAGCGUUAUUUUAUGAUUAGUGCUAAACCAGUUUUCAUAUCAGUGGCAUGUGGCUCUAAAAUGUCCAAAGUUUAUGGUGAUUCUCUUAAUGAUGCUACAUCAUAUCAUAAUAUUGUUGGAGCAUUACAAUAACUCACCAUGACAAGACCAUAUUUAUCCUAUGCUGUAAAUCAAGUCUGCCAAUACAUGCAUUCUCCCACAAUAGUACACUUUGAGGCUGUCAAACGGAUAUCACAUUAUCUUAAAGGUAUUGUUGGCUAUGGUAUCACUUUUCUCCUAGUAUCUAUUUCUCUCUUAAUGUAUUCUUUGAUUCAGAUUGAGAUGGAUUACUAGAUAAUCAUCGUUUAACAACAACUGGUUGUUUAUUUCUUGGUCUUAACCUCAUAUCAUGAUGCUCUAAAAAGCAAUUAAUAAUUUCACGCUCCACUAUUAAAAUUGAAUAUCGGGCACUUAUUGUUACAAUAAAUUUAUAUUGGAUACAAUCUUUAAUUUGUGAUCUAAGUAUGUUCUUGGCUAAUACUCCCAUCUUGUUUCGUGAUAAUAUCAGCACUACUUAUCUUGUUCUCAAUCCAAUACUGCAUACACACACAAAACACAUAGAAGUUGAUUACCAUUUUAUAUGAGAACAUAAAACACACAAGGAGCUCUUCAUGUUCAAUUUAUUGGAAGUGACAAUAGAUGGAUUUACUAAAGUCUUGUCCUCAUCUCGAUUUUUAAGGUUUUGAAACAAACUCAACACAUCUCUCUACCGAUUGAGUAUGAGGGAGGGUGUAAGAAAUAUCACUCCCACAUAUGCAGUCAAGAAAAUUGUGCCAAUAAUAGAAAUAUUCAAGCAAGGAAAGGAACAUCUCAUGAUCCCUUUAUAGCUGCAAAACAAUCCCAUGACAAUUGCAAAAUGCUUCCUUGACUAGAGCUAUUGGAUCUUAUCUUGUGAUCAUUCUUGCAAUUCAUUGUGAUUAUUUACUUCCAUGUAUAUCUAUACAAAUCUUAUAUAAUAAAGCUGCUGACCACAAUUGGUUCAAGUAGAAAUGUCCACUUCAUAUCUUGUUUCUUCAAUGACUAAGGUGCCAUUUGGUAUUGUGGCUACGGGUGAGGUUCACCCGCAGCUACAAAUAUUGUUGUUUGGUAUUGCAACAAAAGCAAUUUCUUACUCGUAGGACCCACCAUCAAUUGUGGUUGUGCCACAGGUCUAUAAGAAGCAGCUCUUUGCUGCUUCUUGUGUGAAGAAAACCCAUGAACAAUGGAGCCAUGCUCCACUGUUCCGGCUGGACCGGAUCCGGUUCAAAGCUAAAAAUGCAGCAAAAUAAUUUUUUUUAAUUAUGUUUUAUUCAAAAAACUAGUGUUAAAUAUUAUUCAAUGACAGUACAUAAAUUAGACGGAGAUCGCUUGAUGACGUAGCAUUUGCAGAAUUUGAUCGCAAUCCCAAUUUUGUUCAUGAUUAUAUUUUACCUGAUGUUGUUGCGCUCUUAAGAAAUUUAUGAAAACUAUAGUCCUUGUCGGAUGUAUUUUAUACGUGAUGGAAUUAUAGAUAGUUUAAUGGAACAAUAAAAAAUAUUUUAUAUAAAAUAUUAUUUAUUUUAUGAUGUAAUAGAAAUAGUUAAAUCUAUAAUAUUUAAAUUAAAAACCAUCAAUAUUAAUAUAUAUAUAUUUUAAAUUAUUUUAUAACCUCAAUUUCAAAAGCAUUCUUAACUAAAUACAUUAAACUACUCAACCUUAAUUUCAACCACAGUUUUAACCAAAUAUAUAUUUUUCCAAACCAACCUCAACUAAAAGUACUUUUUAUAAAACAAUUUUUUUCAAAUCACAACCAUAACAGCUACCGUAAUACCAAACACACAUGUCACGAGUACGUACCACUGUUUUUUCUUUUUCAAGUCAUGUAUUAUGAGUUAGCUUUCAUAUAACUUCAAGUUUGUUUGGCAUUUUUUCUAUAUGAUCUCAGUAAAACCAUCUAUAGUCAACGAUCUAUUUUACAUUCUAGCCUUGCCUAGCCUUGCCUUGGCAUUGCUAUUUUGGUUAUUUUUGGUACAAUAUUACGAGUAAUUGCCAAUAAGUACAUGUAUUUUCUCAUAAACUGUUGACCAACACAUCCAUGUAUGUUUUUAAUUCUACUUGACUGCUUACACCUAUAUAACAAUGUAGUUGACAGUUGCAAGUAUGUUGUAGCCUUGAUAGAUCACGAGAUUCAUCUCCCCUAUCACCGCAACUUCAUUGGUUCAUACUUUAACAAUUAACACAUGACUACAACUAAAAGUUCUUCCAAUUGCUUUUGUAUGAUCUAUUUUAUCUCAUAUGAUAUGCUAUGUCGAAUAGCUUAAAGCAACAGCACCUGUGAUUCCAAUAAUAGCGAAUUCGAAUCCGAACCCAUCUUGGUGGACUAUAAAUUGAGCACCAUCACCAUGAGGAUACGUACCUUCAUAUCAUAAUCAAGCAUAAGGGGAAACAUGAGGAGUUUCAGUACAGAUUUGGUUUUGUCAGUCACUUUAAUAUUAGUGUUGUUAGCCACUCGAGCAUGUGCACAGCCACAGCAAGGCCAAGUACCUUGUUUUUUCAUUUUUGGGGACUCAUUGGUAGAUAAUGGAAACAACAACAGGUUGCUUACACUUUCUAGGGCCAAUUACAGGCCUUAUGGCAUUGAUUUUCCGCAGGGUGUCACUGGUCGAUUUACCAAUGGUCGAACAUAUGUCGAUGCCUUGGGUAAGUUUCGUUUUAUGAUAUGCACUUGGAAUUUUAGAAAAGAAUAACAACCAUGGAGGUUGCUAUAUUAUGCCCACAGCGUGAAAAUGUAUAUAUAUCUAACUUAACUAUAUUGCAUGUAUUUUUGCAGCUCAACUUUUUGGGUUUCGAAAUUACAUCCCACCCUAUGCGAGAACCAGGGGCCCAGCGCUAUUAAGGGGAGUGAAUUAUGCAUCUGGAGCGGCUGGCAUCAGAGAUGAAACUGGAAACAAUCUGGUACUUGGCCACAUUCUUACCAUUAAUCUCUUGAUGCAUAUGCAAGAUGGAGCAUAAUUUGACAAUAUGAUUAGUAAAUAAGAUUGAAUAAAAAGAGCUCAGUAACCUUAUGUGCAUGUUUUGAUAGGGGGGUCACACCUCAAUGAACCAGCAAGUAGCCAACUUUGGCAUGACAGUGGAACAAAUGAGGAGAUAUUUCAGAGGAGAUAACAAUGCACUCACUAGCUAUUUAAGCAAAUGCAUCUUCUAUUCUGGGAUGGGAAGUAAUGAUUAUCUCAACAACUAUUUCAUGUCCGACUUCUACUCAACUAGCCAUGAUUUCACUUCAAAAGCUUUUGCGGCUGUACUUCUUCAGGAUUACACUCGUCAGUUGACCGUAAGUAGAUAGAUUAUCAAUUUUUUUUUUCAAAAUAUUUUUCUCCGAGAGAAUGAACAUGUUCUCCUUCGAAUCUCAGCAACUAUAUGCCUUGGGAGCUCGGAAGGUGAUUGUAACUGCAAUUGGCCAAAUUGGCUGCAUUCCAUAUGAGCUCGCCAGGUAUAAUGGUACCAACAGCCGCUGCAAUGAGAAAAUCAACAAUGCUAUUUCUUUAUUCAACUCAGGGCUCCUCAAGCUAGUUCAAAAUUUCAACAAUGGCCGAUUGCCUGGAGCCAAGUUUGUUUACCUCGAUUCGUAUAAAAGCUCUAAUGAUCUGUCUCUCAAUGGAACCUCCUUUGGUAAUUAUUACUUGCACGUUAAUUUGUCAUAGAAACCUCAAAAUCCUGCUCAAUUAUCCUACAAGUAUGCAUGUUUUGAAUUGUGAGAAUGAUAUACAGGAUUUGAAGUAAUAGACAAGGGAUGUUGUGGAGUGGGGAAGAACAAUGGGCAGAUAACAUGUCUUCCUCUUCAACAGAUAUGCCAGGAUCGCAGUAAAUACUUAUACUGGGAUGCCUUUCACCCGACAGAAGUGGCAAACAUCUUACUCGCUAAAGUAACAUAUAAUUCACAGACUUACACUUAUCCAAUGAGUAUACAACAAUUGACAAUGCUAUGAGAGAGGGAUCAAAUUCAACUCUUUAUGCCCGUCUUCCUGUAAUAGCACUACAUAUGUUUGGUUGGUUUUUAGUAUCUUGUUCGAAGCUAUUGAGUUAAUGCUUAAUGUUAAUGUGUGGAAGAUGGUGUAAUUGUUUCCUUGUUUCUUAACACCAAUUCAGUGCUACCACCUUCCAUUCCUUCUGUAAUAAAUGUGGUGAGAUUGAGAUAAUAAAAGCAAUUGAAAAUUUCCUACUGCUUCAUUAUAGCAACGGAAACACGUUUUCGGGAAUCCAAGGCAAGUAUCUUUCCUUUCAAGGCUGAGUUUCCUUGAAACAAAGUCUCCAAACAUGGUCCCCAAGAAUCGCCAAAACUAAUGCGUCUCUAGAAGUUCAAGUCUCAUUGUAGCAGAGAAAAGUUUUUAAAUGUGCAAGGAAAAACAAAAUGAAAAACAGCUAGGCCUCUUAUUUUGGACACGGGAAAAGGAGUCAGUGUGUUAGCUGGGUUCCUAUUUGAUUGAUCAAAUACAAGAUGUCUUGUAGUGAACACUUGCUGCAAUUAGUCACCGCAGUUGGAAGUUAGACGUCUAGGGUCAGGAUACGAUUUGGGGUGGGGCACCAGUUUUGAGCUCGAGGGAGCAUAGUUCCACUGCGUGUCAGAGCACAUAGCAAUACCAGUGAUCAGCUUACAAUGCUUGCACAUUUUGAUUGAAGAUAUUGAUUUUAGAAUUUAAGACUCACCAUACACAAUGCACUGGUGAAACUACUGCAAACAUAUUUGUAGACAGAAAAAUUAAAAAAGGCAACAUUUCUGUUGAAAUUAUUUCAACUGCAUUAAUUACUGCUCAGUAUCAAGAACUAGACUGCGGGGCAGCCUGUUCGUUCUGCUUUCUUUCUCACUUAUUCCGAAACAUAGACAAUCACACCAAAAGAGCAAUGUAUCCAAGAUAGAGAGGUUUUUUUUGUUUUUUUUUUUGAAAGGGAUAGGGAACAAAACCAAAUCAAAGUAGUUGCAUUAAUGGUAGCAAUUAGAACAUGCACAUGCACAACAGUUCCUUGCUUUUAAAUACAAAAUAAACAACGACUCUCAUAGAUCAGUGAUGAAAUAAAAAUUAUGAUGGCAUGAAUGAAACAAGGAUUCCUGUUAAUUGGAUUCCAUUUCAAGAUUGGCAAGCUGCUCUAUGUUCAUAGGAUAGACCUUGCUCAAGUCCCCAUUGAAGGCCUUUCUUCCCAUCAAAACAUUCACAGCUUCUGUUGGGUGGAAUGCAUCCCAGAACACAUACUGUUCUCUGUUAGGACAAGGUGUUUGGAAUGGAAGACAUGUAAUUUGACCUCUAUUUCUCCCAAUGCCGCAGCAUCCACGGUUUAUAACACUAAAUCCUACAAAGAAAUAUCAGCGAAAAUUAAAAAAAAAAAAAAAACUACUCAAGAUACAAUACACACAAUUUAUUAGAGCCAAGAGGCACAUACCAUAUGCUGGGGAGUUGGUGAGGAUUUCUCGGAACAUAUGAGCAACAUCAAUAAAAAUGAAUUUUGCUCCUGGCAACUGAUUGGCAUUGAAGUUUUUGAGCAUAGCCUUCACAUUUUCAUUGAAAGGUUGAACUAGCUUGUUAACUGAAUCAGAGCAGUUUCCUGCAGGGCUCUGGGCCAAGAUGCUAGGAAUACACCCCAUCACUCCUAACCCUGCAAUAACAAAUUUACGUGCUCCAAGAUUGUAAAGUUUAGUUAGUUGCCGGCUAUAUUCUUGAGUCAAGAGAUCUGCAAAUUGUCUGCCAUUAUACCGAUUCCUCGUUGGAUAGUUAGGCAUGAGAUAGUUAUUAAGGUAGUCAUUGCUGCCCAUCCCUACAAAAAAUAAGCUCCGUCCAACUUGCCUAGCUACAUCAUCUGCUCCAAGUGUAUCUGUAAUCUGAUCGAGCGUGUUCUGAAAAUUCCUUAUCUGUUCAUCAAAUGGUAUGCGACCAACCUGAUCAAAACAAUAAUACAUCCAAAAAAAUUAGUCCAUGUUAUAUCAAUACCAGUAUGCAGGUUUAAUUUGGUCAUGUGUGAUGGCCAACCAAACAUCUACUUGAUUAUAUUCUAUUCCUGUGAAUACGAAAGGGUCAUUUAAUGUCUGCCACAGACACUGUAAAUUGCUUGGUUCGUAGGCAACGUAGAAUUAUAUUGCAUUCAAUACAGAAACUGUAAAUACACAAGAAGGUGCCAGAAUAACUAGAUCAAUGGUCCAAGUAUAAUGAACCAUGUAAAGAAAUCCAAUAGGUUUGAAAAAAAUAAAAUUGGUAUCAAAUGACCCCCUCGAAAAAUGAUUCAGCAACCAUGCUUGCAUAUCUUUAAGGCUUCAUUAAUAUGUGUGAUGAUGCAUACUACUUAAUUCUGUAUGUAUGUGGAUAUGCUUACAAAGUUUCUGCCUGUGACAUCAAGGAUUCCGGCAGCUGCAGAGGCAUAGUUGAUACCAUUAAGCACUUGAUCUCCUGAUGCCUCAGAGUAAGCAGGAAUCAGAGGAAGUCCUAGUUGUUCAGCUGCGGAAGAAAAUGGACAAAAGCAAAAUUUGGUAAUCACAAACAGGAGAUCAAAACAGGACUGCAUUAUGGUGUCAUCAUACUGUUGGUCAAAUGCCUUGUAUUAACAAUCACAAAUGUGUGUGCUUAGCCAACUUCAUAGAGCAUGCUGCAUUGCAAUAUUUGUAAUUAUCAUUUGGAGAAAGAAAAAAAUGACUUUUCCUUUCAAGAAACCAAAGAAAAAAGUAAAUGAAAGGUGUAAAAACCGACCCUAAUAAUAUGGAAAAGAAUGUGUAAAACAUCAAACUACUGUCUCCAUAUUCCAAGUGGUUUAAUUUAAGUACAAAAAAUAUAGAGGUCUGUCUCCUAUAAACAAUUUUUCGUCUGACUAUCAAAGAAGAUGAAAGAAAGGAAACAAUGGCCAUGAAGAAAAAUAUAUUUUAUGUCUGCAUGGCAUCCUGAACUCAAAUACUACAUGAAAGCUUAACAUAAAAGCAAGGAAAGCCAAAGAAGAGGGCAGUGAGAGGUUUACCAAUUUCAUCAACCAUGGUGUAACCAUUGGAGAAACGACCAGUAGGACCACCAUUGAAGUCAAUACCAUAAGGGAAAUAGUUGGCCUUGGCAAAAGAAGGAAGGUUAUUGUUAUUGCCAUUGUCAAUGAGUGAGUCUCCAAAUAUAAACAUAGCAGGCACCAUCUCCCUUCUCCUUCCUACUUGUGAUCCAAACGGAUCCACAUUUUGGCCUAAACCUACACCCAGCACGAAGAAAAUCACCAGCAUGCAAGGCAGCUUGAAGGUAGCCAUCUUGAGCUGAAGAGAGGAAGUAAGACAGUAGGAGUGAUAAUUGAAGAGUUGUAAAGUAAGAGUUGAGAUCUCUGUAAUCGUGAAAGGAGCUUUAAUACAGGAUGUAAGGUGGGUAGUUCAGAACUAGUAAAUGUAGUCAUCUGUUUUCUCCAUUGCAGUAAUUACUAAUUACUCUCUGGUAUGUGCAUGGCCCCCAAAUACAUGCAGGCAUUUUCACACUUGUGCAUCUUGGUCCCUUCUUUUUCCCUUCUGAAAAAAAGAAACUUGGAAAAAAACCUUCAAAUUUAUUGAUUCAAAUAUCACCAAUGUAAACUCCAAAUCUUGUUUUUCCUUGGAAUUCGAAUUGUAUCUUCUUAACCUAAAACGACAAGGGUGGCAAUAUCUGGGGAAAACAAUGCUAAUAGGGGUGGCAUUAAGCCAUUAACAAAGAAAGAGCAUGCUGCCCCCCUAAACAACCAAGCCAACCACUCAUGUUAUUGAAGGAAGGCCUUGAAAUCUCAUUAUACAAAUAUCAUGAAAGUUUCAUGACUCGAAGCUUUUGGAAUAAAUGCGUUUUUGUCCAUGCAUUAGUACAGUAGGUGAUAAUUUCUUCCCAAACAAAAAUGUUGCUGGGAGCAUUUUAUUAGAAAAUAAUAUAAAUUAUAUUUUAAGAUUAACAGUUUAAAUUAUUAAUUUAAGAUGAUUUUUUUCAUGAUAUCAGAGUUUUGAUGACCAAGCAGUUACGAGUUCAAGUCUCACCAUUUCUAUUUAUUUAAUAAAAAUUAAGCACAAGAUAAUGUGAAUUUAUGUAAGUUUCAAGCUCAAAGAGCUUUCGCCUGAAAGGAUGUGUUAGAAAAUAAUAUAAAUCAUAUUUUAAAACCUCACCUAACAGUUUAAAUUAUUGAAUUGAAAUGAUUCUUUAACACAUUUAUACUCCCUAAUAUAAAUGUUAUACGUACUAAAAUCAUACCUUUGGAACUAACAAUCUUAUGCCCCCCUUUGCUUUCAUACAUCAGCUUUGAAGCUCCCACUUUCCAAUUUAGGCAUUAAUGUCGAACAAUACUGAUUAUAUUGCAUUAAGCAAGGUUUUUUUGGAUACUAUAUAAUUUGGUUUGCUUUCAAGUACUCAAAUGGAAGCUCGAAUCUGACAACACAAGCGGCUCUGCAGGAUUUAAUUGAGGCAUGCAAAUUACCAGAGACCGAUAAUUGAUUAUGGUCCCCAUGUCUACUAACUGCGCAAUAAUUAAUUUAUUUAUAGUUUUAACUUUGCAUUCUACACUUAAUUUGAUGUACCUUAAUUAUAAUGUCAUAUACUUUUUUUAUUAUUAUAAAAAGAUAUUCGAACUCGAAAUUUCUUGAAACACGAAGAACAUUAAUGCAUGUAGCUCCAUGAUAUAUAUUUUAAGUUCACAAUAAUCCUUAACAAGUAGAUUUUGGACACUCAAUAGCUAGACAAACCCUUUAAUUAUUUUUAUAAUCCACAUUUGCUUGAUGAUUCUAUAGUAAGCUAUCUAUAGGGCGGGAAAAUUAACCGAAUUAUCCAAAAUAUUGAUAAAAAUAGAUCCGAAAUUAACUAAUGGUUUUUCAAGUUUUUUUCCGGAUAAUUUCAAUUUGAAAAUUUUAAAAAAAAUUCACUUAGCACAAUUCGGUUUAAGUUUAAAAAAAAAAAAAAACCAAAAUGAAAAAACACAUUAUAAACUAAAGGUUUAUUAAAUCAAAGCCUAUGAAAAAACAAUCCAACUAACUAAAAAGUAUACUAAUUAAACUGAACUUAUUUGAUUUUAAAAAUAUAAAAUCGAAUUCCAAUCUUACCACUUUGGUUCAGUUAUUCAAUUCAGAAUUUUAAAAAACAAUUCGGCUUGAUUGGAUCUUUUGGUCCAAACCGAGCCAUUUGAACCGGUAAGCUAUCAAAAACCUGAUUUUGGAGAUUUCACAACUUGAUGGGCGAAGAAAGCUAGCAUUAGUAAACUAAGCAAAAAGUUGCAGGCAAGUCUUGAUCGAAGGCAAUCAUGUUUCAUUUUGAUAACACCUCGAAUACACGCGGAUAAAAGAAUCAGAAGGUCCAAGUCAUUUUAAUUCUUGUAAAAGGGAAAAAAAAGAAAUAAAGUCAGUUUAUAAUCGAUGGGUGGAAAUGGUUGGGCACUUUAUCUACUCCUUGGAAUUGUAUACAAGAUCCUCUUGGGGUUGAGAAUAAAAAGAAUUCCUUCCCAAUAUCACUCAGACAAGGAUUUACUAUGCAACAAAAGUCAGCUCCUUAAAAUAAAAAAAAAGGUUGAGCUAGCUAGUAAGGUAAUAAUAAUACUAGUUAUGUCUUAAAAAUCAGAGAGGUAUUCUUAGAGCAAGAUGACAUUUGCAUGUGAAAGGAAACUGAAGGGGUCCUGUCAGACCCCAGACAGACAGAUGCUCAUUCAAUUCCUCUUCUGUAGUUUCAACUUUCAACUUUCCCUCUGUCGAUAUUGGUAUUCCCUAGAUAACCAUUAGUUGACUCAUUAAACCACAUUUGCUUUUUUGGUGGACAAUGAAUACUUCUUUUUGGUUCUUAUGCUAUUUCAUUGUGAAAUAGUUAGGGUUUACGCUGCAAACACAGUCACUGAAAAGAGUACUCUAUGGGAUGAACUUACAAUCUUAAAGUCUUCUUUUGAUGUACCCAUGUUAGGAGAUUUCAAUGAAACUUUACGUGCUUGUAAAGAAGAAGUGGAUAUCUUAAUUUGAAUGACUCUAAGUCUCUUAAGUCUUUUAACUACUUGUGAUUUUAUUUAGUACCCACUCAACGGCACUUGCUAUAUACUUGGUUUCAUGGAAGAUCUAUGAGUUGUAUUGAUCGAGCCUUUGAAUCUCUGAAAUGUCAUCUUCAAUUCCCCUCCAUGUUCUUGACUUGCCACCCUAGAGGUUUUAUCCGAUCAUUGCCAGUUAGUUCUAGGAUCAUCAGCUCAGAAUUGGGGUUGGAGUACCUUUUCGUUUCAUCAAUUGUUGGGUCAAUGCUACUCAAAGCGUCCUAGCAAUUUAUUGUAAGAGUUUGGUUAUGUUUAAGAAAAAAAUACUAUCAUCCUAAAACAUCCUAUCUAAGAUAAAUUGCAUUGCUAAUCUUCUUUUUUAUUCCUAAUAGUUUGUUAAGUCUAAUCUACUAGUGAUAACGAGUCUAUUGCUUUUAGUUAAACCCUAUUUGGUUAGUUUAUUCAUAGUCAUUCUAAAAUCUAGUUUAUUUCUUCCACUCUUAGUUAUUACUCUUUGGAUAACACUCGGUGAAUCGAUAAUUCUAAGGUUGGUAACUUCAAAUCAUAACCUAUGACUAAUUUUCAAUCAAGUCAUAUUAAUGAAUGAUCCAUGAGCUUAUAUUGAGCUCAUGGAACCCAACCCAAAUCCUAGAAAAGGUUCAUGGAAGGUUCCUCAAUGAAGUUUACUUAUCCUAUAGCACUUGAGUUCAUUCGCAAUAUUUAUUGAAUAAAGACUUAAUAGUCCCGAUUCAUACUCAAAUGUGAUUGAUGACUAUUAUACUCAAAAGUUUUUUAAUACUUAUGAUUUCAUUAUCGGUGAAUACUAGACUGAAAAUUUAAUACUCUCAAUUUUUGUCACUGAUGAAUAUUAAACUUAAAGUUUUGUUGUUUAAAAAAUAAAGAUGAUGCAAUACUUCUUUUAAUAUCUAAGACAACCUUAAAUACUAAGAGUAAAUAACAAAACAAUUGUUUUUUUCUUGACACAAUUUUUAUGAAAACAAAGAUGGGUUUCAAAAGGCUUGGAAUGUCGGUCUAAUAAGUCGUAACCUUAAUGAGAUUUAUUAAAAAGUUAUAAACCCCAACAAGGAUGCAUGUAUGAAUUAACAUUGAUUUUAUAUUAUUUAAAGCAAAAGACCAUAAGACCAUGUCAAUAUAUAUUAUUGAAUCAAUGUUCAUACGUCAAAAAAACAAAUAUUGUGAUGUUAAGGAUGAUGAUUAAAUGCCCAUGAACAUAAAAAAGAUCAUGAUUAAAAAUUAAAGGAUCCAUUCAAAUGCAUUCAAACACAAAUAUCAAUUUCAUAAAUAUUAUUCAAUCUUAAAACCUCAUCACAAUACAUUAAAAUCAACAAUAAUCUCAAAAUGCAAGAUUAAAUUCAUUCUAACAUAAAUAUUCAUUCAAUGAUUAGUGCCUAAUCAAAACCUUAUAAAAAAACACAUCAAAAUCAUCGAAUAGGCAAAAUAUUUAUUCAAUAGAUGUUUAGGUUUGAAAUAGACCUUUAGAGUAAUCAAGGAUGACUAGAAGGAGCUGAAAUAGCGGUGAUAACAUGAUGGAAAUAAGAAAAUCAAUGGCCGCAUGUGGCUAAAACACCCCUAGAGGAGCUGUCAUGGUUAGCGCGUUGUUUCACAUGCCACCAAUAUUAAUUUGACUAGUACAUGGAUGGCUCUGAUGCGCUAGGCCAUCCUCCUUCAUGUGAUGGCGUUGUAGGCCACCAUCUGCUGGUGGGGGAGAUUUGAUAAUGGAAAGCCACGAAAGUCCUUUUUUUUUAAACUUUUAGAUCUAUUCAAAUUGAGAUUAUAAGAUUACGAGGCUUAUAUGGUCGUGUAAUACUUUUUAAUAGGAAAACAAAUAGUGAUGAACUCGCUGGUUUGGAAGUCAAAGGAAGGAGAAAUUAAAGAGAGAAGUUUUUAAUGUUGUUUUCUUUCUCUCUUUUAUUGAAGAUGAUGCAUUAGCUAUUGGUUUCAAUUAAUUAAGGGAUUUGAGUUACAGUGAUGGUCUUAUAAAAAAUAAAGGUUGAAGGUAAGAGAAAUCAAAGCAAGAAAUUUCAGGUUUAGAGAGAGAAAAACAAUAUUGGAUUUUUUGUGGGAAAAAGGAAGGAAAAAACGAAUAAUGUUUUUCUAGAGUUUAUUUCUUCAUAUUUUAGCUCCAUUCUCAUAAAAAUAUUAUGGUGGCUAGGGCUUUGUUGGAAGAGAUGAUGAAUAUUGAGUUUUUUGUGGUCAACCCCUUUCUCUAUAAUUCACUUAUUUAUUUAUAGCCCAUAAAAUUUGUUAUCUUUUUUUUUUAUAUGGUCCACAUUAACUCAAUUUGUUUUUGCUCCUUUAUUUUUUUUUAUUCUGCACUUUAGCCCUUUUUUCAUUUUGCUCUAUUUUGAUUUUUGAUUUUCACAUUUUCUUUGUAUUUUGUUUUUUUUUAAAUAACAUUAACGUUGACUUAAUAAGAAAAGUAAUUAAGAAAUACAUAAUGGACUUGAAUGUAUCAAAAACAUAUUUGAUUGAAUAUGAUUUUUUUAAUGAUGUCAACAAGAGAAAAAUAAUUUAAAAUUUUAAAUAAGGUGUGCAAAUGGUCGAAAUGUAUCAAAAACAUAUUUUUUGAAUUGUUUUGCUAUCUUUGGAUUUUAGAAAAAUAUUUUUAAAAUGAGGGUAAAAAAUUAGGUUAUGACAUAACUUAUAUGGCCUAUGGUGUUUUGAAUUAGGAAGAUUUAAUUUUCAACUAAAGUAGUGCUAGCUAUAUUGGCACAACUUCCCAUAUUAAUAAUCAUGCUAUAUACAAUGUUAUUGAUAUGACAUCCUUGUAUGAAAUAUGUUUUUCUUUUACUUCUCUAACUCAUUCUCCUUGAUUUGAGCACUCAAUGAAUGCCUAACAAAAAACAACUCACCCUUAACUGAUACUCUACUCAAUCAUUAUCAACAUCCUUCAAAUGGCGGCAUUUGAUCAUCCUCAUUAUCACAUUAAGUUUCCAUUUUCUCGUUAUCAUGCAUAAUCGUAACUUUUUUUUUUUGGAUAUUGAGAAGCUAUUUAUAAUAUUCUCAAAUAUCAAAAAUAUUUUAUAUUAUAAUUAUGAGGUGUUAGUGAUCAGAGUUACAUCUAAUAUUAGUGGAGACAUCUUUCUUGCCCUUCGGUGUUUUAGAGUUACUCUUUUGGGUAGUCCUAUCAUCCUUCUUUUAAUAUAGACUCUAUGAUGAAAACAAACCAGAAUUUAGCUUAACUUUGAAUUUCCCUUCCUCUUGAGUUAUCAUUCUGCAUUCAUAGCCAUAUGUAUCAUGUCUUCUAAUUCUAUAUAAUGUUGUAAUUCCAUGACAUUUGUUAUCUCUUGGUUCAAACCAUUCAAAAAUCUUGUUAUGGUAAUUACCUUAUCCAUCUUUUUUCUAUAUUUUACUGAAUCAUAGCUACCAUUAUUUUUUUUAUUGUAAUCCUUCAUGCUCUUAAAACCUUGAUAAGGCUUUGAAACUUAUGAUAUAACUCCUUAUAGUAAUGGCUAAGGACAAUUUUUUUUCUUAUAACAACAUUCAUUUCAUCCCAAGUCUCAAUAGACCCUUUAUGAUUUCUCUUUCUAUUUAACACAAGAUAAUUCCACCAAAUAACUUCAUAAUUAAUAAACUCCAUCACAAAUAACUUAACUUUUUUAUCCUCAAAAUAGUUAUGGCAAUCAAAGAUCAACUAUACUUUCUUCUCUUACUUUAGGUAAGUUUUUGGAUAAGUCUUUCAUUAGAAAGAAUUGUUUGAGAAUUAAACCAGAAGAAUCUCUAUGGGUAAUGAGUCUUUAUUUUAAUAAUCCUAAGGUUUUUAUCUAUACCAUCAUAAUCUCUAAAAUCUUUUCUAAACUCUCUGUCUUUCAAAUGGUUCGACUAAAACCUCUCAUUAUUGUUGAAUGAUGCUUGAUUAAAUUCAUUCGCAUCUUCAUCCUCAUUCUCAACAUCAAACACAUCUAUAAGUGUAAGAGCAUGUCUCUCUUGCCUUUUGGUGUUAGGGACCAUUUAGGAUUUUCUAUCUUGCAAAUUAGCAAUCAUAAUAUCUUGUAUAUCUAUCUAAUCCCUUGUAUUAUCAAACAACACAUUUAUAUGCUCAAACUACCGUUGCAUUGCCUAUAACACAAAGAAAGUGUUUUUCUUCUCCUUAUUGGGGUGAUGAUUCACCUUUGUAAAAAACAUUUUAAAAUCUGAAAAAAUAAUGUUAGUAAUAGACCUCACACACUCCUUUACGUGUUUACACCUAUAGAUGUGUCAUGUCACUCGUGUUUCAUUCUUAACUUGGCAUUUAUCGAUGUUGUUCUCACACCCUCUUGCCUUUUGCCAGUCUUAACUCCUCUUUUCUAUUCUUUAGUGAACUAAACAAAAUAAAUCAGAUCAUAGAGUUCAAACUACCAAAUUCAAAACAACAAAGACAAACAAAAAAUGAAAAGGAAUUUAGGAAUAACUCAACAAAUCUUAUUUCGAUAUGGAAUUGACUCAAGAAACUCAUAUUCAAUAUGUAAUAACAUAACAAAUCUGAAAUUCAUAUGGACUUUUAAUUUGAUUUUUUUUAAAAUUUGACGGAUCACAAUCUAGUAGAUAAUUUGUUUUUUUAAUUAGAUCAUAAAUUGGAAAAGUAAAGAAAAUCUAAUUCAAGAAAAAGAUGAAUUUGCACUAACUAUCUUGAAUAUGCGCACAAGAUGAAUCUAAACUUUAUAUGUGCGAUUUUGAUGCAAGGAAUAAGUAAAAACAAGAUCAAAAUAGAAUUUAAAAAUAAAAAAAAUUGAUUUUAGAGUCAAACUUUGACACCAACUAAUGCGAACCCAGUGGACAAAACCAUUUAAUCCAUAAUAAAAAAUUGAAAUACUUACCUAUUAACUUUAAUAAAAAAUCAAAGGUAUAUGGUUAUGAAGCCAUAACGAUAAUCUCAUUUAUAAGUUCUGAAAAGUUCAACGAAAAACAAAAAGCAAGAAUGCUUACAUAAUUUUUAUUAAAAAAUAAUAUGUUUUUCACAUCCUAAUAUAAAAGGUAUUUAUAUGUUUGACUUAAAUACAAGUAAAUCAUAAUUAACCAUGAGCUGAAAAUUGAACUCAAAUAACUAACUAAAUUAAGAAUAUGGGUAAAAUAAAAUACAAAACUCAAGUCUUGUAUAAAUAAAAGUUCAAUUCGCAUAUUCUUAAUUAACAAAUUUUAAACCUUAUUAGAAGGCCUUUCCAAUGUCUGCUUGUAACAAAAUCUUAAUUUUAUAGAAAAUAAUACCUUAACAACUUUUAGAUAAAUGAUAACCUGAUUCAACAAUCAAAUUAAAAAUACAUUACAAAAUAAUGUAUUAUUGUUUGAGCGAUAUUGGACAUUAUAGUGUGUUAAUGGUGGAAAAUUAUGCAAUUUGAUUUAAAUAAUGCCUUUCUUAAUGGUAUUCUUAUUCUUUUAGAUGCAGUACACAUGAAUCAUUCAUCAAUUUAUGAUGAUAGUUCUCACCCACUUUAUGCAAGCAAACUCUAAUAUUUUUUUUAUGGAAUUAAGUAGGCUACAAAAUAUAUAUUUUGAUUUAUCGGAUCCAUGACAAAGCCAGCACAUAAAAGAGAGAGCAAGACUGCCACUACUUUAUCUUUAAAUGUGGAAACGUGACUAAAAUUAUAUUUUUAAAAUUUUAAAUUGUUUUUAUUUUUAAUUAUUUUUUUAAUAUUUUUAAAUUUUUUUAAUAUGUUGAUAUUAAAAAUAUUUUUUAAAAAAUAAAAAAAAUAUUAUUUUAAUGCAUUUCCGAGCAAAAAGUAUUUUGAACUGUAAUUUUUCCCACACUCUCAAAUACCUUUAAAUUCUUCAAUCAACUUGUGGUAAAGGUGAAAUAUACAAAAUAUAGAAAAUUGAGCUAUAUAUCUAUAUGAUUCUUUGGAUAGUAGAUAACUUAAGAGAAGGUUAGAAUCUACAACAUAUAUAUUGAUUAAUAAUAUUAAAAUAUAUAAAUAUUUGUGAAGGAGUUCUAGACAUAAUUAAUAUAUUGUAUGUGGAGAAUAAAUUGUACUUGAUAAAUUCAUAAUAAGAAGGAGAAAGUAAAACGCAAACACAACAAUUUCUUGUAAUCAAACAAAAGCAUUGUCUACUGAUCAUAAGCAAGCAAGCAAGUACUCACCAUACAAUUGAUAAUAAAUACGUAACAAUUUCUCAAGUUUGUUCCUUAUGCAACACACUGCAGGAUUAUGUAACCAAUCAUUGCUUAUAAGCUAAACAUAACCCAUAUAUAUAUGAUAUCUAUUCCUAAUAUUGAAAUAUUUCAUUUUGUAUAGUUAGUGGGUACGGAAUAUUAGUGGUUAUUGGUGCAGAGUUAGUAAUCACAAUGUUCUCCUCUACCUGCAAAACAAACUCUUCAUUGUUAGACCAAAUAGCUCAAAAAAAAAAAAAACAAUUCUGAUAAGAAAGUUAAUAAUCUUUCAUUAACCUUAUCUUGAAGAUAUUGAUUUGCAGCCUUCAAUAUUCCUUCCUAUAAAAUUAAAUUCACAUAUAAUAAUCUCAAAAAAAAAAAAAAGUGAAUUGAGGUAGAAAUGAGUAUUUUUCACGAACAUAGGUGUAAAUAUAAGAAUUUUGCCUAAAUGUUUUAAUAACUAGGGCUAUAUUGAGGCUGGAUUUUGUGUACCCAGAUGAAAUCUAUAAUUUUGGUUCGGUCAAAGGUAGGCUAUCCAUAUCAGUAUUGGGUAAUUGAUCAAUAUUUUUCUUCACACAACCAUACAUAGGUGUUUGACCUCAUUUUUAGAGGUUAUGAUCUCAAUAUAUCUCCUACAUGUUUAAUUGUACAUAAUAAUUAGUAAUUUGUAGAGAAAUUCCCAAUAGAUCCUUCUAUUAUGUCCCUAAUUUGUGGGGUUUUUUUUUGACAUUUUUCUAAUAUUAAAGACAUAAUAAGUAUAAUUAAAAAGGUCAAGAUGUAGGUGACAAACAUUUAUAUACAAGGACAAAUUAAACUAUUUAUAAAAUAAAAAAACAAAAAUUCAUGCAAAAUGCUCCAAUUCUUUUUUUUUUUCCAUUAAAAAAAGAUUUUAAAUCCGUUUUCCCACUACUCUCACACGCAAACACAUUUUAUAUGUAAAUAAAUUGACAAAAUGAAAUCAAAUAUAUAACAAAAAAGUAAUUUUGGAAAGUACUAAAUAGCUAUGUUAAUACCUAUAGUUAAUUAGAAAAUGGAUGAUUGAGUACUAACCUUGUUCCUCAGCUGUUGAAUCUCUUUAAACAUGAUGUCCAUCUGCAUGUGUGCCAUUAAUUAAUUAGUUAAACUUAUGACAAAUAUAAUUAUUAGAAGCUCGAAGAAUAAUAAAUUUGGCUUAGAAGUAUUUACACCUUGGUUGAACGAAUUUGAUAAAUCCAAAUUUCAAGAUGUUUUUCAAGUUCAAUCAAUUCAUCUAAGGUCAUUUCAGCAGCACGCCCUCCAAACAUGUACCUGUAAUCCAAAUUAAUUUCAAGAUGUUAUAUCUCUUUGAUACAAAUAUUCUUUUUACAUGCUUUUUUUAUUUUUUAACAUAAGAUUUUAUAUAAACAGUGCAAUAUGCUUGUUUUUAUGAGCUCUUUUUUAUUAUUAUUAUUAGAGGAAAUGACUUCACAUAUUAUUUUAGGAGUUGUAUCCAAGGUUGUCAAUUUCGUUCCGUUCCGCCUGGAAUGGCCGAAACAUUCCAUACCAAUUCAAAAAACGGAACAAAACGGAACAAAUUUCAUCUCAUUUUAAAUCUCGGUCCGUUCCGGAUUUUUCGGCUAAAUUCCGCCCGGAACGUUCCAGUUCCAUUCCACAUGUUCCAUUCCGCUCUUGAAAAGCCAUUGAAUCAAAUUGAACCUUAUUCAAUUUAAUUAAUUAAACCACCCAAUUAUAAAAAGCUCUUUUUUAUUACUAUUUUCUAUAACAAUGAUAUUAAUAAUAACAUUGAAAAUUAUUAUUACUAUUUUCAUUAACAAUAAUAUUAAUUUUUUAAAAUUAGAUUUAUCACUAAUAUAUAUGGUUUAUAUUCAUGUUUUUUUUUUUCAUGUUUAUACUUUGUAGGAAUUUGAGCAAAACAAGGGAUGCUUUAGAUUCCAUUAGCCUUAAUAACAUUGACCUAACUUUAUAUUUAAAAUAUUUGUGUUAAAACAUUUUACUUUCAUAAUAUUUUGAUAUUUUGUUUAAGUUGAAUUACUUUAAGUUAAAGAUCUAUUUAAUCUUGACUAUUUAGAAAUAUUUUAAAUUUUGAAAUUAUAUUUGUUUGGCAUUGUGUUUGUAUUACAUAAUUUAUAAUUAAUUUAUCUUGAAUUUGAAUUAUGUUUGUUGAAUAUAUAUAUAUAUAUAUAUAUAUAUAUAUGAACAGUACAACCCCGAAACGGCACGCCGAAACACUCCGAAACGGCACGCCGAAACACUCCGAAACUGAAACAUUUCGUUCCAAUUGAAAAAACGAAACACCUACCGAAACGGAAUUGACAACCUUGGUUGUACCCAAUCUAUCAUGAUAAAAAGAUUCUAGCCUUUUUUAUAUUCAAUUGCAUUUGAUCUAUUCUUGAGAAAAAAAUUCUAGCCUUUUUUAUUUUUUUUAUUUAACUUUAUUUUGGAUAUAUAAAAUCUAAACUUGGUCAUAUGCAAGUCAUAUGAUACACUUCUAUUAGUUUUGAUGGUGAAAUCUCCCUAAAGGAUAUAUUACAAGUAUAACAACUUUUAAAAGAUAAAUGGGAUGUAAUUAAACAUAAAAUGGAUAUGUGAGGCAAUUUUUCUUUUAUUAUUAUAUAUUAUAAAUAUACUGAUCUUUUACAUCUAUUCUAAGGACUAUGACAUAUAACUUUUUUUUCAUUAUAAAUGUGACAUGAUAUGCGAGUGUUUGAUUUUACAUUAUAAUUUGUUUUUUUUUUAAUUUUUAUUAAAUUAUUUUUUGUUUGAAAAAAUAUUAAAUUGAUAUUUUCUUAAAUGUUUUUAUAUGAUUUUAAUGUACUGAUGUAAAAAAUUUAAAAAUAUAUAUAAAUUUUUUUUAUGCAUUUUAAAUUGAAAUUCAUUUUUAAAAGUAUUUGCACCAUAAAAUCAAGCGCAUGAUUCUAUAUGCUUUCAAUGCAGCUAAUUCAUGUUAAGUACAAGUCACUUCAAUAAUCCAUUAGACAAGCAGAACUAUAAAUAUAAUUGAUACAAACCUCAGUCCUUUUUGCAAUAUUUCAAUCUCUUGCUUCAACAUGUUGAUCUCUUCCUUCACAUCCUGAUUAUAGAUUAUUUUCCCAUUAAUGAAAAUAUAUUUAGAAAAAUAUAAAGUCAAAUCGUAGAAUUUUUAUAACUUAUGGAGCGUUCAAAGAUGGAAAAACAUAUAAUUAACAUGCAAAUUGGUUUCCAAUUAUUUGGUGAAAAUUAAAACAACAACUAAAAGAUUAACAAGAAAAGAAAAUAGAAGAGAAAAAGCUCCAAAAAUGUUAUAGAAAAUAAUAAAAUUGUCUUUAUGCCAAUGCCACUUUGAUUUAAUCUCAUAAAAGUUAAUCAUAAUUAAUUCUAAAGUUAACAUAAGAAUCGUUAAAUAUGAAUUGUUAAAUAUAGAUGUGCUCUUUUUUGCUCUAAUUACUGCUUCAUCAAAAACUUUGAAAAUAUUAGAAAAACCUUAUUUUGUUUUUAAAAAAAUGCUUUUAAUAUAAAAAAACAAAAUAUUUAAAAAUAUUAAGAAUAUUUUGGAUAUAAAAGAGAAUUUUUGUAACCGAUGCCAUAACCUAUUUCUGGGUGAUUCUCCAAAUUCACCCUUUUUUCAUUCCAAAAUAAAAAUAAAAAAAUAAAAUAUUAAUAGCAAGAAAACUCGCAUUUUGACCAAAGUAAGCUAGCAGGAUGUCAAAUGAAGAAAAAUCAAGCUGCAAUUUUGGAUGGAAUUAGGAGUCUAAUUGUGCCCUAUUUUACCCAAAAUUAAAGAGACAAUAUAGAUUCAAUGUCAAAUUAAAUCAUUAUUAAAUGAAUCUACAUAAAAAUUAAGCUUAUGGACAUAAUUAGAUUUUUAAUAGGCCAAUUUGAUUUAAUCAUGGGCCAAAUUAAAGUUUAAUUAUAUUUAAGAAAUAAUUUGGGUCCAAUUGAAGGAUUUAAUUAGGUGCAAGGACUUAAUUAUACUUUAAAUAAGUCAAAUUAAUUUUUUUAGGUGCUUAAUUGGUGAAAUAUUAAGUUUGGGAGCCCAAUUUAGGCUUAAUUGAGAAGAUCGGAAUAUUAGGAGAUCAGAUUUAAUUUUUAUCAAGUCAAUUAGUUCAAAUCAGGGGUAAAAUCGCAAGAAAAUUAAAGUUUUAGGGUCAAUUAAAAACUAAAUUGAAGAUAUUUAUAGCUAAUGAUCAUUUUGCAAAAGGCGUUGAACUUUGAGGAUUCAAUUGAUUGAAAUCAGGAGUGAAAUUGAAGAAAAUUGAAAGUUUAAUAGUCAAUUAAGGAUCAAAUUGCACAGAUUAUAGAACAUGGACCACAAUAAAAAAAUGCGCUAAAUUUGAGGCUGAUAUUUAAGUUCAGUAGGGGAAAAAUUGCUUGAAAUUAAAAGUUCAGAGUCAAUUAGGGGUGCAAUUGAAAGAAAUUAAAAGAUGGAGGACCAAAUUAAACUAUGGCUAAAUCCCUAAAUUAAAACCCUAUUAGUCAAAAUGACACAGUUUCAUUUAAAUAAAAUAGCAUGUUUUGACUAAAACGACACCAAUUUGACCAGUAAAAAAAAAGGACCAGAUGAUGCGUCGUCUAGUGACUUGUUCAUCAUCUUCUUCAGUUAAGUCAGGAAAAGCUGCUCGAAUGAUCUCCUUCUCAAAGCAUUUAAUGCUUUAUCUCUCCAUCAAAUUGGAUAAAACUUGAUGCAAAUGAUGGUCUGACAUCUGACUACACCCUAGUGUGGUCCGUUCUAGCCGAUUAACACUACAACGGUUGCGGCACUACUGUAAAGUAGCCAACCCGACUAUCCCCCUUUUCCAGUAAUUUUGUCAAGCCAUGAUGGUCACUUUGAGCCAACAGUUGGGUUCCUUCUAGGUCGAAUCAAGGGUCAAGAUUUGACACCAUUAGAGAUAAAAUAUCCCUCUUUCACUCCUUAUAAAUCGGGUCCAAAGCUAACAAAAAAAACCAGUCUUAAUUCCCCCAGUAUUUUAUCUGCCAUUAUCACUUUCUUUCUUCUGCUUCAUUGUCGUGACUUUGACUCCUUCCGCCACCACUACCUCAUCAACAACGUGAUCGUCAGUGGCCCAUCACCCUUGCCACUCCAUUUCCUCACCGGUAAUAGAAGUAGCCAUUAUGAGCUCCUUGAUUUUCCCCUACAUAAUAACCUCUGGAAUCCUUUUCUUUCCAGACUAGCAAUGACCCCUGCACCUUUGACCUCUAGUCAUCGACAGUAGCAGCAGCUCCAACCACGCUGACUGCUUCUUCUUCUUCUUCUAGCAGCCAACACCGCCUACCGGUACCUCCACCAAUGCCUCUUUAGUCGCUAGCUGAACCUUCUCCUCACAGCUGACGCCUCCAUGCUAGGUAACUUUUCCCCCUUCUCCUCCUUUUUUUUCUUUCCUCCCGCCAUCAUCACCUUGCAUGCAGAACAAAAAUUUGUUUUGCAUGCAGGGUGCAAAAUAAUUAUCCCCUGAGUUGGGUUAGACCCAUGUCAGGUAGGGUGCACUAGGAGUGAUACGUCUUCUUCUUACACAACCAGUCCUUUACCCGAACUCUCGCAGACUAUAGGUUUCCUAGUAACUAUAGUACUAGGUGGCGACUCUUGAACCUUAUAAUCAUAAGUUUAUGAAUAAAUCCAAAACUCCUUUCUUUUCCAACAUAAUACCUCUCAGGAGGCAAAUAACAUGUUGUUUGACGUCGCCCCACGAGAAUUGAUAUCAUGAAAGCUUUGCUAGGUGUAUUGGAAGCAAAUAGUUAAGGAGAAAGAUUGGGGUGGUCUUAGUGUGGGCUCUUUGAUUGAAAAAAAAAAGGCAUGCUUUUCAAAUGGCUUUGGAAACUAGGAGAACCACAUACAUAAGGCUCUCUUGGGUAUUUAAAUAAGAAGUAUAAGCCUACCUUUAUUAAUGGCCUUCCUAUCUUUGAUUGUUCUUUAUUAGAGACAUGGGCAAGCAUCUUUUCAAUUGUUAAUUCUUCUGACCCUAUUUGAAAUUCCUUAUGAAAAAACUAUUACUUCAAACUAGGAGAUGGGAUAAUAAUUAUAUUUUGGUUAGAUUGCUAGUUAGCUGAGACACCUCUAAAAUUCUUAUUCCCUCAACCUUUUGCUUUGUCUUGAGAUCUAAGAACAAGUUGUUGAUUUAUGUGUUAUGGAUAGUAACACUAUUGCUUAGCAGUACACAUGAAAAAAAAGAUUACAAUAAAUAGAAAUAAAUCUAGUUAGUGAUCUUUUUUUUUUAGUAAGAAAAAUAGUUUAUGCCUAUUUUUUUACAACAGGACCAUGAGAAUCUUUUGACUACAACUAAAACAAUCAAAAUUCCAACCCCUACCAUUGCUUUCUCCUGAUCACCAACCCAACAGUUUCAAAGACUUUAAAAUUCCAGCAUCUAUCUUAUAAAUUUGUAGAGGCCAAGGAUUAAGAGAAUGGAGGUUGAAGCAACUUGACCAAAACGAGGCAUAACAAGAGGAACAUAUUUUUAAGUGGAGAAGCAACCAUACUUAUUUGAUCAAACAAGAAAAUCACAGGUAAGAUCAUACCAUCCACUAUAACACUUCAGAUGAUCAAACCUUUUAUAAUCUCAAAUCCAUGCCAUAAGCUCCUUCAUUUUAUUUACUCUUUAUUUUGCAAGGGACUUAGCCAUGAAGUUUGCUUCUUAAAAGUUUACUUCUUAAAGGGUAUGAUAGAAAGAAACAUUACCCAAAACAGAAGCAAACCGAGAAGCUUGAAUAAUAAAUCAUGGAAUUUGAUAUGCUAGUUUUUUUAUUUUAGGAGGACGACACUCACGACUAAAAGGAAAUCUUCAAAGCUCAAAUCCAAUACCAAUUAGAAGCUCGGUCUAGAACAAGGUUUAUUCAUCCAAUUUACCAUGGAAGAAAAGUAAAAUUCCAUUAAGAAAUUUUUCCCAAUAAAAUCAUUCAUUGAAGAAGACAAUUCUAUAGCUUUUACAACCAUAAACAGUUCAACUUGAUUAGAGUCUUUAUUACCCUUUGAAUAAGAGAAGACACUUAUUACAACUCUAAAAUGGUCUCUUAAUACUCCUCUAAUACCUGUAGGCUCAUGUUUACCCUUAGAAAAGCCAUCAAUAUUCAAUUUUAGGGAGUUGUUGUCAGGAGGGAUCCAAUAUAAAUAGGGUCUAUUACUCUUGACAUUUGUCCAACAAACCAGUCCCCCAGUCGAGGUUAAUAAAUCUAUUACAGAAUAAUGAAAAUCUAAAUAAAUAAUUUUGACCAAACACAUAAUCUUAUUAAGAUUAAUAAAAAAAAAUUAUAUCAUAAUCAGGUACUCUGUUAUUGAACACCUUAUCAUUUUAUAGAAUCUAUAGAGACCAUGAAAUAUCAAAGAAUAUCAUGAUCCAUACCUUCCUUUAAAACGUUCCAUAAACUAAAUCAACACACUAAUUAAAAAGAGAUGACAUGUCUUUUGGGCAACACUAGGACACCCCUUACCAAUCUGCAAACCUGGACCAGACCCUCUAAUGUUUAUAGCAGUGUAAAAGAGCAUGAUCUAUGGUUUCCUCACAAAGCAUACAUAAUGGACAAUUAGCCUCAUUAGAAUCAAGAAUGCUUCUUUUAACCAAAAUUCCCCUUGUGUUAAUUUUGCCAAGAAUGGCCAUCCAAAAGAAGACUUCAACCUUAGGAGGAACUAGCCCCUUCCAAAACCCAAUAAAAAAGUUAUAGUUAUUUGCAAUACCUUGUGGGGCAUGUAAGAAACUUAGAGAUUUAACUGAAUAUUCACCAUUGUUGUUAUGUUUUCAAAUUAGUCUAUCAUUUGUUUCUUCUUUCAAAAACACUAGUGGUAGUUUCUUAUAAAAGGUCCUCAUUCAGCUUUGGAGGAGGUUUUUCUAUUGCCUCAUAAUUCUGACAUGAAAGUUUGGAGGAAUGAGCCAAAAGAUUGUUGUUCAAUGAAAUUAGGAAGUACAAUCAUAUGGAAGGGUAUUGUCCCAUCAAAAUUUGAUAUUUUUCUUUGAGUAUUAGCUCAAAACAAACUGUGUAUAAGAGGAUUUCUUGCAAAUAGAAAUUUAAUUGGCCAUGAGAGUGCAAUUUGUUCCUUUUGUAUUGUUGAAACAAAUUUGGUUGGUCAUCUUUUUCUACAUUGCAUACAUAUUUGGAUUUUAUGGAACAAACUGAGGUUUUUGAACUAGUUAGGUAUUCAAUGUCAUAUGCCAGAAAGUACUUGUCAGAUGUUAACUAGUGGAGUGAUAUUGUGAAAGAAAAAAAUUCAAAGUUGAGCAAUUACUUUUACAUUUUAUGGAAUAUUUAGGGGUAUUUGGCUAGAAAGAAAUAAGAUAGUAUUUAAUGAUCAAUUGUCAGAUUAGGAUUCAAUAUUUGAAUUAAUUCUUUACUAUCUUGCUCUUUGAUUAAAGAUUUUUAAAGCUAACUUUAUAUAUACAAGUUUCGAUCUUUUUAGAGGUCUAGAGAUAAUUUUAAAAUAGACCUACACAUAGAACUGAUUUGUUUAGAACAUUCUUAUUUGUUUUGCUUUAUUCUUUUUAAUUUCUAUGUAACCUAGACAAUUUUUCACUUAUUUUCUAGUUUGUCAUCCCCUUAAUGCCCUUAAAUCCUAAUAAUAUUUCUUUGAUUACUAUAUAUAAAAAAAAAAUUAGACAAUGACUACGACAUUAAUAAUGGUGGGGCAUUAUAGCUAUCAUUGCUUUGAAUCACUAUUAUGAACACCGUAACACCAAAUAAUGAUAUUAGGGUUCUCCAAAUUCAUUAAAUGAGUAACUAUUAUGAAUGAUAUUUAAAACCAUGAUCCAAUUAGUUGAUGUACUAUGUAUUGAAUCCAGUGAUCAUCACCCCUACAUCAUCCACACUUGUAUAGUUCAUAUUGGAGGUAUUUAGACAACAUGACUCGAUUAUUCUUUUCCAAUUUCCAUGCAUACAACCUGUAACAGUGUCAAAUGUGUACGAAGUGUACACUUCAGCAAGCUGUCCAAAACAGUGCCUAAGGGUGCUAGCAGCCAUGCCAAUAGUGGGAUAAAUUAGCAGCGCAAAUUUGUGCAGUUGUAGGUUCGUCAAAGAAAAGUCGACAGCACAGAUUAUUGAAAAAAGGGCUGGACGAUGGAAUGUCCAGGCCAAGCAGGAAAACUCGUCAGGGGGAUAGGCUGACGAGAACAGGGGCUGUCGUGAAAUUCAGCAGCAAAGACAUUGGCAGCCUGCACGUAGAUGCGGAUUCAACAGCGCAGACAUUGGCAGUAUGCUCGCAAAUGCGAAUUUGACAGCGCACAACAGCUUGUGCAAGUUAUGAGUUCGACUUGGCACGAUCUGAAACGACAUUGGUAGUCUGCACGCAGAUGCGAAUUCGGCAGCGCACAAUAGCUUGUGCAAGUCAUGGGUUCGACUUGGCACGAUCUGAAACUUGAACGAAAGACUGUCUAAGGCAUACGAGUGACUCAACAGCUGACGCGGCAAGAACUGGCAGUUAGGGCUGCCAGGUGGGCAUGCAGAACGUGGGUUAGUGGCAGUUAUGGACUUCCUAGAUCAUGGGGCAGAACGUGGGAGCUGAUCAGAGGAUUGCUCUACAACUGCUGAGAUCAUGGGAUCAUGGGAUCAUGGGAGAGUAAUGUCCACUACUUGCUGGAAAAUAGGCCAUUAAGAUCAUGGAGACCAUGGGGGAGAAAGUGCCUCACUAUGUCCUGAAAAAUAGGAUCAUGAGUGUGUCUUUCAGCUCACAUACUUGGCUAUAAAUAGUUGUUGUAGCUCUUGGUUGUAGAUAGGAUGCAUAGAGAGGAAAUAACGUGUGUAAGCGUGGCUGUGUAGCACGCGAUUUCUGUGCAUAGCACAUACAUUCAUUGUGUAAUCCUUUGUUGACGAGAUAAAUAAAGGUUAAGAGUCCUUCUUGUAUUCUCGGUGUGCUUUGCUUUGUGUUGUGCAAUCUACUUGUGUAUUCCGCUUGUCUUUUAACUUGGAAAAGUGGGAAAACCUCUCGGGUGAGGAAAACACUUAGUUACUAGGCAAACACGAGUGACAUUGGUAAGGAAAGGCUGAGUCUAGUGGGGGGACUAAACUGCCGCACGGGUUUAUUCGCGAAGCAAAAAAUUACCCCAUGACACACUCACUAAUCUGGCUUAGAGUUUGCCAUAAAGUCUAAGCAUGGAUUUAUUUUCAUCUAAUAAAGUCAGGAAUCAAAACCGAGACAUGGAUCUAAGUAACUCAACUCGAGCUAGAUCUCGACGACAUGGCUUAACCUAAAUAACCUAUCAAAAAAGAGGUUCAAAAGUGUAAAUCAGGAUGUUUGGUCGUCAAGCUACGAUGAGAAUGGGAAUAUCUUCAUCACCAACAUUGCGCAUAAAUUACAAUGGUAUAUUUCUGUAAGUAUGCUUUUACGACCAUUAGAACCAGCAUCUGAUGCUGUGGAAGCUUUUGAAUAAGAAUACGAAGAUUAUGUUUGUCUAUUUGUUAUCUACUUUUGCAUGCAUUCAAUAUAGUUAUUUAUCUGUAUAAUUAAGAGAGAGAGAGAGAGAGAGAGUUAAUUAGAUUACAUACCAUAUCAGGCUGGGUCUCAAUGGCAGCUGGUUCAGGUUGGGUCCCUCGGCUGGACUUCAUGUACCUCUCAAUAAGCCCUUGCAUGGUUCUUAAACAAUAAAGAAAGAGAAAAAGUAACUCUCUAGAGAUGUGUAAAAACUUUAAGAAAAGCUUAUGAAGAGUAAAUUAUAUCAUAUCUAACGCGUCACUCAUGAGGAAAAAUGUCCAUAAUUUCAUGUAAGGUUACAUGCAUGCAUAAAUCGACACAUGUUUUUCGUUCGUGCAAGCAAAUUUAUGAGUGUGACCACACAUGUAUAUGCAUGCAAUAUUGUUUAUGUGAAUGGAAAGGGAGAGGGAGGGGAGAGAGAGGAAGAGAGAGACCCUUUGGUGGCUAGUUCAUAGAGCUUUCCAUGGGCGGAGAAAAUGAAAACUCCAAUUUCAGCAUCACACAGCACAGAGAGCUCCUUAGCCUUCUUAAGGAGACCAGAUCGGCGCUUGCAGAAGGUAACCUGCCUGUGCACAGAGUUCUCAAUACGUUUCAUCUGAACCUUUCCGCGAGCCAUUCUUGAUCUUCUUUUCUGAUUUUUUUUAUUUUUUUUAAUUAUUGGAAGUUUUUCGAAAGCUUCCAAACAGACAACCGUACACUAGUUUGGACUAGCUUAAGGUUGCUGCUAUCCUCCCUUCUCUCAAGGAGUUGUCGUCCUACAAUUGCUUCUCUAGUAUGGCCGCUUCAAAACUUAUAUAUUCUCAAAAGAGAAUGGGAAUCCAUGUCGUGCAGCUGCCUUUAUUCUUCACUCAGUUAUUUAUUCAGGGUGUUUUAGGGUCCGGUCGAAUCAUGUUUUUUUAAAAUUUUAAAAUUUGAAUUGUUUUGAAAUUUUAACAUCAAAAUUAAAUUCUAAAAGAUAAAAAAGUAUUAUUAAUUUAAAAUUUUAAAUUAAAAUGAUUCUAUCAUAAUAUUAAAGACUUUAAAUCAUAGUAGAUUUACUAAUAUAAAGUUUUAAAAACUUUCAUAUUAAAGGAAUUAUUAUAAAAUCAUUUCCAAAUCUUAUCUAUCAAGUUAAAGAUGUUUUUAGAUCAGGAUGACUGGCUGACAGCAUGAACCAUAAUGCAUUCCCAACUCCAGGAGACUUGGUGCACAUGAGGCGUGGCCGAGCAGAUAAAAGCUUUCACAUUUCACAUGCAACCCCUUGUUUUUUAACUCCACAAGACUUGGUGCCCAUUGUUGUUGGUUGCUUUCCAUUUGCCCCGCCACGUUUCCUUGUUUCCUGGCCUUUUCUCUCCUUUCACCUUUUGUCUUUGUAACAAAGAUGCACCUUCUCUGCUUUCAAGGCCUUUCCGAUCUUCAGAAACAGUACACUCCCUCUUUAUAGAGCCAGAACAUUAAACAAAACCCUAGCACCCUACACUCCCUCUUUUUGGAGCCAGAACAUUAAACAAAACCCUAGCUAGCACCGCCCACCACUCAUUCAUCUUAACUCUGAAGACAAGAAUCUUGUCAAAUCACUUGCACUCAAUCGGAAGCCAUAAAGAGAACUUCACUUUGAUUUCUGUGGCUGCUUGGAGAGGCUCAAGCAGUUGGCACGUGGAUAUUCUCUUGUCGAUCUUCUAUGAUUAACAUUUUUUAUCUGUGAUAUAAAGGUGAGGUUCCACGUUAUCUUUGAAAUGAUGGAACUCAAUUUUAUGGAUUAAAUGGAAAUAGGCUCUUGUCAAAAGAUGUCAAUUUUUAAUUUGAAUGGUGCGCAUGCGGGAAGAAAUCGUCUGGAAGAUACAAUUGUUAUGAUUCAUGCUGCUUGUUAAAAAUGGAGCAUGUUAAAAUUAUGGUGUUCACGAGUAUACUCCAUUUGUGUUAUUUAGUUUUCAUUGGAAGGCUUAAUUACUUGGACUCACGGUCCAAAUUUUGAGUAUCCCUAAUUUAAGGAUGAUGAAAAUUAACUAAAACUAGAUACUGCGGCUUGAUUUUUUUAUUAAUAAAAAAAAUCAUGUUCAGAUACUACAAACAUAUUUAAAAAAGGAGAAAACAUUCCUCAAAACGAGUCAUAGAUUACUAGAUCUAUUAAAUAGUUUCAUUUAAUUAUAUGAUAAAAAUAAAACGAUAAUAAAUGAAUUAAAUUUAAAAAUAAAAUGUGAUGCUACAAAAAAAAAACACAUGUCAAAAGAAGAAGAAAAAUACUACUAAACCUGAUCAUAAGACCGAGAAAACUCUAUAAAAAGUAAAUCAAAAUAAAUUAUAAAAUUUAAUACCCAUUAAACCCAAUAUUGAGGGACUAAUUUUUUAAAAAAAUUAAGUUUUAAUUAAAAAAACUUUAAAGACCAAAUUAAAAAAAAGUGAAAACAAUAUGAAAUUCUUUUCUACUUGCAAUAAAUUGGGAAAAAUAGUGAUUUAUAUUUAAGGUUUUCUAGAUUUGCGCGUGAGAAGUAGAACACACACACACGUAGAAAUUUAAAGAUAUGUGUGUGUACGUGUACUCCAUUAAAUUGCAUUAUGUUUUAAAUUAGGAGGAUUGAUUUGGAAAUAUUUAACAUGAAACAUUCUGGAAACCAUAUAAUUAAAUCUCCUUUAUUUUUAUUUUCCUUUGAGAGUGUUAUAUAUGCUAGAUAUCAUAUCACGAUUUAAAAACUCAACCGAUCGAGCAAACAGCAUGGCGAUGAACAGUACAUGAAGAUCAUUCAAUGAUGAACAUAUAUAGAGGAUUCCAGUCAAAGGGAUGCUAGAAAUGGCACCACCUAACGUGUCUAUCUUCUAAAUAAAGUUUAUUCCAGAGAUGAGAGUGGACCACUAAGCUUAAGUUCAUGGAUUCCUCUAUUUCUGCAAUUUUUAUUUUUAUUUUGUAUGAUUCCAUAUAUGAGAGUGGACCGCGUUGAAUUGUAGUAAAGUUUAACUAGUAUUGUUUCUUCAAUAUAUACAUACAUGGUAAUAAAGUUUAACUAGUAUAUUGUUUCUUCAAAAAUUCUACAGCUGAUAUUCUUAGAAAGUGAUUUAUGGAAGAGAUCUUUUAGUAAAAUAUAAGUGUUAUUCUAAAAAGAAUUAUGGCUUGGGACCCGCUCACUCUAGCAGUUGAUGGAAAGUAAAUAAAUAAAAAUGUGAAGUAUUUAUGGCGGCAUCUAGGUUUGUGUUUCGAUCCUUUAAGAACAAGUAUGGUGUCGAAUGAUGAAUUAGUUUUUUAAUUUGUUGUGCAACGAAGCGGUUCAGCUGGGAUAUGUUUGUUUUUAUAUUUUAAAAAUAUUUUUAAAAUAAAUUUAAUUUUUUUUUUUAUGUUUCCAGAUCAUUUUGAUUUAUUAAUGUCAAAAUAAUUUUUAAAAAAUAAAUAAAUAUUAUUUUAAUGUAUUUCUAGACGAAAAAUAUUUUAAAAAACAACCACAAUCAUAUUCUUAAACACCUUCUCAUUCUAUAUAUUAGUUUAAUAGAGGGAUACUCUUUCCCUUCUGUUUUAGGAAAGAAAAAAGAAUAAAAAUAAAAAACAUGUAUCCCUUCCCAUUUCUAGGCAGUGAUUCUUCGUUCAACCUCAAGUCCUUCCUUGCGGGGAAAGAAAUUAAAUUAAAAUUCCAUUUUAAAAUCAUAUUCAUGUUCACAUCAUGAUCUAUUACGCUAGGUGCUAUCAUAAUCUUUUUGAAUGUGAUUGAAAAACUUACCUAAAGAUUUGAAUUUCUGACGAGUAAUUUUUAUUUUUAUUUUUAUUUUUUUUACACUUGUAAGAUAUUAAUUUGAUUGCUAUCUCAAGAAUUAGAUGUGUUUUCUAUUUACAAGCCACGGACUUUGUUUUAAUCGUUGAGAUUAAAUUUCUUCCCGUAGACAUGUAAUAUGGCUUCUUGGCUUAUAGCUAGAAAUUAUCUUCUGAAAACCUAUUCUAAAUUAACUUCGAAUUAUUGGGGUUAUUGCUUAUUAAUAAUUAAGUGUCGAGCAUUAAGGGUUUAUUAUUAUAUGUGAUACAAUAAAACAAUAUAAGAAAAACAAUAAUUUUUUUAAUUUAAAAUUUUAUUAAUAAAUAAUUUUCUUUUUAAUUAAACUGUUGACUCUCUAAAAGGUUUAAAAAUUCUUAAACCUUUUAGGAAGUCGGCUUAAUUGAAGAGAAUUUAAAUCUUUUAAGGAGUCAACGGCCUAAUUGAAGAGAAAAUUACUGGUUUAAAAAUCCUAAAUAAACCUAAAAAAGCUAUACUAAAUAAAUUAGAAAAUUCAAAAUUAAAAGAAAAUGUAAUAAAUUCCUAAACAAACUAGGAAAUAAAAAAAACAAAGAUGAAAGAAAAAAUAAAUAAUAUCUUCUGGGCUUGAUUCGGAGAUCUUAUAGACUACGACUGGUUACAACUAGAUAACCCUUUAUAGAAAUGAACUAUAGAAUCUCUUAAUAUAAUUUAAAUAUAAUUCAAUGGUCAAAUUAAAAGUUAUAAGUUUUUUUUAUCAAGUUUGCUAACAUAUAUCUCUUUUUAAACUUAAUCUUGUCUCGUUAGACAAUAAAAUAAAUUUAAACAGUAUUGUAUACUUUUUUAAAAAAAAUAAUGAAUUAAAAACAUUUCAAAAACUAUACAACAAUAGUUUAUAGUUAGAACACCACUAUACAUUGUGCCAAAUAUUUAGGCAGUCAAAGAUAAGGAGCUAAUUUUGUCCUCCUCUUGCAUGAGAUGGAGCCAAGUCUUGUUUUACUACCUUUAUUAAGAAUUGAACCGGUGACCUUUUGAUAAUAUUGAAAAACCAUUAUAUUGUGGAAACCCAUUGAUUAUUAAGUCAAUAUAUACAUUAAAACAUAAAUUACCAUAAAUUGCAAAUUUCUUCUUUUUUUUCUUUUCUUUUUUCUUACUUUGGUAAUUAAUAGAAGACCACUCAUCCAGUACUUGAGAAGGUAGAAUGAGUGCAUGACCAUAUAGGAGAAAAAAAUAAAAAAUAAAAAAAGAAACAGUCACAAAUGAGCAAACCAUAAUGAAAAUUAGGGGUAAUCAUUUUUGGUUCGGUUUGGUUUUUAUUAAAAAAAAUAACCAAACCGAAAUUAAAAAAAAAUACCGAAACCGGUUCAAACCGACUGGUUUCGGUUUGGUUCGGUUUUUUAGGACAAAAACCGGUUCAAACGGGUUUGGCUCGGUUUUCCCAGUUUUGGCUCGGCUUUCCCGGUUUUGGCUCGAAUUUUCUCGGUUUUGGCUCGAAUUUUCCAGUUUGACUCGGUUUUGGCUCAGUUUUUCUGGUUUGGCUCUGUUUUGAUUCGGUUUUUUUCCGGUUUUUUUUUAUUUGGGUUCGGUUCGGUUCAGUUUUUUCGGUUUCAGACUUAUAAAACCGGAACUGAACCGAACCGGCUGAUUUUUUCAAAAUUUUAAUCUGUUUAUUUUCACGGUUCGGUUUUUUCAAUUAUUUUUUUUUUAGUUUUUUUAGUUUAAUCUGUUUUUUUAUUUUUUUUAUCAUUCCUAAUAAAAAUGCAGAUUCUCGAUACAACAGUACUGCUCCACUAGCAUCCACGUGGAGAGUCUCUAAUAAAACAAGAAAGUUAUUUUCUUUUCCUUUUGGCUUCCACUAUCGACCAUAGUUAUUAAACCCGGCCCGGGGGUUGACCCGGCCAAGGGGCCGGGUCCCGGGUUUCAUGGGUCAACCCGGGUCAACUCGGGUCAACCCGGAUUAACCCGGAAAAAUUUAAAAAAAAUUAAAAUUUUAAUAUUUCAUAUAAAAAAAUCCAUGUAAAUAUAGAUUAUACAUAUUUUAAAGGUUAAAAGGAAUAUUUUAAAAUUUUUUUUAUNNNNNNNNNNNNNNNNNNNNNNNNNNNNNNNNNNNNNNNNNNNNNNNNNNNNNNNNNNNNNNNNNNNNNNNNNNNNNNNNNNNNNNNNNNNNNNNNNNNNCCACAUUAAAAAAACAUAAUUUUGUUCUUGGAAACAUAGAGUAUAUAUACUAAUGAGUUUCAAAUCCCACAUUGAAAAGAUAAUAUAUUAUCCUUUUAAGUUGAAGUAUUUAAACCAAAAGGUUUUUUAUCCCACAUUGAAAAAACAUGAUUUUUUUCUUGGGAAUAUAGAGUAUAUAUACUAAUGGGUUUCAAAUCCCACAUUGAAAAAACAUGGUUUUUUUCAUGGGAACAUAGAAUAUAUAUAUGAAAGGGUUUCAAAUCCCACAUUGAAAAGAUAUCAUGUUAUCCUUUUAAGUUGAAGUAUUUAAACCAAAAGGUUUUUUUAUCCCACAUUGAAAAAACAUGGUUUUUUUUCAUGGGAACAUAGAGUAUAUAUAUGAAAGGGUUUCAAAUCCCACAUUGAAAAGAUACCAUGUUAUCCUUUUAAGUUGAAGUAUUUAAACCAAAAGGUUUUUUUAUCCCACAUUGAAAAAACAUGGUUUUUUUCAUGGGAACAUAGUGUAUAUAUAUGAAAGGGUUUCAAAUCCCACAUUGAAAAGAUACCAUGUUAUCCUUUUAAGUUGAAGUAUUUAAACCAAAAGGUUUUUUUAUCCCACAUUGAAAAAACAUGGUUUUUUUCAUGGGAACAUAGUGUAUAUAUAUGAAAGGGUUUCAAAUCCCACAUUGAAAAGAUACUAUGUUAUCCUUUUAAGUUGAAGUAUUUAAACCAAAAGGUUUUUUUAUCCUACAUUGAAAAAACAUGGUUUUUUUCAUGGGAACAUAGUGUAUAUAUAUGAAAGGGCUUCAAAUCCCACAUUGAAAAAACAUGGUUUUUUUCAUGGGAACAUAGUGUAUAUAUAUGAAAGGGCUUCAAAUCCCACAUUGAAAAGAUACUAUGUUAUCCUUUUAAGUUGAAAUAUUUAAACCAAAAGGUUUUUUUAUCCCACAUUGAAAAAACAUUGAAAAAACAUGGUUUUUUUCAUGGGAACAUAGUGUAUAUAUAUGAAAGGGCUUCAAAUCCCACAUUGAAAAAACAUGGUUUUUUUCAUGGGAACAUAGUGUAUAUAUAUGAAAGGGCUUCAAAUCCCACAUUGAAAAGAUACUAUGUUAUCCUUUUAAGUUGAAAUAUUUAAAUCAAAAGGUUUUUUUAUCCCACAUUGAAAAAACAUGGUUUUUUUCAUGAAAACAUAGAGUAUAUAUACUAAUGGGUUUCAAAUCUCACAUUUGAAAAAAAAAGAAAAAAAGAAAAAGAAAAAGAAAGCCGGGUCUCGUCCGGGUUCGCCCGGGUCACCCGGGUUCCGGGUCGACCCGCCGGGUCGCCCGGGUUUGGCCGGGCUGUUGCAACAGCCGGUCUUUUAUUAAACCCGAACCGACUAGCAUCCACGUGGAGAGUCUCUAAUAAAACAAGAAAGUUAUUUUCUUUUCCUUUUGGGUUCCACUAUCGACGAUGCACUCUCUUUGCUUUUGAGCACCAAUUUCGGAGAGGUUCUUAACUUCUUAGCAGCAUAGGUUCAUAACUUUGAUUAUCAUAGUAUUGAUUAUUUUUCAAAAGAAUUUUUAUUUUAAAAUAUAUUAAAAUAAUAUAUUUUUUUAUUAUUUUUUUAAUUUAUUUUUAACACCAGUAUAUUAAAAUAAUCUAAAAAAUCAAAAAUAAUUAAUUAAAAAUAAAAAUAAAAUAAAAUAAUUUUUUUAAAAUUACUUUCGAAAUACAAAAACAAAUAAAUUCUUCAAAACAUAUCCUUUGAUUUUAUUAGAUAUUAAAUGAUAUUUAUUAGAUAUUUUUAAAUGAAAAUAGAUUGAAAAAUAAUUUUUUAAAAAAAUAACUAACCUCAUUUUGCAACUAAUUUUUUUAGUGGUUGGAAAUUGGUACGCAAAUAACACGUAAUAUAAUUUUAUUUUUUAAAGAAAAAACGUAGACAAAUAGCCAAGCAAAAAACAAUGGAAAGGCUAAGUGCGUAGGCCUCGAAGUGGUUUUUAUGGGUCAAGUGCGCACUAGGACACCAAGGCCUAGAUGCAUGGUAUAUUUUUGGUUUUUAAUUUUUUUUUUAAUUUAAAUUUAAAUUUAUUAAAAUAAAUAAAUUAAAAGUAUAUUUAGAAUAUUAUUUUUUCAUAACGCAUUUUUUACCCCCAAUUAUUUCAUGUAUUUUAAAAAAAUAAAAGUUUUGAAAAAAUAUGUUUUCAAUAAAGUUCAAUCAAUAUUUAUUUUGUUAAUAGAAAAUUUAAUUAAUUAGUAAUCCUUUAUAUAUAUAUAUAUAUAAAGAGACACCCUUGCAAGGAGAGAAUUUAUCCAAACUAAAACAAAAGUAAAAGGCAAGCAAAAGAAGCCAAAAAAAAUGAAAAAGACAAAAAACCGUAGCCCCAAAAAUGUCAUUCUCCAUAAUAAUCCAGCUACAGCCCACUAUAAUCAGAUUUCGACCAUUAUCACCAGCACCGCAGCGCUGGCCAUCUACUGCCCUUCUCUUCCCCACACAACGUUGCUUGAUCAUUAGCACGAAUGCCAACAGUAGCGACAACACAACCCAGAAAAAAUCAGCAGGAUAUCAUUAGCAGUGAAGAAAACAACAAUAGAAACUUCUUCACCAGCGAUCUCUCUUGAUCGAAGGAGAUGGAUUCCACCGCCGAUAUAGUGUGGAAAGAGAAGACGAGAAGUAGAUGAUCAGUAGGUCCACACGCCACCCAGACACGUUAGCGCAUGAAAUGAAGCCUCGCAAUCCAACCCGUCCUUUCCCGUGUAAACACCAUUUGGUCCAGUUCCAAUCAACCCCAAUAACUCGCAAAAGUCAAUUUUGAAUCCUAAUGUUCUGAUUUCUUUAUUGUCAGAAUUCUUUGCAAUAUAUAUUGGAUUUUGAUUCUCGAAUACAUGUUUGAUUGUUGGUAAUUCUUUAUCUUGUUUUGAGUAAUUUGUGAUUUAUGUUUUAUAUCUAUGUAUAUGGGCGCUUGUGGGGUUAUUGUGUAACUUGUGUUUAUAUGGACUUAAUUUGUUGUGAGAUGUCGAAUUUUGUCGUCUAAAGGAUGUGAUUUAAUUUUCCUAAAUGAUGUGAGAAUAAUUUUGUUUUUCUCCAUUGAAUCGGCUUCUGAAUGGUAUAAUACUUAAAAGGUUUUGUCAACAAGUUGAAUUUUGUCAUUAAAAAACAUAAUCUUGUUUUUCCCCCAAAACAACUGUAUUUUUUUUUUUAUUCAUUAAAGAGUUGUGAGUGUUAAAAUCCUUAUAAAGUUUGUGUUCUUGAAAAGUUGAAAUUUUAUUGUUUUUUAGAAAAAAAAUAUAUGACAUUUUAUUUUUAUUAAAGAAUUGACUCAAGUAUGAUAAAAUCAUUAAAAAGUUUAUGUCCUCGUGAAGUUGAUAUUUUAUUUAAAAUAAAAAUACAAAUUGCAUAAUAAGAGGAAAUAGGCCAAAUUCCAAUUUAUAUUUUAUCUUUCUUUUAGAUCUCGUACCCAUAUUUUAAAAGUAAAAGGACUCAAUUAGAUUUUGUUGAAAGAUUAAUUGAGUUAUAAAGGGUUUGAUUGCAAGGAAAAUUGAUUUUUUAGUCAACUUAGGCUUUAAUUAGAAAAAAUAAAAGUUUGGGGGUCGAAUUAUAAUUUUUAAGAGUUAAUUUGGUCAAAUAAGGGGCUUAAUUGCAUAAAUAUUGAAGUUUGAUGGGCAAUUAGGGACUUGAUUGAAGAAAUCCAAAACCAAGGACCAAACUGGAAAGGGCGCGUGAAUAUAAGGGUUGGAAUUGACCAAAUCAAAGGCUAAAUUGAAGAAAUUGAAAGUUUGUUGAUCAACUAAAGGUCAAAAUGCACAAAUUCAAAAGCAAGGACCAAAGUGGAAAGGGCGGCCAAAUUCAGGGCUGGCGUUGAAUUUGACAGGGAUGUAAUUGAAUUGAUUUUUAAAAAAUUAAGGACUUAUUUGGGAUUGACACUAUUUGACGCCUUUUUAUUUAAAUGAAACGGCGUAUUUUGUACAAAACGACACCGUUUCAUGCAUUGUUCAUAAAAAAUCAGAGAGACAGACGAAACAGUGUCGUUUUAAACAGCAUUGUACGCCAUCUUCUUCCCCUGACGCGCAAAGGCAGGGGAAGAACUUCUUCCCCUCCUUUCCAGCUUUUGUUUCUCUCUCUCUCUCUCUCCCCCCAUUUCAUUUGCCCAAAAACCUCGACAUAACCCACACCCCCUCAUGGCCUCCCACAAUGAUGAAAAAACCAGGAGAGUCAUGCCUUACGGGCGACUCUAGGAUGGCUUCACAAAGGCCGCCCUAGCCACCCGACCUCAUCACCAUGACUAGACAGGGCUAGGGUAGCUCCCGCUCCCCCUGCCUUUAUAAAUACCCCCUUACCAGGCGGUGAGAGGGGGACAACAAUUAGAGAGGCGAGAAAGAGGGGGGACAAAAGAGAGGACAAUUAAGGGAGACAAAAAGACGUAGAAAAACAGAGGAAAAAAAGAAGGAAAAGAGGAGAGAAACAGAAGAGAAACAAAGAGAGAAAGAAAUAGGGGAAACCAGAGAGGGAAGAAAAGAAUGAAAAGGGACGAGAGAGAAAAAAAACAAAAAACAAGGGAGAAAAUGAAAGAAAGAGGAAUUAAAGAAAAUGAAAGAGAGAGAGAGAGAGAGAGAAAUAAAGAGAAAUAAAAAGGAGAAAAGAGGAAGAACAACCGCGAACCACCACCUGCUACCACAACACCGCCACCGUAAACGACUGCACCACCAACACUACCGCCAAGUAAGCCUCCCCUCUCCUCCUCCUCCUUCUUCUUCUCCUUCUUCGGUUGCUCCACUAUUCUACAAGUGAAAAGUGGAGAGUGAAUUAAUUCACUCUCCACUGUUCAUGUGAACAGUGAAGAGUUCUUUAAUAUUCACUAGGUCAGACUAGUGCCAGCCCGACCAAAAUAGCUAGCUCUGGUCCGGCCCAGUCCAAAAAAAAGAAAAAAUAUCUUUGGGCUGACACCGGCCCAACACUCUUUUAGGCCGAUGUUAGCCCAACACCUUUGGGCUAACCUCGGCCCAAUUUCUACUGGACCAAUUUAGGCCCAGUCAGGAUGGGCUCAACCCAUAUAUUUGGGCCAGCCCAUCCCAUUAUAUAUUAAUAACAUUAUAUAAUAUAAUAUUAUUUAUUAAAAAAAUCCAAAAACAUCCUUUCAAACUUUGUGAUUUUCCCGUGUAUUUUUCUACCAAUUUUGAUUCAUAUUGGUUUGUAUUUUUAUAUUGUAAAGAUAUAAAUUUGGUAUUAAAAUACCCAGUUUUCUCCAAAAUGUUGCAAAAAUUAUAUAUAUAAAAAAGAUGUUUUGUUUUCAUGCAUAUGGCCAAGUCUCUUAAGCUUGUAAGAAAUUUUCAAAAAAAUAUGUAUUGGCAUGCAUUUUGAGGUUUAAUAACCAAUUUAUUAAAAUUAUGAGAACUAGGUCAAUAUUUCAAAAAUACCAAAAAAAAUAUUUUUUUUAAUAUCUGGGAUUACAAACUUAUACGUAAGACGUAUUACAAAUAUUAAAUAAAAGUUAAUUCUUCUUUUUAUCGAUAUUAGAACGGUUGAGUUUUACCCGAUAAAAUAAGGAUCUUCUUACCGAGGAGGACUGUUAUUAAAUCUUAGACAGACCAACCAUUAGAAAACACGACAAUACCUUAAUUUAUAUUAGACAAUUAAACAAUGCAGCUUACCUUAGAUAGGACGUAUUUGGGGCACUAAUACAUUUUCUUUAUACAACCAGUCUAUGUGCCCGAUCUCUAAGACCAAUUAGGAUUUCUAGUUAUCAAAAUAUUAGGUAGCGACUCUCAUUUCCUCUUUCCACUGAUAAGACAAGAAAUCUUUGUCUUCUCAAUUUUUAGAUCCUAGAGAGGAUGAUCGCCGCGACGUCACACACAUGCGACAAAACUUAUAAUUUUAUCAUUAUUAGUCCUCAAACUUUCAAUUUGUGUUGUCUUGACCACAUUCUUAAAUCUUUUUCAAUGUUUCUUCAACAAGACUCUAGUUUAUUCAUUCACCUGUCGUUCUGAAUAAUUGUGCAUGUCUGAUUAAUCUAGAUUAUAUUUUUAUCAUUAUUAUUAUUAUUAUUAUAAUUAUUAUUUCAGGGAAACUCAAAAUUGUGUUAUGACAUUUACUAUCCAUUGAAUAAAAAAACAUUACACGCCAUCGUUUUUAUUCAACAUAAUUGUUAUAUAAAAAAUAAGUAGAUUUUAUGAAUAGGAUUUGGUAGUGAUUUCGGAUGAUUGGAUUGUUGUAAAGGUAAUAUUUUUUUUUAGUUUAACGUGGGUGUCCGGGCCAGCUUGCACGCACCUCGACUAAUCCCACGGGCCCUAAAGUUAACGACCAUGUAAGCUUCUAGUGGCCAUCAUAUGAGCAACCACAGGCUCGAAUCCGAGACCACAGAGGGAGCAAACCUCUUAGUCCCAAGCUCUUACCACUGGACCAUCAUGCAUCAUCUGUGGAGUUUCAGGAUUACGAGGUAUCAUGUUGUGUGUUGGAUAUUUAUUAAUUUAUAAGAAAAAACUUUUAGGUCGAAAUGUAGACUUGGAUGUUAAACUUCUCCACCAGAAAUAGCUAGAGAUGGGAUUAAAUUUCUUUGUAGAUGGGAAAAAAAGCAUGAAAGAGGAUAAAAAUUAAAAAUAUGUUAUUUUUCAAAUUGGAAAAAAACAAGACAAAUAUCCACCAUUAGAAUUAACAAAAACAAAAUCUAAUGGUUGGAAAAAUAAGCUCACAAAAUGGAAACAUGCUUAUGUUUUGAUUCUAAACAUUAUUUCAUUUAUACUUAAAUCCCGGAUAGUUGAAAGAUGAGUUAAAAAACCAUCUAAAAAUAAGAGAAGAAAUAAAGCUUUGGAUUGACCACUUUUCAUAAAUAAAAAAUUAUCUUAGUGCCCAUGAUUAGAAUGAAUUUAUCGAUAGACCAUUGUUGUCCCACUCUUGAGAGAGAUCAAUAGGUUCAUCUUAGAGAGAAGAGUUAGAUAAAAGUGGUUUUGACCUUUAAACAUGCCCCAAAAAAAUAUAAUUAUUGAGAGAUGUUUUGGAUUCGAAAAUGGGGUUAACUUAAAUCUUCAUCUUUUGAUCAUAGGAAGUGACAAAAAAAUAUUUUAGUGAAUGAUAAAAAAUUAAUUUUUUAUAUAAUUUUAUCAAAUUAAUUAAUCUUUAUUUUUUCAUAUGGUUGCUCUUAACUUAUUGAGUUAUGAUUUUGUUUUAAUUGAAACUAGCUUUUCAUAUCAUGAUAUAUUUUUAUUUUAAGAACAUUAUUCAUGAUAAACAAGAAUAUGUUUUUCAAAAAAAAAAAACAGAGAAAUAUAUGAUUAAAGAAAUGGAGUUUUAAUUAAAAAGAUAUAUUUUUCCCUUAAUUUAAAUCAUUGAAAGUUUUUACUAAUAAUUAUUUUAGUUUUAUUUAGCUUUUGUUUAAAAAAAACCCUUGCUUCUAAUAAAAAAACAUUUUUUUGUUUAAAAGAAAAAUACAUGAAUAAAAAAUGGAAAUUCAGACUAAGAAAUAUUUUUUUCUUCAAAAUUUAAAUUAUUAUUAUUUUUUAAUAAAUAUCCAUUUUAAUUUUAAUUAUGUUAUAAUUAAAAAUAAAAAUAAAUUUUAAAAAUGUCUCUCGACAUCAUGUCGAUGACACUCACAAACACAACUUAAAUCCAAUACAACUCUUAAAUAAAUAAAUAUAAAGGAAAAGUAAAUGAUGGUAAUGCAAGCAUUCGCUUCCACGUUCUUUCAUUUUUUAUGUUUCAUGUUCCUGUUUUUAAAAGUAAAUUAACAAUGUUUCAAGUUCUUUAUUUAUUUUUUAAAAGUAAAUUCAGCAUAGAAGCGUGAUAGACUCAUUAUUAUAAUUUCAACUAAUCUAGAUUCCAAAACCAUCUUGUAAUAAAAUACAGAAAACAUAGAGCAUAAGAACUUCUUCAAAAAAAAUACAAAAAAAAAGGAAAACGAAAAAGAAAAAGAAAAAGAAAAGGUGAGGGCAUAAGAACCAAGGAGCCAAAUAAAUCAAAAAGAUUCUAUACGUUAACCAAAGUUAAACCCCUUGAAAAAUAUUAUUCAUCCUAUACAUUUGCAUGCUUCAUUGAAAAAGUGUAAUAAUAUCUUUGCUUUUCUAAGAAAAAAUGGCAUCACUAGCUAGAUAUUGAAGUAAUUUAGUCUUUUCAUAAACCUCAUUAAUCAUUAAAACUUUAACAAAUAUAUAUAUACACACUUAAUUUUUAAACUCAGUAAAUUAUCUAAUUAUCCUCCAUAUUAAAAACAAAUUAUACUAGCAAACAUGAAUAUUAAAGUCUUUUCAUGUUUUCAAACACAUUAAAAUAACAACUUUUUUCCUUAAAAUAAAAAAUAUUAAACCAUGUGACUAGGACCCUUAUGGUAUUUUCACCAUGUUUUUUUUUUUUUUUGUUAUUAUCGGUUUCAUGAAAGACAAUGUAUCUUUUUGCAUAGAUUAAAUAUUAUUUAAAUGGGAAAAGGUAAAGGCGCAUGAGAAGUGGCCACGCAUAUCUGUAACAUCUUCAGUCAUUAAAAAUGCGUAUCCAUUGUGUUAUUAGAAGCCUUGUCGCUCCCUCUUACUAAUAGUGUGACGCGUGUUGAUGAAAGUAGGGUGGUUUGUUGGUGGGAGACUUUUCAUUUUAUUUUCUUCUUUUUUUUCUCUCAUCCCUUGAAAAUUAUAGCUUGACCUUCUUUGUUAUUGGUAUUUUAACUUCAGUUCUUAUUAUUUUGAUUUUAAGUUUUUGUUCUUGACCUUUUUUUAGAAAUUUUAUUUAAUUUUAAUUUUAUCCUUCAAUCCCAAUUUAUCAUAUAUUAUUAUUAUUUUAAAAUUUCAUCCUUCAAGCCAAAAAACCAUGUAUCAUUAAAAUUAAGGCACCUAAAUUAAAAUCUAUUAUUAAUUUAGAUAACUUGAAUCGCUAAAAACUUUAUAUUGGAAGAACCCAGGCAUUUAACACAAAGAUAAAGCUUGAAAACUCAUUUAGCACUGUUGGACUAAUAAUACUACUAUCUCUUAAAGAUUUCUCCCAAAACCCAAGUUGCCACCACAAUUUGUGAGUAUUGUUAACACUACUAAUAAUUUCUAAUAAUUUCUGGAGAUACCCCACUAUCCUAGAACUCCCUAAACUAUAAGAGCAAAACUAAAAGCUUGAGUACCAAUAUUGGUUGUUGUUAUAGGCUUAGUCUCCACUAUUGUUGUCCAAAACAAGGCCACCCCUUCCUGGAGCUAUAGUGGUCGUGUUGAGAUAAUAUUAGGUUUUUAUAAACAUGUCUUUGAAGUCUAUAAUUAUCUCAAAAAAGGUCAGAAGGGUUUUGGUAGGUGGAAUUCCAUAGUUGCAAAAGGUAGGUUUUUCAAGGGUUUUUUUUUAAUGUUAUUUCUUCAACCUUUCCUUUCUUUUUCUUUCUUUUUUUCUUUCCACUCUUCUCUCUUCCUUUUUUUUUUCCUUUUUUUUCUUUCAUUCAUUCUUUCUACUCCUCUUUUUUCUCUUUUAUUUUUAUUUUUUUCCUUUCCUUUUCCUCUUAUUUCUCUAGAGUGUGAUUUAUAGGGCUAUUUAUUGGAAAAGAAUGAGGUUUUGAAGGUCUUGAUCUAAAACGAUCAAGACCAUUUUAUGAAAAUCAACAAUCAACACAACAUUAUCCUUUGCGUUUAUUGAUUGGGUCAAUUACAAGAGUAAGAGCUAAAAGGAUCAAAGAGGCAUUUAAUGGGCUGAUUCAAUAUGUUUAGGCCAAGCAAGCUUUGAAAAUUACUUUUAAGGUGGAUACAAGCAUGAAGUUGAGUUUAAAUGAGGAUCAAGCUUUGAUAAAGGUGAUUCAAGCGAAAGAUAGAACUAUUUAAUAAAUAUUAAAGCUUGACUACAUAACUUUUUAUUAACGGUUAUAACUUUUAAUCUAAUCAUUGAAUCAAGCUCAUGUUUUGAUAUAAGCUUUUAAAUGACUUGUUUCAUAUAAGGUUAAACUUUCAUCGCAAUUGAAGAAUGGGAAGGCAUUCUAAUAAGGUCUACAUUUGCGAAUCGGGAUUUAUUUAUUAAAACUUGGGUUUUGUUAUUUUAUUUUAAACUAUUAUUAAACUAGUUUAUAUUUAGCCUAAUUUUCCAGUAGGGUUUAUUUUGUUGAACUAUAAAUACUUUGUUUUUGUUUGUAAGUUGUCAUAACUUAUUGAUUUUCAAAAAUAUUAUUUGAAAUGAUUUCUCUUGCUCUUUGGUUAUUUAUGAAAUUGCUUAGAACUUAUCAAAUAAUCUUUCUUUAUGGUGUUCAACCUUUAUAACUUUGGUUAUUUGAUUUAGGUAAUCACUAGGUUGGAUUUCAUCAAAUAUGAUUUUAGCUUUCUUGGGUUAGGAUUCAAUCAUGCUUAUGGGUUUUAGGGUUAUUACCUUUGGGAUUCACAUUUGUUUAUAUUAGAGCUUGACUCUAAAAUCAAGUUUCGUUUAUUUAUCUUUAAAUUUAAUUUUGUUCAUGAUUUGAGUCUUAUUUUCUUUAUUAGGCUUAGUUUUCUCUCAAGAUUAUUGAACCCUAGUUUCUUUGUCUUUUUAGUUUUGGCUUUAUAGUUUCUUUGUGUUUUUUAUUUUGGCUUUAUAGUUUACUUGAUUUCUUUAUUCUGACCUUAUAAUUUCUUUAUGUUCUUGAUUUUAGCUUUAUUUUAAAUUUCUAAUUUGCGAUUUCAUUUAUAAAAAGGUUAUUUAUUAAACUAGUAUUCUGUCAAAAUAUAUAUAAAUAAAAAGGUAAAAAAGUUAUAUGCUAUUUAGUUUCUGCUAGAAAUUACUAAAAAAAUUAAGAAAUUGUAAAUCAUAGCUAUGAAAAAUCAGUUUGUUGUCAAGAUUGUGGAAUUGAGAUUGGUUUGAAUUGAAAGUUUCAAGUUGAUUUCGAGUUGAUUGAAUCUAUAUUUAUUUCAAGUUUUUAAGUUCUUUUCAAUUGGCAAUCAAUUUGUCUGCUUCUAAAUUGAAUUCAUGUUGUUAUUGAAUUCAAUUUUUGUUAUUUAUUUAGGUUUGUUUGUUGAGUUUUCCUUAUUCCUAGUUUUCUUAAUGUUUUCUUCAUUGUUGUGUUUUUUAAACCAUUGGUAGAACGUUAUAAUCUCUUUUUUUUUUGUUUAGUUCCUUAUAGAACUGAAGAGGGGUAAAAGGUAAAAAGUAUGAGAAAAUUAUCGUGAAAAGCAAAAUUACAAGUGAAACCUAAGUGGAAUAACACAUCUUUAAGAGUAAAAAUUAAUGGAGAGGAUUAUUUAUUAGCAUAAUGUUUUAGAUUUGAUGAUGUCUUCCAAAUACGAAUCAUCACCUAAGAAGAAGAAUGAGAACACUUUCUUUGUUUUAAAGGUCAUGCAAUAAUAGUUUGACAAGAUGGAUAUGUUGUUUAACGAGGUAAAUAAUUGAAUGAAUAAAUAGGAUGCCAUGAUUGCUAAUUUGCAAAAAAGAUCAUCUCAAAGGGUUCUUAAUGUCAGAAGACUAGAGAGAUGUUUAUCACACUUGUAGAUGAGUUUAUUAAUGAGAAUAGGAUGACAAUUUAUAUGAAUUUGAUAAGGCUUUAUUCAACCAAUAAGGUAGAAUUCAGCAACAUUGUGUUUUUGUGACAAGAGAUUUUGGCAUCAUAGGGAUUUCAAUCAUAAAGGAUUUAUGAGAGAUAUUGAGUUUCGUGAUGGUUUGGAUAGAAAUCGUGAGAAUAUUAGGACAAAGAUUCCUACUUUCUAAUGAAUGAAUGAUCUAAAAGCUUACUUAAAGUGGAAAAAGAAAGUAAAGUUGAAUCUUUAUUGUCAUAACUAUUCGGGGGAGAAAAAGGAAAAAUUAGUUGUGAUUGAUUUUACUAAUUAUGCUAUUAUUUGGUGGGAUAAGCUUGUUUUGAGUAAGAGAAAAAAUCAUAAGAGGUCUAUUGAUACUUAGGAUGAGAUGAAAGCAAUCAUGAGGAGGAAAUUUAUUCCUAGUCAUUAUUAUUGGGAUUUGUAUCAGAAAUUACAAAGCUUAACUCAAAAUUUUAAAAGUAUAAAGACAUGGAGGUAGCUAUAUAAACGAGGAUGAAGAAGUUACAAUGACUAGAUUCUAGAAUGGUUUGAACCAUAAGAUAGUGGAUAUUAUAGAGUUACAACACUACAUAGAGUUAGAAGACAUUGUGUAUAUGGCUACAAAGAUGGAAUAAAAACUCAAAAGAAAGAGUAGUUCACGACAAGUUAAAAAAUUCAGAUUAUUUUUCAUUAUAAAGGCCGAAUUAGAAGAAAAAAGGAGUUAUCCAAACUAAGCUGAGUGUUACUAGUAAAACCAAAGCACCUAAGGGCAACAAAGAAGCCUACGCUAAUAUCAGAGGUAAAUCUCAUUCAUAACCACUAUGUAAUCGUGAUAUUAAAUGUUUACGUUGUUUAGGAAUAUGUCACAUAACUUCUUAAUGUCCAAAUAAAAUAGUUAUGAUCUUGCGUGACCAUGAAGGGUGGAAACUAAAAGUGAUAGCGAUGAUGAGAAAAUGUUAUCACUUAAUGAUUCUAGUGAGGAUGAGGUAAAGUAUUUGGUUCAAGGUGAGUCACUUGUGGUUAGGAGUGCAUUAAGUGUUCAAGUCAAAAAAGAUGAUUUAGAGCGGAAAAGAGAGAAUAUUUUCUAUACAAGAUACCAUAUCAGUAAUAAGAUAUGUAAUAUGAUUAUAGAUGGAGAAAGUUAUGCUAAUAUAGCAUUACUCUUAUGGAAAAGUUAAAUUUGCCACUUACAUAACAUCGUAUACUAUAUAAGUUGUAGUGAUUGAAUGAGUGUGGGGUAGUGAAGUGAAUAAAUAAAUAUUGGUAUUUUUCUUGAUUGGAAGGUAUAAUGAUUAGGUAUUGUGUGAUGUUGUUCUUAUGCAUAUGAGUCACAUAUUAUUAGGUAAGCCAUAGUAGUUUGAUAAGAAGGUUAUUGAUGAUGGGUAGGUAUUUAUUUAUAAAAUAUAGAAAAUCCACCACCCUUUACCCUUAACUCCAAGACAAGUGUACAAAGAACAAUGGGAAUUGAAAAGAAAGAGUGAGGUUAAGACGAGUGAAAUGAGAGUUUCAACCAAGGAUAGUGAAAAACAAUAAUUGGUCGAGUGAUAAGAGGGGAGAAAACAAAAGGUGGCUAAUAAGAGUGGAAAAAAAAGUAGUGAGAUGAGAGAAAAGAGAGAACGACCAUUAAAAAAAAGGAAAUAAGAGUUUUGAGGAAAAAACAAAAAGGCAAAUAAGUUUUUAUACAAAAGAGAGAUAUUAAAAGUGCAUUUUAUAUUAAUCAGCCUAUGUUUGUAUUUUUGUAAAAAGAGACAUGUUUUAACACUAAUGAUAUUGAUCAUUCUCUUCUUAAUGUUGAUGUUUCUUUAUUACGUGAAUAUUAAAAUGUAUUCCCCAAUUAUGUUCUUAGUGGUUUACUACAAUUAAGAGAAAUAAAACAUCAAAUUGAUAUCGUUUCUAAAGCUAUAAUUCUCAAUCGAUCAGCCUAUAUAAGUAAUCUGAAUGAGACAAAUGAGCUUUAAAUGCAAGUAGAUGAGCUGAUAGCUAAGGGGUACUUGAGGGAGAGUAUGAGAACAUUUAUGGUACCAGUGUUUCUUGUGCCAAAAAAAAUGUCUUAGAGGAUGUGUGUGGAUUGCGAGGAUGUGAACAAUAUUACAGUAAAGUAUAGACAUCUAAUUCUUAGAAUAUAUGACAUGUUAGAUGAAUUGCAUUGUUCAUAUAUCCUCAUGAAAAUUGAAUUGAAAUGUGGUUAUCAUCAAAUUAAAAUGAAAAAAAAUGAUGAAUGAAAAACUAUUUUUAAAACUAAACAUGGUCUAUAUGAAUGGUUGGUUAUGUUGUUUGGUCUCACUAAUGCACUGAGCAUGUUUAUGAGAUUGAUGAAUCAUUUACUGCAUGUAUUUAUAGGCAGAUUUAUGGUAGUCUAUUUUGAUGAUAUCUUGGUUCACAAAGAAUAGUACUUUUUGUAUGGAUAGAGAUUUUUUUUCUUAGCUAUAUUAUUAGUGCAAGGUAUAAAAAUGGUGAAGAAAUUCUAUGAAAGUGUACGACAACAAAUAAAGAAAAAUAAUGAACAAUAUGUAUCUAAAAGUGUGUUUGGUAUUGCGGUAGCUGUUGUGGUUGUGAUUUGAAAAAAGUUGUUUUAUAAAAAAUACUUUUAGUUGAGGUUGGUUUUGAAAAAAUAGGUGUUUGGUUAAAAAUGUGGUUGAAAUUGAGGUUGAACAAAAAGUAGUUUAAUGUGUUUGGUUAAGAAUGUUUUUGAAAUUGAGGUUAUAAAAUAAUUUAAAAAUAUAUAUAUUAAUAUUUAUGGUUUUUAAUUUAAAUAUUGUAGAUUUAACUAUUGUUAUUACAUCGUGAAAUAAAUCAUACUUUAUAUAUAUAAAAAAUUAUUGUUCCAUUAAACUAUCUACAAUUCUAUUACAUAUAAAAUUCAUCUGACAAAAACUACAGUUUCCAUGAUUUUUUGAGCGUGCAAUAAAAUUAGAUAAAAUAUUAUCAGGAAUAAAAUUGAGAUUACAGUACGAAUAAAUUUAAUUCACCUUAAACUAAUUUUUAAAAAAAAAAAUUUAUUAUUUUUUAAAAAAGAAAAAUGUUAACUGAUUUUUCGGAAAAAAAAAUUUUAAAAAAAAAACUAUUCAAAAAAUCAGCAUCCCUCCACACUGUUCACUUUCCACACUGUUCACUAAAGUGAACAGUGUGGAGGGAUGCUGAUUUUUCGAGAGAAAAAAAAAUUUAAAAAACAAACACUGUUCACUUUAGUGAACAGUGCACGCACACUGUUCACUAAAGUGAACAAUGUGGAGGGAUGCUGCAUGGUGCAGCAACAAGAAGCACGUAGAACCUGCUUUUAUUUUUCAGCGUUUCAAACGUGAAAUUGGGUGGGACCCAUGAAUAGUAUUUUACGUUUUUUUGUUACCAAACAUUGUUGCAUCUGCGUUGAAGCAAAACGCAGACGCAACAACGUAGACAAACACUCUCUAAAUCUAAUAAAGGUCGUAGGUGAGUUAUUUUUAACCUGAUGAUUAGGUUUUAGUGCAUAUAAGGAAUGAAGUAUUUUCAUGCUAUGGGAGAUCUAAGUUGUAUCCUAGAGGGGAUGGUUCAUUUCAAGUUCUUGAACAGGUCAACAAUAACACAUAUAAGUUUGAUCUUCCAAGUUAGUAUAAUAUUAAUAUUACAUUCAAUGUUUAUGUUCUUUGUCUUUUUUAUAUAGGUUACGAUUCAAAAUCAAAUCCUUUAAAAUAAAGAGUAAAUCGUGAGAAUCAACAAGCAACACCAUAUGAUUCAUUGCAUGUGUUGAUUGAAGUAAUUAUAUUUAUAAUAGCCAAAAAGAUCAUAGAGGCAUUCAAUAGGCUAAUUCAAGAGCAAGCUUAUAGAAUUACUUCUAAGGUAGAGUCAAGCAUGAAGUUAAAUUUAAGGAAGGAUCAAGCUUCAUUAAUGUGAUCCAAGAAACAGAUAGUGUUGUUUAACAUGUAAUAGAGUUUGACUACACAACUUUAAAGGAUUAUUUUUAAAUAAGGUUAAAAUUUCAUAACGAUCAAACAUAAAAAAAAAAUUUAAUAAAGUCCAAAAAUUACUAUAUGGAUUGGACUUUAUUUAUUGAGAAUUGUGCUUUGUUAUUUUAUUUUAAAGUAUUCUUAAACUAGUUUAUAUUUGGAUUUUAACUUCAUUUUAAAUUAUAGUAGAGUUUAUUAUGUUGAACUAUAAAUACUUUCUUUGGUUUAUAACUUGCUAUAACUUAUUGAUUUUCAAAAUAUUAUUGGAGAAUAUUUUUUUUGCUCUUGGUUUUUCAUUUCAUUGAAUUAUUCACAACUUAUCAUAGAUUCUUUCUCUAUGGCGUUCAACAUUUAUAACUUUGUUUUUUUAUUCAGGUAAUCACUGGUCGGGUAUCAUCAAAUCUAAUUUUAAUUUUCUUGAGUUAUGACCCAAAUUUGAUCAUGGGUUGUUGGUUCUUAUUCUCAAUGUUUACAUCACCAUUAAUCUCACCUUUAAUCCUUGUGAAGAAAUUACCAUUGUUGGUCAAAGUUCAUGCAUGUCUUUGCCUGACUUACAGGCCAGCAAAGUUGGGUACUUCCAUGUUUUUAUUUCUUGCAGGUUCUUAGCUGGUUUGGGUAAGGGUUCUUGUCGGGUGUUGUCGGGAUUAUGAAGCUGAAAAAAAAAAGUAAUUCAUGCUGGGAUUGAGGGUAUUGUGUCAGAGUAUGAGUUAUGCGUGUUAUUUGUCCUAAAUGAAGGGAAAACUACGGUAAAAUUGGGGAAGAAAAUGGUCCCCCAUAAAAGUUAAACCCUUCUCAUUUAUGACUAAGUUCACGAGGAAGAAGAAGGCUCUAUUCAUAGCUUUCAAAACGAUAUCACUUUUCUUUUCAAAUUAUCCAAUUUCAGCCAAAUUGAUUUAGUUCAAUAUUCUUUUUCAGUUAGGUCCCUAAUUAAAACCAAAAGUUCCCUUCUAAUUCCAACGCCUUUUCAUUUUAGUCUUUUAACCUUUAAUUCUUUUAUUUUUGGUCAAAUUGUUCUAAUUUUUUAUUCAUUCUUCAAUUAGACCCCUAAUUGAGUGAAUUGUCCUUCCAAAGAGUGCCACUUUUUUUUAUUAUUAUUCUUAGUCUUUCAAUUACUUCAAUCAUGACUAAUUUCACCCUUUUCCCCCAUUUGUCUUCAAUUAAACAUUUAAUUGAAUGCUCAAAUUAUUUUCUGACCAGGGAUAACUUAAAUUAUUGCCUGAUUGUAAUCCAAACUAUAUUUAGAAGAUUUUUCUCUAAAAAAAGGUUUUUUUAAUAUUUGAAUUUUUUUUCUUUGAUUUUUUUCGAAUGAUUUAGAAGAUUAUUUGUUUAAUAAGUAUUAUUUAAAUUAUUUUUUAAUUUUUAAUACAUUAUUUGUUUCUUUUCCCUAUUAUGCAUGCGUUUGAUUGUAAAUGUAAUGCAAAAUAUGUAUGAAAUAUAUACACAUUCCUCGCAUAACUUGCAGAAAACUGAUUUCUCUUCAGCCAGUUCGCCUGAAAGCAGUACUGCCCCCUGAAAUGCGUUGGGACUGUGUCUACUUAAAGUUACAAGAAGAGACUCCAAAUUAUGCAUAUUCAACUUAACAAGUAUGACAAAUGUCCUUAGAUUUCACCAAGGAGCUUAAAUAUAAUUGUUAUUGUAAAGCAGUCAAGCAGCUUAAAUAUAAUGCAAAUAUCAAAUUUUGUAAUGAUUGAGCAAUUUAAGAUCCAAUUCUAAUCUGCGAGAGAAUUAAGCAGUGGAUUCAAGAAAGGGAUAAUCAGUAUAACCAAUGACAGGAUCUGUUGUAUAGAAUGUGCCGCGAUCGUACUUGUUUAGUGGUGCAUCAAGCUCAAAUCUUCUCGGCAAAUCUGGAUUGGCCAAGAACACACGGCCAUAAGCAACAAGAUCUGAAUAGUUCUCUGCAACAGCUUUGUUUCCUUCUUCCCUAUCAUAGCCUCCAGCAACAAUGAAAGUGCCAUUGAAAGCCUUUCUCAUGGGUAGAAGACUGUGCGGGGAUUCAACUCUUUCCCCCACCGUCUUCAUUCUUGGCUCAACCAUAUGGCAGAAGAGAAUCCCAUAUUUAUUCAAGGAUUCAACCAUAUACAGACCCAAAGCUCCUGGAUUUGAGUCUCCUGCUUGUCCGUAAUUUGCAUAGGGAGACAGUCUUAUUCCAACUCUAUCAGCUCCUAUCUCAUCGACUACAGCUCCAACCACUUCUAAGGCAAAUCGGCAGCGGUUCUCUAGAGAUCCACCAUAUUGGUCGGUUCGAUCGUUAACUUGAUCCUUCAUGAACUGGUCAAUUAAGUAACCAUGAGCCCCAUGGAUCUCAACUCCAUCAAAACCUAAAAAGCCAGAUCGUUAUUAAUAUUACCAAAGAAUUCAAAUAAUGACUUUGAAUACAAACGUUUAAAAUCCUGAAACUUGAAUAAGAAGAAGAAAGAUUGAUUUGAACCAGUAUCAAAUUUAUAUGACCAGGAGAUGGAUGAUUCAUGAUCAAUUCCAGAUUUCUAAGAAGCAAUAAAGUGGUGGUUUUCAAAUGAAGCAGCUUGGCUAGAAACAGGGCAACUGCUUACACCUGUUACUUUCCCCAAACAAAGAAUACUGGCAAACAAUCAUUUUUAAAUGGUUCUCAAACACAGCGAGAUGAAUUGUGAUGAAAUAACAAUCCUUAAUUGCACAAAAAUAUGAACUGCAGUAUUCUUUUAUUUUCAUCUUCUUGUUUUUUAUUCUCUUGUUCAUAGAACUACUUCUGCAAGUUUUCUAACUGAAUUUCUCAAUUGAAAAGCCUAGAGAGUUAAGUAUUCUUAUAUGAUUUAUCUUGUUGAAAGUAAAGAUAAAUUUCACAUUCUGUCUUCCACUUUGGAAAAUAAAGCAUACCAGCUUCCAUAGCAUUCCUUGCAGCAAUUCUAAAGUCAUUGACAACAUGAGGAAUUUCAUCUGUUCUUAGUCGCCUUGGAGUGGUGAAAUCUACAGCAUCAAUUCCAUUAGCUCGAAUUUGAGGGGCUAGUGGCUUGUCUGUGCAUGAGAUUGGAGCUUGCCCAUUUGGCUGGAAAUCUGUAUAGGCAAAUAAUAGAGGCCAAAAAAAAAUCACACCAAAUAGAAGCUUUCAUGAAAAGAUGAUUCAAUCACACAAAUUGAUGAACAGAAUUAGAAACAAUGAGAAACAAAAAAAAAACUAGGUGAUGAUCUUCAUAGAUACUUUGAACAGAAUAUUCCUUCGUAAAAAACCAGGAAAAAAUCUUCAAACAAAAGUAGAAUACUGAUGACCCUAUGCUCAUUCUGCAAAACCUAAACUGUGGACCCCUCCAGAACAAAUUGCAUGGUGAGUUUCUUGCAUUAACAAGAGGUAAAUAUGGCCCUUGAGAAAGUUGAAAGGUUCAAUAUAAGUGACACAGCCUAAAAUACAAGGUAAAUAACACUAUUUAUACUAGUAAAAACAUCCUAAAUAAAGUUGAAAAAAUAAUAAAAGAGUUAUAAACCAAAUAGAAAAAAGAAUCUUAAAUCUAUUAAGAAAAUAUUGCAAAUCUUGAACAGUAACUUUUGGACCUUAUCUAAAAACUUUCAUGAUCUCUAAUUGCUAUGAAAUUUCAAUUCUUUAGGAAACAAGCUCUCUAGAAUUGCCUAACAAAAUUUCAGCAUAAUCCAACAGUUGAAUCAAAAGUUAUAUUUAUUAAUAUAAGACUACACUUUUGAGGAAAAUCUCCUGCAUCAUAUACGCUUAAUGCUUUUGACUAACACACACAGUGAUAACGUGCUGCUUUUAGUGAAUUCAACAGCAGUAGAACUAGAAUUUAACUCUGUAUUCCAAUUUAACUCUCUUCAAACAAAGCAAUUUCUGUCAACUCAUCUAAGAAAAAAGUUGGACGCAUCACUAUUACAAAAGAACCAGACACACUGGCUGAGGCUGAACCAAUGGUAGAAGCCUUCUCAUAUCAAGUUCAUCCAAAGGUAACAAAACCAUAACUAUAACUCAAAUAUCUCAGCAGCAUCUAUAACAGUAAUUAACAAGAAUGACAUCCAUGGUUUCAUUUACCCUUUAUCUACACAAGUGGUCUAUCUAAAUAGGAAGCCUUAACAGCCUGGUCCAUUUCAACAUGCAUAGGUUGGAUCAUGGCAUCCUGCAUCCACUUUGAACCAAACUCAUGAGCCCUUUAUUCGAGCCAGAGAGGGGGAUUUACUUAGGAGCAUUGCAUCAAUCAUGAAAAGUUUUGAAAGGGGAAAAUAAAUACUCUGCUUGAGAGGCAUGUUUUGGAUUCAAAUUCUUUUCAACUCAAUGCAAGCUCAGGUUAUUCUGGAUAGAAGAUAAUCCAUAUGGGAGAUUCAAUUCAACUCACCUCGAUUUGAAACCCUUCCAACAUGCCAAAGUUGACAAAAGAAUAUGCCACCUUUGGCAUGAACAGCAUCUACAAUGGGUUUCCAUGCCUCAACUUGCUCUUUAGUCCAAAUACCAGGAGUAUUUGGAUACCUGUAAUUUAACAAGAAAUCAUAAGUUCAAAUCAAAAUAUCAUUGAAAUUAUGUAACAUAAAAAUAGAUAGAUACAUAGAUAGAUAGGCUACUGACGAUAAAAAAUAAAAAUAAAAAAUACCCUUGAGCUGUGUCAGAAACUCCGGUAGCUUCAGCUAUGAGAAGACCUCCUUCGGUGGUUCUCUGAGAAUAAUACAAGAUUGCAUGCGGCUGGGGAACAUUGUUAUAUGAUCUCUGUCUAGUCAAUGGUGCCAGUACUAUUCUGCAAAUGGACAGCAGAUCAUAAAUUAAUUUUACCAAGCUUCACUGGUAAAUUCAUUCAUCUAUUUACACAUUGAAAACAUAUCAAAACUUAAUUUUUAUUUCUCAAUAACACAUUUUAAAUUGAAAAAAAGAAAAGCAACAACGUUGAAAAUAGACAUUUCUUGAAUCUGACGAUUUAUUGCUCAAAAGAAGUGUUCAAACUGGAAAAGAAAAAUGCCAACUGGGGUUUUCUACAAACACCUGUUCCUUCUAAUUUUUUUGUCCAUUCAAGCUAGAAAGGAAAAGAAAAUGCAAAGUUUUUCCAAUAAAAAUUCAAAAAGCCAACAAUUAGAACCAAGAUUUGAACCCCACCAACAACAUGGCAACAUCACAUCAUACCAUGUCAAACAAAGUGAACAAAAAUGGAAAAAAAGAUGUGAACUUUCCUGUUUGGAAUGGAAUAGUUAAAAAGGAAUCAUACCAGGGAGGAGGAGGAGGAGGAAGGAAGCGAAGAAAAUGUGAAAAUUCAAAUCACAACAACAAAGGAAAGGAGACUAAAGAAUGGAUAAAAGAGAGCCAGGCUCAACCUAAACAAACCAUAAGAGAUUAUUCAUUCAAAAUACAUCAUAUAAAAUAAUUUGAUACUACUCUUUGUAUAGCCUUCGAUAGUUUUUAUCACAUAAAAACUAAACAAGUGAUUUAGGAAAGGUAGAUGCUAAAAGAAAGGUGUAUCAUAUAAAUCAUAAAUGACAAAAAUUCAAGAACAUAAAAAUUGUGGAAAUUAAAAAAAAAAACUAAGAGAGUGUGGUAUACUAUACACACGUACCUAUGAGAAAGAUUGAACUUUCCCAUUUUGUAAGGGGUGAGAAGAGGAGCAGCCACUGCAUGAUUGUUGGACUUCUCUUCUUCUUGAUGCAUUUUGGUUUCCAUAUCCGGUGUCAGCUACGCCUUAGACUACUGUUUAAACAAGAAUCAGAAAAUUGAAGGACGGAAUGAUUUGUUGAUGAACACCUCUAUUAAUAGACUGGAUAUUUGUACUCCCACAGUCUCAAAAUAUGACAAGAAGGUGGUUCGACUGGAUAUUUGUACGUGGCAUCAUUCGUGACGUCUAGAAAAGGAUUUUUACGGAACUGCAGUGGGUGGUGGUGGCUGUUUUGUUAAAUGUUUUUUAUUUAAAAAUAUAUUAAAAAAUUUUAUUUUUAUUUUUAAAAAAUUAUUUUUAAAAUUAGUACAUAAAAAUAUAAAAAAAUAUUAUUUUCAAAAAUAUAAAAAAAUUAAAAUUUUUAAAAUACUUUUAAAAUAAAAAAAUAAAAAUACCACAUAUAGAUAAAGAAAACGCUACUUUGACUCCCCAUUUUUUUGCAGGGAUCUUUACAAAGCAGCAACAUUUCCUAUGAUUAUGAUUAACUCUAGGUUUGUUUUUUAUGCAAAAUUAAUUUUUAAAAAAAUUAAUUUAUUUUAUUUUAAAUUUUUUUAUAUAAUUUUAGAUUGUAUUUGUUAUAUUGAUAUUAAAAAUAAAUAAAAAAAUUAUUUAAUAUAUAAAAAUAUUUUAAAAAAACAACUGUUAUAAUAAUAUCAAAUAAAUUCUAAUUUUAAUACAUGGAAUAUCAUUCAAAGUUUCAAGUUUUUGAAGAGGCUGCAAGAGAGAAUUUUCUGGAAAAAUACAAAAGCUACAAUAUUAGUCUCCUACUUUGGCAUUAAGGAACAUGGUUUCCAAUUUGGCAUCUACGAGAUAUAUUAUUGUUCGGUCACAUUUUAAGCGUUGUGGUUUUAAAUAAAAAGGCACGUGCGCCUGGCAGCCUGGACCCACCAAACCCCUUCUCUCCUUUUUUUUUUUUUUUUUUACUACCAUAAUAGUGAUUAGAUUAUGAAUAAACACGGGUUUAUCAAUUUAUUAUCAUAAAAAUUUCUAUAAAUCACUUAUCAACCCUAAAAAUACUUUAAAAUAAAUCUAAAACAUAAAAAUCAACUGAAUUAAAAUAAUUAAAUAGAAUUCAUUGACAUAAAAAUUCUUUUUUUUAUAGCUGGAUUAUGAUCAGUCAAUAUCUUCAGUAGUUUUUUUUAGUGAGUUUCUCUUCUUUGUUUUUUUUUUAUUGAUAUAGGGAUUAAAAAUAAAUAAAAUAAAAUUUUGAAAAUAUAUAUAUAUAUAUAUUAGUCAAUAUACUCUAGCGGUGAAAAGAAAAGGUAGGUAACCUAGCAAUGUCUUUUUCUGGUGAGGGUAGCAUCAAAAUUAAUGACAGGAAAAGAAACAGAGAAUUGUUCAUUUGUUAGGCUGGACAAAAUGCACCGCAAGAAAAUUAAUGAUAAAAAACAAGGUCACGCCAGCCAACCCACAACGAAUCUUGUUGAUCAAGAUUUGAGAUGAUGUGAUGUUUGCAAUCCAGAUUCUUCCAGUACACACCCACCUUCAUGGACGUGUUUCUGAAUCUUAUAGUUCAAACAUUAAUUUAUUUGAUUAUAUCCAUGAUCUUGAGCGUGUUUGGUAGUAUGAUUACGGAUACUUUUUAAAUAAUUUUUCGUAUUAAAAUGCAUGUUAAUGAUGAUUUUUUUUAUUUUUUAAAAAUCAUUUUUUAUAUCAGCACAUCAAAACGAUCCAAAACAUACAAACCAUAUUAAAUUUUAAUAAAAAAAAAAUAAUUUUUUAGAAACACAACCACAGCCGCGUUCCCAAACAUUCCCGCUCGUCUAGCUCAUUGGAUCGCAGUUUAAUGUUAGAUACUCCUCCACUAGUUAUGAAGUUUACAAGCAACUUUUCUCUAUGUUAGCUCGCCGCUGAAUUUAAGUGCUAUCAUAAUCAUUCGUUAAUGUUGAUUGUUCAUGGUCUAAUUAAACUCUUUGAUUUCAGACUGCAAUGUCCAUGUUCGAUGCAUGUAGGCUGCCGGAUAUUUGUAAUAAAAACAUGUAUUUUUAUUUGAAAAUAUAUUAAAAUGAUGUUUUUUAUUUUUUAAAAUUUUUUUCUAAUAUCCGUAUAUCAAAACAAUUUAAUAAAAUUAAAAAAAAUUAAUUAAAAAUAUCUUUUUUUUUCCUAAAAAAACUACUGCAUCACCACGGUACAAGCCAAAACUUUAUCAUAGUUUUUAACCAUCUAGGUGGUAGCCCAGUGGUAAGAACUUGGGAUCAAGAGGUUUGCUCCCUCUGUGGUCUCAGGUUCGAGCCAUGUGGUUGCUCAUAUGAUGGCCACUAGAGGCUUACAUGGUCGUUAACUUCAGGGCCCGUGGGAUUAGUCGAGGUGCGCGCAAGCUGGCCCGGACACCCACGUUAAACUAAAAAAAAAAAACUUUAUCAUAGUUUUUGCUCUAUCCUAAUAACUAAUAGGAAUUCAAUAAUAUUGUUGAACAGAAUAAUUAUAUGGUAUUUGAUGAAUUUGAAAACGUUAUAAAUAUUUUCCCUAUUCACCUAUAUGGGGGCGGAGGUGAGGAGAAAUGUCAUUUGAAUAUCAAAACAAUUAUAAUUUGUUAUGCUAAAGAAGAAGAUCCAGAUAUUGUUAAUUCGAUAACAGGCCCCAUAUACUAUGUCCCGGUUGAGAACAAAACUAACCAUUUAAUCCGUAUUUCGUAACGUGUCAUAAUUUUAUUUUUUAUAAAAAUAUCGGCUAUGUAAGUUGCUUCAAUGUAUUUUUUUAACAUAAAAAAAUUAAAAAUAUAAAUUAAAAAACCUAUACAAGUAUCUCAUUAAAUAAAUUAAUAAUCAUUUAUGUAAAUAAAUAAAAAAAUUAUUAAUAAUAACUAAAAGAGAAAUUAAGAAAAUUAAGAAAUUAAUGUAAAUCAAAAUAUUCAACUACACAAAAUAAGACAUUCAUCUAAUUAUGUUUACUGAACUUGCUUAUUAAAAUCAAUUAAAGAUAAACCCACAACCUAAAAACUCAUGACUUGAAAGAUAAACACAAAUGAAACUAACUAAAUAAACUUUUUUCCUAAAAAAUAUUAUGCAAGACCAAACGCACCAACAAUAUUAUUUAAAAAUGAAUAUCUUUUUAUUUUGAAAAACAAACCUCAUAUGUAUAAAACCCAAAAACAAUUCUUGAUGAAUUAGCAUAACAUCUUGAAAAAUCAAACACAAACAAAACAACUCUAAAAAAACUUAUAUUAAAAAAUAGCAUGCAAAACUCGUGACCUAAAUUAUAAUAUCGAGAUAAACUUAUAGAAAAGAAAUUAAAGAUAAUUACAAAACUAAUUUUUUCUAAGAAAAAAAAAACAAAUGUAGAGUGAUCAGAUCGUAUGAAGCUGAAUCUCUAACAAAUCAAAAAUCGAAAGAUGAAAUCAAGAAAAAAAAAUCAAUUACACAAAAAGAUCUAAAAAAAUAAGGGUGAAAAAAAAACAAUAAUUAGAGGGCAACUAAUAAUUUGAUUUGAUCCGUGCUUCGUAACCAGUCGUAAUUUUGUUUUUCUCAAAAAAAAAACUUGAGUAUACAGACUAUUUUUAUAUGUUUUCUUCAUAAUAAAAUCUAUAAAUGUAAAUCAAAAUGUUUAUCCAAAAAUCUAAUAAUCAUCUGUGUAAAUAAAUAAAUAAUUUGUUAAUAAUAACUAAAAGAGAAAUUAGAAAAAUUGAGAAAUUGACGUAGAUCAAGAUAUUUGAUCUCGCAAAAUAAGACAUUUACUCGUUUGUGUCCAUUAAAUUUGUUCAUUAAAAUCUAUAAAAGAUAAUAGAAAUAAAAACACAUAUGAAACAGAGUGAAUAAAAUAAAACGAAAAAAAAAGUAUGCAUGGCCAAAUAUAUUAGAAAUAUUAUUUCAAAAUAACUAUUUUUUGUACAAAACAAAACCUACUUGUAUAAAGUAAAAUAAAAAAUAAAAAUAAAAAACAAAAAACAAAACAGUUUUUUUUAAAAAAACCUUUUUUUUCCAAAAAUAGCUUUGCAAAACCUAUGGUUUAGGUAAUGAGAUCAAGAUAAAUCAGUGGAAAAGAAUAUGAAGGUAUCCACAAAAUAAAUUUUUAAAAACAAUGUAGAAUGAUAAAAUCGCAAAACAAAAUGAGGAAAAAAAUCCCUAACUAUAUUAACACUUAAAAAUUGUGACCCAUGUCAUUAAAUUAGAAGCAUGACAAAUAGAAAAACCGUGAAGCCCAAUCCCAAAUAAAUCAAACACCAAAGGAUGUUAGCGGGGGAAAAAUCAACCACAUAAAAAACUUUAAUUAAAAAAUAAGGGUGGAAACCAAAAUAAAAAAUAAAUUUGAGGGCAUUUAAAAAAUUAAAUUGAAGGGUUAAAUCAAAAGGAAAAUAACAAUUAACAAAAGGAAAAAAGAAAUCAAAAGAAUGAGGGUUAAAUUUUUUAAAAAAAAAAACAUAAACUUUGAUUGAAUGUGAAAUUGAAUACUAAUAAAACUUUAACAAAAGAUCCGAGCGUUAAAAUGACAAAUCAAAAGAAUAAGAACCGACUUGGAGAAAACAAUAUAUGACAAAUUAUAAUUUAAAGACUGAAUUGAAAAUACAAAAAAACUUUUCUAAAAAGGCCAAGGACAAAAAUAAACAAUAAAAAACAUAAAGACCAAAAUUGAAAAACAAAAAGGAAAGAGGACAAACAUGUACUUAACUGGAAGAGAGAGAAAAGUAGGAAGAAGAAAGAAGAAACGACCACCAACAACAAACCGGCGGUUCACCAUCGACAUGCGCCACACCAGGAGGAAGAGCAUGUGGUGGUGCUUCUAGUGACACUGUGAAAGGCCAUUUUCUAACAAACAGUGGUGUCACAUGCACAAUCAAAAGAGCGUGGACACCACCAACACGCGGGCGCGUGAAUAACACGCGCCAACAGCUUUUCUGAAUUUAAUAUUAAAAUACUAAAAAGCCCCCCAUAACUUUAGAAAUAACAAAUAAACCAAUGUAAAAGUAUCAAAACACCUCUGAAUGCAUAUAAGUUAUUUUGUCUUAUCUUAGGGCAAAGAAGUAUUUUACUUAAUUUAAAGUUUGUGUGAAGUGAAAAAAAAAACCCUUGGUCAGAAAGUUUAAAUUUCAUUGACCUUGGGGGUAGAAUAGUAUUUUUAUUGUACAAAAUAAUUUGUAAAGAUAAUAAUAUCCCUGUUCAAUCUUUUAAUGACUAAUGAGUUAGCGUAAAGGACCAAAAUACCUCAUAUCCUAGCCUUCCAACUUUUCCACCGAGGGGCACGAAGAUGAAUUCAUUGUAGCGAUCCACAAUAAACUAUGUCUAUUACUAUAAUGAAUUCACCACAUGUUUUAGAGUUUUGUUAAAUUUAAACAUAAAAAACAUACUUAAGUCACAUUUUUUUUGACAUUAUUAUGAGACCUUUUUCUUGCUAAGAAAUUUUGAAAGCUCUUGAUUUAACUUUUUAUUUAGCUCGAAUUUUAAAUUGAAUCGUGUGAGAGUUGUCACGACAUGACUCAGUUGACUAACAGGUUUAAAGACAACUCGAACAACUGGUAAAAACAUAGUUUGAUUUAAAACAAAAACUCAAGAUAACAUCUUUCUUUUAAAUAUUAAGAUGACGACAUAUUGGAUUGACUCGGAUUUCAUAGCUUAACUUGUAACCUAGGUCAUAAACUCUACUAGAUUUAAUAACUUUAUUUUUUCUGAAGCUACUUUUUAUUUAAUUAUAUGAUAAAAAAUAGAUUAUCGCAAAAUUGAGCACUAACUAAAUGCAAGGAUGUUUGUUUGAGAUUGUAAUAACCUUAUAGAACGGACACCGAAACAGAUUAUAAAAACCGAUUCAAAAUCAUCCAAAUAUUCAAAGAGAAAAGCCAAGAAAAAAAUUCAAGAAAACCUAAUGUUGAAGGAUAAAAUUAAAAAAAUAAAUAAAUAAAGAAAUUAAAGGGAAAAAAAGAGCCAAACGCACAUGCCUAGGUAAACCAACACUCUGAUCUCUUAAAAAAAAGGCAUAUGGGCCUGGCAGCUUAGACCCACCAAACCUCUUCUCCCUUAAUUUUUUGGUCACCAUAGUGGUGGCUGGAUUCUGGAUAGGUAGCUCAGUUGACGAUAGGUUACCCGUUUUAAGACAAAAUAGGUUGUCUAUUUCUAAGGGAAAAAAAUACAGGCGUGGGUUUGUCAGUCUAUUUUCACCCAAAAACACCUAAUACCAUAAAAAUCUCCAUAAAUCAUUUACCAACCCAAAAAAUAUUCUAAAAUAAGUCUAAAAAAUAAAAAUCAACUAAAUUAAAAUAAUUAAAUAGAACUUGACCUACUUUUUUUUUGCCAUGUUUAGAGAGAAAAACCACAUUCAUUGAACUCCUCUCAAGAAAAAAGAACUCAUUGAUAUAAAAAUUCUCUAUUUUGGUGGCUAGAUUAUGGUCAGUCGAUAACUUCGUUGUUUUUUUAGUGAGUUUCUCUUCCUUUUCUUAACACAGGGACUAAAAAUAAAUAAAAUAAAUUUUUAAACCAAAAUAAAAUUUGUCAAAAUUUAAAAUUAACUACAUAUUUUUUUUUAUUUUAUAUUGUGAUUCUCUGUUUUUUAAUUUUAUCAUUCUACUAUAAUAAAAACAAACCACUUCUAAAUGGAUAAAUGGAAAUGCUACUUUGACCCCCUAUUUUUAACCAGGGAUCUUUACAGAGCAUCAACAUUUCCUAUGAUUAUGAUUAGCUCUCGAUUUGUUUUUGCGAUGUAAAAGUAUUUUUUUAAAAAUAAUUUUUUUAUUUUAAAUUAAUAUUUUUAUUUAUAUUUUUAAAUUAUUUUGUUGUACUGAUAUUAAAAAUAAAUUUUAAAAAGAUAAAUAAAAAAUUAUUUUUAUGUAUCUCUAAUUCAAAAAUAUUUUUAAAAAGAACCCUCAAUAUAAUAUCAAAUAAGCACUAGUUUAAUACAUGGAAUAUCAUUCAAAGUUUCAAGUUUUUGAAGAGGCUGCAGGAGCGAAUUUUCUGGAAAAAUAAAAAAGCUACAAUAUUAGUCUCCUACUUUGACAUUAAGGAACAUGGUUUCCAAUUUGCCAUCUAAGGGAUAUGUUAUUGUUCGGUCACAUUUUAAGCGUUUUAUAUAUAUAUAUAUAUAUAUAUAUAUAUAUAUAUAUAUAUAUAUAUAUAUAUAUAUAUAUAUGAUUUUUAUAAGUAAAAUUUGAAGAUAUAUAGAAAUCUAGUUCAUAGUUUAUUCCAAGUGUUUUUUAACUUGAAAAUAUAUUAAAAUAAUAUUUUUUUUAUUUUUUAAAAUUUAUUUUUAAUAUCAAUACAUCAAAACAAUUUAAAAACAUAAAAAAAUUUAAUCACAUAAAAAACAUUUAGUUUUAAAAAAAAUUUAAAAAUAUAAAAACAAUUUUAAUUAUGAGAUAAAUAUCUUGGGUGUACUCGUAAUCAUUCAAGUUUGAAAUAAUUUAAAAACACUAAAAAAAUAAUUUAAAUAAAAAAAUAAAAAAAUUAAUUUUUUUUAAAAUAUUUUUAAAUUACAGAAACAAGCUCCUGUACUUUAAUUAUAAGAUAACUAUCUUGGGUGCACUCGUUAUCAUUCAAGUUUGAAUUUGUUUUAAUGAUUUUUAUAACUCAAAUUUUUCAUUUUUUAUUUAAAUCCAUAUCCUUUGUGUCCUUAACCAUGAACAAAAUUAUUAAAUAAAUGUUGAACCAAGAUUUGAAUAUUUAUUUACAUAUUGAAUAUUUUUCGAUGAAUGUGAGAGCACUGGUAGUUUUUUUUUGUUUUUUUUUUUUUUGUCAAUUGUUAGAGAAAUAGAGAAUAUGGAUUUAACACAGGCACGAGGAUAGACGAGGAUAGAUGUAAGAAUUUUAUGAAUAAAGAAGUUUUUUGAGUUCUAGUAAACAAAAAAUAAAAUCACAAAAUUCUUAAAUGAGAAUAAAGAAUAAAGGAGUUUAUUACAUGUCAAAAUUUUAAAAAAUAAAAAACAUCGUAACUACAUGGAGGAACAACUAAAACAAUCAAUAUUUCUUCAUUUAUGUAACAACUUAAAAAAAAAGUUAUUACAACCUUUUAUUUUAAAAAAUAAACUAGAAAACGAUAUUAAUACAAAGAAUUGGAUUUAUCUAUAUGCUAGAGAUGUAAUCAACUUCUAUAUAGACAACUCAAAUUAAAAAAAGAAUAAAGAGUUUUAUUUUGAAUCAUGGAAAGGUGUAGUUUUUCAUUAUCAUCAUCAUCAAAACAAGCUAUAUAAUUCUUUGAAUACACUAUUAGAAAAUUAUCAAAUACAUACACUACGAAAUAUUUGUGUCGGUAUACCGCGGCAAAUUUUUCUAAUUGAAUAUGUCCUCGUUGUAUCCAUCGGUAAAUAUCAACAUAAAUAUUCCCUUAGUAUAUAUCGAGAAAAUUACAGUGAAAAAAAAACUAAUAAGUACGAUGACAUGUUAUUUUUAUAUAUAGAAUUACCAACGAAUUUAAGUCUAUCGAUAAAUGAGAGUUUGAGCUAAUAAAAAAGAAUUUAAUCUAAGCCAAAAAUGGUAUUAGAGGAAAAAGAAGAAGAAGAAAAUAGAGAGAAAAGAAAGCUUAAACUUGAAGAGAGAGAGAGAGAGAGAGAGAGAGAGUUUUGGGUUGAAAAUAAAGGCAAAUAGAGGUGCUCUCAAUCGGCUAGUAGCAAGGGGGAAAGAAUGAGAAGAAGAAGAAAAAACAAAGAAAAAAAGCAAAAACCUAAGAGAAAUUGAAACCUGAAAUAGACAGAGAAAACCACUCGAGAACGAGUACCACACCAUUGCUGACACACACCAUUAUUGUCACCAAAGAAACUCCUUCCUCAUUUAGAACUAGCCUCAAGGUAAGUCAAGUCCUUAAUGCAAAGCAACUUCUUCUUUCUCAUUUCUUCCUUCUUAUUUACUAUUCACAAAUGCAAAUAAUAUACAUGUUAUUUUAUUUUAUUUUAUUUUAUUUUAUUUUACCGACCAUUUGACGGCAUUGCCGAUCACAGAAGGUCAGCCUCUCCCGACCUACCCAGAUUAUCGCCUUCCUAUGUGGAAGGAAAUGAGCAGUACUACUGUUAAUGCUGAGACCCAUGAGGAGACAGAUGGAUUUAUUCUCUUUUAGAGAUAACAAUUCUUAUUGCUUGGAUCUUUUCCAACGUAGGAAGAAAUAAGAAAGAAGGUGUAGUGGUCAAGGGACGAGAUGAGAGAGACCACAGUGACUAACAAGCCUUAUAGACUAAUGAAUUCGGUUAGUUGGGAAUAUUAGGUAGGGAGGGUCAGACCCUCAAAGGGAACUUUCAGAAAGAGAGGACAAAGCGGAUUAGCUUUCUUGUCUUUUUUUUUCACGUUGAUGUUAUUUAAUUUUAUAAAAUUGCAUCUUUUUUUUUCUUUUUACAUAUAUAUGAGCAUAUAAAUAUUUGUUAAAAAAAUAAAAAUAAUGUCGAUGAGUAGAGUCAUGUUUUUUUUUAUUAAAUUUGACUCCUAACAGCCAGAUCAAUAAUGUAUCUUCUAGUUUUUAGAGACCAAUAUAGAGCUAACACGAUAUUUUUAAUCUUAAAACAAGUUCAAUAAUAGGUUGAUGAGUUUUGGUCAAGUUAGCGUCAAGUUUUUAUUAAGCUUAAAUUUGGAUUUUAAUGGUUAAGUUGACGUGUCUUCAAGUUUUAGGGUCGACGUGGGCCUAUCAUGAUGUUUUAAACUAAUAACAAGGUCAAUAGUAAGUCCACAACAUAGUUUUAAAACCGGCCCUGCCUGGCGGGUCGAUCCAGGACUGGAACCGGGCCGAGUUGAAGAAAAAAUAGGGGAAGGAAAAACCCGGUGUGACCCGGCUGACCCGACGGGUUGACCCGGCAAGACCCGAUCAAAAACCUGGUUGCAACCCGUUGACUUUUGUUUUUUUUACUAAAACGACGUUAUUUUUUUAAAAAAAAAAUUUGACCCGGGAGACCCAGUCAAAACCCGGAACCCGAGCCUUGGACCGGGCCGGGUCUAAAAACUAUGGUCCACAAGUAUCCUUUGAGUAGGGUCCAACGCGGAACAAGCAUAGUAUUCUUUUCAACUUUGAUUUGUAAUAAAAUAAAUAAUAGAUAGUGAUGAUAAAAAAAGUCAAGAAAUAUAUAUAAAUAAAUAAAAACUAAAAAAAAUAAUCAAGUUGCAAGACUCAUGAUUUAUGGUCUGACAUUAACUUUAUGAGCAUCUAUAAAAACUAAAUGAUUUGUGAAUAAGCUGGAAAUAUAAUUUAGACAAUAAAUGAUAUUUAAAAUUAAUAUAGAAAAAACACAUAGUUAAAGUAAUAUUUUCUCAGAAAUGAUGUGAUAAAGAUGAUUUUUAUCUUCUCUUAAGUAUAACCAAUUUUUUUUUUUAGAUUUUUGGAACCAAUCUAUAUUUUAAGAUUCUUAGUUUUUUAAAAGAAUUACGUUGUAACUCCAUGUUUUAUAUUUUCUAUUAAUUUUCAAAGGUUUUAUUUUUAUCAGAUGAAACAAAAUUGCUUAACUAUUAUAACCUAAGACUCAAUUGUGAUGUGGAUUUCUCUAUUCAAUCCAUGUUGCAAUUGUUAAUCGAGUAUUGCUGAAUUUGUUUUUCCAUUUAUUUAGUUAUGUAGUUUCAAGAGUUUGCAUCUUGGUUUUUAAACUUUAUUUUUCUUAUAUUUUAAUCACAAAAUGUUAAGAAAUAAGAGAGAAAUUCACUUAAUAAAAAAAAAAAGAGAAAAUUUUCAGCUAUCCACAUUCUAAUAAUUAAUAAGACUAUUUUUAAUGUCAAUGGAUUCACUUUGAAGAGAAAAAUUUGAUGAAAUUUGUUUUUUCCUUUAAAUAAUUAUAAAAAGUAUAUCGAUGAACAUAAAAGUUUUUUAUUUGCAUUGAUUUUUUAUUCUAAAUUGAUUAAAGGGUAUUUUAUGGUCAUCUUGAUGGGUUUACUAAGAAUCUUUUAAUGUUUUUGGGGGUAUUUUUAGGUUAAAAAAAGUUUAAAAUUGGAUUUUUAAAAUCUAAAAAUUUAAACCUUAAUUUUUUAUCAUUGAAGGUAACAUAAAAGUAAAUAGUUGACAAUACAUUAUUUACCCAAUUAUAUGAUGUGUUUUUUAUUUUAUUUAAAAUAGCCCUCAAUAAUAUAUUGUUUUCCUAUUAAAAACAAAUAAAGAAAUUCAAGCUCACCUAUGAUUUUUUUUAGGCUAGUUGUGUGGAUUUGUCCUUUUAAGCCCAAGACCCUAGCCUCUAUUUAAAAGGCUAUUUAACUUUUUUUGUAAUUAUUUAUUUUAAUUUAGCAUAAAGUUCACUAUAAAAACAAUUAUUAAAAUUGAACUUAAAAAAUUAUCUAACUAUUAGAUCUUUUAUGGGAAUAUAAAUUACUAUAUAAACCUAAUACGCAAAUUGUUUUUAAUAUACUAAUGAAUAUUUAAAAGGAAAUAAAAUAUUUAUUUUUUAUUUUAAAUAUUUUAUAUAAUUUCAUCACAUUAAUUACUCUAUUUGUUUUAUACAAGUAUAAAAAUUAUUGAGUCAUGAUUGCUUUUUGUUUUUUUUAAUGAAAUAUGAUCAUUUGCUUUUUUAAAAAAACACAUUUUUGUCAAAAACAAAAAACAAAUACAUGAAUAUAGGAAGAGUUUUGAUUGAAAAAUACACAUUUUUUCGUAAUUUAAAUUAUUAAGAUUUUUUAAUACAUUUUUAUUUUAAUUGCCUUUAAUUUUUAUUUAUAAAAAAAAGAUAUAUUUUUGUCAAAAUAAAAAAAUUCAUGAAUCAAAAAGGAAAAUUUGGAUAAAAAAUACAAUUUUUUUCUUUUUAACUUAAAUUUUUAUCUUUCUUUCAAAUAUCUAUUUUAAUUGAAAACUGAAUUACUUCAUAGUAUCUAAUUCAAUCAGAAAUGUGUAUUGCUGACCAGAUGCUGGUCUACAAUCUGCUUUUUAUUAUUGAAUUACAACUAUUUUAUUGGUUUACAAAACAUUUCAACUCGUAGAAACAAUAAUUGAAUGCAAUUAGACGACAACAAUAAAAGUACUUAAGAGAAUACAAGUUUCAACUAUGGUGACUCAAAACCCUACGCAGUGUCUUCAAGGAAAGGAUAAUCAGUGUAACCAACAACAGGAUCAUGUGUAUAAAAUGUUUCUCUGUUGUACUUGUUGAGAGGAGCAUGAAGUUCAAACCUCCUUGGCAAAUCUGGAUUUGCCAAGAACAAGCGACCAUAAGCGACAAGGUCUCCACGGUUCUCUUCAACAGCUUUGUUUCCAUCUUCCCUGUCAUAACCACCAGCAACAAUGAAUGUACUGUUGAAAGCCUUCCUCAUAGGCAGCAGACUUUCAGAGAAUUUUGCAUUCCCUGCGCCUAUCUUCAUUCUUGGCUCAACCAUGUGGCAGUAAGCAAUACCGUAUUUAUUCAAGGAUUUAACCAUGUGGAGUCCUAGUGCUUCGGGAUCUGAGUCUGCUGAUUCCAUAUAGUUUACAUGAGGAGAUAGUCUUAUUCCAACUUUAUCUGAUCCUAUCUCAUUCGCUAUAGCCUCAACUAUUUCCAAAGGGAAUCGGCAGCGGUUCUCUAGUGAUCCACCAUAUUGGUCUGUUCUGUUGUUUACUUGAUCUUUCAUAAACUGGUCAAUUAGAUAUCCGUGAGCCCCAUGGAUCUCAACUCCAUCAAAACCUAUAAAAAGCACAGAACAAGCUUUAAGUGAUGGUCUAUAUUAUUUAUGAAACCCAAUUUGCAGAUGUUUCCAACGAAAAAACUUUACAUUUUUGUUUUGAGUGGGAUGAAGCUAAAGUUUCUAAAAUGCCGUGCAAUCAUGUAUUGUUCAGCUUGUUAAAGUCCUGUAAGAAAAUUCAGAGUUUCCAAAAUAUCUGAGAGAGAAAGUUUACCAGCUUCUAUUGCGUUCCUUGCAGCAAUUCUGAAAUCAUUGACUAUUUGAGGGAUUUCAUCUGUCCUUAGACGCCUCGGAGGUGUGAACUCCAUGCCUUCAACUUGAGAAGAUAUUGGCUUGUCUGUAGAAGAGACUGGAGCUUGCCCAUCUGGCUGGAAACCUGCAAAUGCCAAUAAUAUAGAAAAAUUAAUUAGUAACCAUAUUAAUCUUUUCAUUUUUUGAAAAUGACUUUGCUAAUCAUAUUAACUGACAAGAAAGUAUGGCCCAUGAACACAAAGCAACACUAAUCAUUGUUACAGAUACUGGAAACAAAACUUUAACAUGCUAGGAACAAAAUUAAAAUCUAUGCAUCAAUGAGAUUAAAGGCAAUAACUCACCGCUAUUUGACACCCUCCCAACAUGCCAAAUUUGACAGAAGAAAAUACCUCCUUUGGCAUGGACAGCAUCCACGAUGGGCUUCCAUGCUUCGACUUGCUCUCUGGUCCAAAUACCUGGAGCGUGCAGGUACCUAUAUAUAUUCAAAUGUAAGAUUAUGAACACACUGAAGUGUCAGUGUAACAAAACCAAAUAUUGAAUUUACGUUGCUCUUUCCAGUAAUCGCAACAAAAAGUAGAAAGUUAGAUUGAGUAUCAGGCAUGGCUGAUGGAAUUACCCUUGUGCUGUGUCAGAAACUCCAGUGGCUUCAGAUAUGAGAAGACCCCCCUUCGUGGCUCUCUGGGAGUAGUAUAGAACGGCAUGCGGCUGAGGAACAUUAUCGUAAGAUCUCUGUCUAGUCAAUGGUGCCAGGACAAUUCUGAAAAAAACAUGUAAUUAAUCACUGAAGUAAUUAUAAUAAAAAUGAUAGUCAAAGAAAGCAGUAUAUCCAUCGCAUUAACUAUUUAUUAAACCUGGGAAUUUACAUGAUUAUAUUUCCCGGGCAUGAGUGGGUGAUGAAAACCAGGAAAUCAAAGAACAAACAACUACGAUACGGGUAAAUUACCUAAAGCAUUACCCAACAAUAGUAAAAAAGUUUUGGAUGAUCUUAUAACAAAUUCAUUACCCAACAUAUCAAAGGAAACAGAAAAAUCAAGAAGAAAGAAAAAGGAAAGGUCAUCUACUAAUUUCUUCUUCGAGUCAUACAUAUCGAUUUUUAAUGAUCAACAAGACUUCACAGAAGAAUUCUGAACACAGAAGCAGCAUUUUGCUGCUGAAAACAGAAAAGCUAACUGAGAUCACAGCAAGUCAUCUACAUCGAACCAUGCAAAUUCAAGGAAAUGGAUAUACACGAAACCAUACUGUACAUUAAAGAAAAGGGAGAUAGCGUGAGUAAUCAGGUACCUGUGAGAAAGAUUAAACUUGCCCAUCUUGUAUGGGGUGAGAAGAGGCAACGUGGGAGUCUCAGCAACCAUUCUUUCUUGCAGUUGAUUAAUUGUUAUUGUGGUGGUUCACUAAGAACUUGUAGGAGUAGGUAUGAGAGAACCAGGUAAGCGUGGUGGGCUAUUUAUAGUUUUAAAUGCUUCUUUUGACUUGGAAAAAAAAAGUGAUGACGUUUGCAGGUACGUAUUACAGAGGAGGGAACAAAUUUGAAAGGUAGAAUCCAUCUUUAUUAUAAUUAUUUUGAAGGGUAUUAUAGAAUUUGAACCUGGACGCAGAAAUAGAAGAAUUCAGAUUGUCGUCAUUCAGGCUUCAGCCCACGGAUGAGUUGCUACUGUUCUAAUACAAAGGUCACGGGUUAAUUGCACAUAUGGUCCUUGUACUAUUUCAGUUUGAUUAAUUGAGUCCCCCAACUAUUAAUUUCAUGCAUUGUCUGAAAGAAAUUAAAUUAACCGAGGAAAAUAUUUAUUUUCCUAAAAAAGUUCAUGAAUCAGUUUUCUUGAGUUGGAUUGAACUUAUUAUCGAGUUCAGUUUUCAAUUAGAAAUUGUCCUCUAUCAAAAACAUAUUUUGUGUAUCUAUCUUAAAUCCCUAACACUUUAUGCGGACCAUCUUAUCAUGGAUCUCAAACACAACAUAUUUGUAUGAGUCGUUUCAUUAUAAAUUUUUAACACAACACCUUUGUGUAGGCCGUCUCAUCAUAGAUCCCACCACUUAGAUUUUAAAUAACAGUAAUUGAUGCAAACAGAAACAACGCGCUAGUUCCUAGACAUUUUUUUCUCGAGAGAGAACCUUCUUAUUCCCUCCUACACAACAUGUCAUGUUCUACAACAUCUUUCGGUCAUGGUUGUUCUACAACACAAAACAAAGAAAAAUAAUCAUCAAGGAUUGUGAAGCUUUAAAAUCAAUUGAUGCAAACGAGAAUGAAGGAUAAAAAAGUUUGUUACAUGUCAAAACCAUCAAAUACUAAAAACAUCAUGAGUAUAGGAAGACAACUAAAAUAUUUAAUUUUUAUUCAUCAUUGUCUCCCCUUGUCAAAAAGUUAUUACAAUUUUUUAUAUAGAAAAAACUAAAAAACUUUAAUAACAUUGAAUAGGAAAAAUAUUCUCUAAUAAAAGAAAUUAAAAAUGCAUAAAUGUUAUGUUCCGAGAUCAUUCAGCCGCCUUGGAUUAUUUUGGGCGGAGGUGAGGAGAAAUGUCAUUUGACUAUCAAAUGUUAAAAGAGGAAGAUCCGAAUAUUGUUAAUUCGAUUGCAUAAAAAAUGAUGAGAUCUUUUUUUAUAUAAUAUAGUAUCAUAAUCAGAUAACAGGCCCCACGUCAUGUCAUGGUUUAGAACAAAAUUAGCCUUUCUAUAAAUGUUAAAAUAGUAAUAUAUACAGUAGCUAUUAAUUGAAAAAAAUAAAAAAAAAUAAAAGAUCCAUCUAAAUUAUACUUGAAAAAAAAAUCCAAUGCUGCAAAAUAUCACUUUCUUUUCCAAAUUCUCUUACAAAUUUGCUUAUUUAGUCUAGAAGUACAUAUAUUUAUUUUUAGAACUGGCCUGUUAAAAUAACAAACAUCUUAGUUAUUUUUUAAUUUAAUUUAAUGUAACAAUAAAUAUUUAAAAUAUUAAUAUUAUAUAUAUCGUUACAUUUUAUAAACUAUAUAUAUGAAAUAUUAAUUUCUUCUCCUUCUCCUAUUCCCCUAUCUCCACCUAUCCUUCUCUCAAUCUUAGUUAUUAAACCCAGAUCGACCCGGUAGAUCGAUCCGGGACUCGGUCAACUCGGUGAUUGGACCGAUCCGGGUAAGACAAAAGAUCGGGAUGAGAAAAAACCCGGCAAAACCAGGUUGACCCGUGACCCGGGCGACUCGACAAAACCUGGUUGAGACCCGGUUUUUUUUUUCAAAUGUGUUUUUUCUUAGAUAGAGACUCCUUUUCUAUAUAUAUAUAUAUUUUUAGUUAAUUAGUAACCCUUUUCAAAGUUCACUAUAUAAAUAUUAGAAGAAUGUUUUAAUUUUUAAAUAUGAGAUUUGAAACCCUUUAGUAUAUAUAUUUUAUGUUUACAAGAAAAUAAUUAUUUUUUCAAUAUGAAAUUUGAAGUUUUUUAGUACAUAUACUCUAUAUUCAUAUGAAAAAAGUUUUUUUUUUCGACGUAGGAUAAAAAAUCUUUUGAAAUAAUCUCUUAAACCUUUUUGUAAUUUUAGUUUUUAUUUGAAUAGAUAUAUUAAUUAGUAUGUUAGUUGUUUUGACAUUUUUAAAUAAUGUCAACACUUUUAGACGAUUCUAUAUUUAAAAAAAAUCAACAAUAGCUAAUUAAAUUUAUAUAUAUGCCUCUCCCCCUUCUCUCUAUCUCUUGAAAAAAUCAAAUCUUACAACCUAUUUUUUGCUAAAGCAGUCAUUUAGCGAAUCACUAGCGAUAUAUAACAUCUUCUUUUUUUUAUCCUUAUUCAUGGUUUUAAAUUAUGUGGUUUUUAUUAUUAUUAUUAUUAUUAUUAUUAUGUGUUUAGAGAUCUAGCUAGACUUUGUAUUUAGAUAUGUUAAAGCUUGAUAGAGAAGAUUCAUAAUAUUUAAUGUUAGAUUAAAGUCCAACGGUUGUUUCUAGCUUGAUAGAGAAGAUUCAUAAUAUUUAAUGACUUUGGAUCUUUCAUCGACGAUUCUAUAUGUUCGAGAUGUAAUCAACUCCUGUAUAGUCAACUCAAAUUUUAAAAAAAUGUAGAGGGUUUUAUUUGUCAUCUGAAUUAUUAAACGUCAUCAUCAUCGAUAAACAAAAUAUACUAGAAAAUUAGCAAAUAUAAAUAGAUAUAUCAACAAAAUAUUUUUGUUGGUAUACUAAGACAAAUUUUUUCGAUUGAAUAUAUUAUUGCCGUAUCUAUCGGUAAACACAUACAUAAAUAUUAUCUUGAUAUAUACUGAGAGAAUUACAGUAAAAAAAUAAAUAAAUCUAAUAAAUAUGAUGAUGUGUUAUUUUUAUAGACAGAAUUACUGAUGGAUUCAAAUCUAUCGAUAAAUAAGAGUUUGAGCGAUAAAAAUGAAUUUAAUCUAAGCCAAAUGGUAUUAGAGGUAAAAGAAGAAGAAGAAGAAGAAAAUAGGAAACCUUAAAUUUGAGAGAAAAAAAAAAGAUAGCAAGAGAAAAAGAGAGUUCUAGUUGAAAAUAGAGGUAAAUAGAGAUGCUAUGAAACAACUAGUAGAAAAGGGGAAAGAAUGAAAAGAAAAGAAAAAUAAAAAUAAAAACAAAACAAACAAAAUGUAAAAAUCUAAGAGAAAUAAAAACCCGAAGUAGAGAGAGAUCAUGCCAUUAAAUUGUUUUAUUUUAUAUACUCACGAAUAUUUAAAGAGAAUAAAAUAUUUAUUUUUUAUUUUAAAUAUUUUAUAUAAUUUCAUCACAUUAAUUACUCUAUUUGUUUUAUACAUAUAUAAACAUUAUUGAGUCAUGAUUGUUUUUUUUUUAAAAAAAAAAAAUUAUACCACAAAUAAAAAACACAUUUUUGUAAAAAAAAAAAAAAACAAAUACAUGAAUAUAGAAAGAGUUAUGAUUGAAAAGAUACAUAUUUUUUCUUAGUUUAAAUUAUUAAGAUUUUUAUAUAUUUUUAUUUUAAUUGCCUUUAAUUUUUAUUUAUAAAAACAUAUUACUAAUAAAAAAAGAUAUAUUUUUGUCAAAAUAAAAAAAUACAUGAAUCAAAAAGGAAAAUUUGGAAAAAAAUACAAUUUUUUUCUUUAUAACUUAAAUUUUUAUCUUUCUUACAAAUAUCUAUUGUAAUUGAAAACUGAAUUACUUCAUAGUAUCUAGUUCAAUCUGAAAUGUGUAUUGGUGACCAGAUGCUGGUCUACAAUCUGCUUUUAUUAUUGAAUUAUAACUAUUUUAAUGGUUUACAAAACAUUUAAACUCAUAGAAACAAUAAUUGAGAGCAAUUAGACGACAACAAUAAAAAUACUUAGAGAACACAAGUUUCAACUAUGGUGACUCAAAACCCUACGCAGUGUCUUCAAGGAAAGGAUAAUCAGUGUAACCAACAACAGGAUCAUGUGUAUAAAAUGUUUCUCUGUUGUACUUGUUGAGAGGAGCAUGAAGUUCAAAUCUCCUCGGCAAAUCCGGAUUUGCCAAGAACAAGCGACCAUAAGCGACAAGGUCUCCACGGUUCUCUUCAACAGCUUUGUUUCCAUCUUCCCUGUCAUAACCACCAGCAACAAUGAAUGUACUGUUGAAAGCCUUCCUCAUAGGCAGCAGACUUUCAGAGAAUUUUGGAUUCCCUGCGCCUAUCUUCAUUCUUGGCU